CACAAUUUACUGUCCCUGGAAAGAAAGAUACACUAUAUGAAGCUGACACAUUUCUAGAUGGACCUUCAUCAUUGUACCAGAGCACAACAAAUUGGGCAGUAAGCAGCACCGGUUCCUUCAUUGAUGAUGACCGCCCUAAGGACACCUUUAUAUGGCGUAAUGAAACUACACUCUCUAUGGCCAAUCCUCUACUGUACAUGAACGCACGCCUUUCUCCCAUCUCUCUAACUUAUUUUGGGUUUUGUCUGGGAAAUGGAGACUACACUGUAAAGCUCCAUUUUGCAGAGAUAAUGUUUAGAAAUGGCAAAACAUAUAAAAGCUUGGGAAGGCGCAUAUUCAAUAUUUACAUUCAGGUAAGUAUCGCAUCCACUUCCAUGUAUACCAGUGAAUUAUUCUAAUUUUCAGCUAGCAUUGUUUAUAUUUUGGUCGAUUUGAAUGUUAACUUUCACAUUUAUGUUCAUGAAAUGUUAAGCAACUAAAUUAGUAUAUAUACAUAAAUAUAUUGAAGGGAAUCCUAGUGAAGAAGGACUUCAAUAUCAUGGAUGAAGCUCGUGUGUUUGGUGAUGUAGUCAUAAUGAACUUUACUGCUCCUGUAACUAAUAUACAUUGGAGAUUCGUUUAUAUUGGGCCGGGAAAGGGACGACAGGCAUCCCUGUUAGAGGAGUCUAUGGUCCUCUUAUUUCAGCUAUUUCAGUAGACCCAAGUAAGUUUUCAAUGAUCUGACCUUUGUCUUAUUACUAUGCGUCGACCAUAUGCAUUGAUAUAUCUACUAAAUUAAGAGAUCCGACUUCAGCUCUGCAAGGUUCUUCAAUAUUUCCUUUCCCUUGUAUUUUCACAAAAAUGCUUCUGUGCUUUUCUCCUGUUUUACAUAGUUUGAGCCAAGACUUGAAAUACUCUUUUAAAUUUUCUUAUCACAUAAUAUGCUGAAUUUUCUAGGCGACGGUAUGUGCUUUUAAAUACAACAAAAUUCAACUUGAGGAUUGUUUGUUGAGGAAAAACUUAAGAGUACAGAAUUCUAACACAAGUGUUGGAGACACAAAACAAGUGAACAAAUUACUUGUAUUACACUCACAAAAUAUUGCAACACACAAACUCUCAAAGACACUCUUUAGAGGCAAUGACCUCACUCAUUUUCUAAAGACAAACUCUAGAUCACUCAUACUCCUCACAAGACUACUCUGACUUCUCACUCUCACUUGGUUGCCCGCUUCUUCUUGGUUGGUUGGUUUAUUUCACAACAUCACACACCUAUUUAUAGGCAUGUAUGCCGACUUCACUAGCACUUUCUAGUGCAUGUUCAUGCACACACUGCACCGACAUAUGACUUUUCAUAAUAGCCACAUAUUGUAUAAGCUGCUAGAACUUUCUAGCACAUGAUUAUAUACACACACCCACUGACUUAAUAGGAUAAUGCUAGAAUUAUCUAGCAUAUUGAUACGCCUGCAUGAUGCACCGUCUUUAGUGCUAGAAUUUUCUGGAUUUGUGUAGAAUGGGCUGGGGUUGGACUGUUUUAACAUUUUUAACUAUUUACAUGAAAAUAAUCCAGUUCACUUAAGGGAAACAUAUAAUAUUUACAACCAUCCGAAGAAAGUUUGUUCGAUGGAUUACUUCAUAUACUAUCUACUUAUUUAAGGAUGCCCCAAGGACCGGGUUCAAUCUUCUGUUUCUGUGUGCAUUAGAUAGCUGGUUGAAUAAUCCACUCUCAUAUCAAUUACAUUUACAUUUACUCUAAUUUAAGCUAUAUUCUUUCUUCCGACAGACUUUGAUCCCCCGCCAAAACCUGGUGGAAGUGGCGUGCCUACAGGUGGUGUGGUUGGAAUUGUGGUCGGAGGAGUCUUCAUUAUACUACUGAUAUUUGGUAUUCUUUGUAAGAGAGGUCUCCCAGGACAACAAAAGACAUUGGAGGAUGGUAAUAAUUUGCAGUUUAUUCUGUUAUACUGGUUUUUCUUUUUGUUUCUCCAUUACUUUUUCUUAUUGAACUUUUUUCGUAACUAAGAACAAUAUUUAUGCUAUUUUGCAUGGUUCUCAUGCAUAUUGACGUGCAUACACAAAGACAGUAAUUAUUUAGAUAUUGAGCUUUUUGGCCCUUUGAUGUUGCUAUAAUAUAUUUAUCGUCCAAACUCAUGAUGCGGAUUGCAGAGUGUCUGCCUAUAGAUCCAAUUACUAGUUAAAUUCUAGAAGCACAAAAUAUUAAGAACUAAGAAUACUAUCGUUCUGAAAGUUUUCUUCGACACAAUUUCUUAUGAGUUUUACUUGUGAUACAGAUUUGAAGGGUGUGGGCUUGCAAACCGGUAAAUUUACCUUAAAGCAACUCAAAGAUGCCACAAGCAACUUUAACAAAGCCAAUAAGAUUGGUGAAGGUGGUUUUGGUUCAGUUUAUAAGGUAUUCUUCGGAGCUGAUAUUUAUUUAUUUAUUACAUUUUUUUCUAAUUUGAUAUUGUCUGUUCAAAUGAAAGUUAAUUUGCUUUAUAUAGUGAGGCGAAUUUGACUAUCUUUCUCAAAUGCAGGGCGUUCUAGCAGAUAACACCGUAAUAGCUGUUAAGCAGCUUUCUUCCAAAUCAAAGCAAGGGAAUCGUGAAUUUGUUAAUGAGAUUGGCAUGAUUUCUGCUCUGCAACACCCUCAUCUUGUCAAGCUCCACGGAUGUUGUGUUGAAGGAAAUCAACUAUUGCUUGUCUAUGAGUACCUGGAAAAUAAUAGCGUCGCUCAUGCUUUGUUUAGUAAAUAUCAAUCUCGCUUGCCAAAAGUUCAUUUCAUUCAUACAAUGGGCAUAAAAGAUCUUAUGCACUAAAAAUGUCCUUUACAACUAACUUUGUUUAAUUUGGCAAAUUGAAGGGGCAAAAGAAAGUCAUUUGCAGUUGGAUUGGCCAACAAGGCACAAGAUUUGUAUUGGUACAGCAAGAGGUUUGGCUUAUCUUCAUGAAGAAUCAAGAUUGAAGGUCGUUCAUAGAGACAUCAAGGCUACUAAUGUUCUGCUUGAUAAAAAUCUUAAACCGAAAAUAUCUGACUUUGGAUUGGCCAAGCUUAAUGAAGAGGAUAAUACACACAUUAGCACCCGUAUUGCUGGAACUUAGUCAGUCCCUACACUUUUAUUUAUCUUCUUAUUCUCUUGUUUUGAUCUUCUUCAACCCUUAAAAAAGAAGAUAGAGCAACGGAAAGUCUCUAACUUACAUAAUUUCCAACCUAACCAAAUCCUUGUUCAAGAAAUUUCAAGGGCAGAUUUGUUCUUUCAAUAUAGUUGGGUUAAUGAUUUGAUUUCAUGAUAUUGCAGUGGAUACAUGGCGCCCGAAUAUGCAAUGCGGGGUUAUCUGACUGAUAAAGCAGAUGUCUAUAGUUUUGGUAUUCUUGUAUUGGAAAUUGUUAGCGGGAGAAACAACACAACUUACCGGAAAAAGGAAGAAAGCUUUUAUCUUCUUGAUUGGGUAGCAUGAAUCUACUACUUCCUAAUUUCACUUCAAAUUUUCUUAAUAUGCCUUAUACGUAUGAAAGUACAUUUGAAUCGAUGAAGUUUAAUCCAAAGACAGAAUUCAUAUUGCCUUUGAUGCUUCCAUUUUUUGUAGGCACGACUUCUAAAAGAUCAGGGGGAUUUGAUGGACCUAGUUGAUCCAAGGUUGGGAUCAGACUUUAAUAAAGAGGAGAUGAUUGUUGCAAUCAAUGUGGCUCUCCUUUGUUGCAAUGUUACUUCGACAGCUAGGCCUACCAUGUCUUCGGUUGUGAGCAUGCUUGAAGGAAAGGUUGUUGUUCAUGAGUUGGUCUCGGAUCCAAAUGCCAAGAGUAUUGAGAUUGAUGCAAUGAGGAAACAUUUUCAAUCUAGUUUUGGAAGGGGCACGGGAGAGAAACAUAUAGAAAUGGAGUCAACUGAAGGGCCAUGGACUGCUUCGUCUGCGUCUGCUCACGAUCUGUAUCCCGUCCAUCCUGAUUCAGAUUACUGGAAGAACAGAAGCGAUAUAACUUGAGCUGCACAGUUAUCAGUUUGACUCAACCUUGGCACACUCAAACACAUCAAAUAAUAAAUCAUUUGUAUUUCCUCUAUAACUAUUUGUUGACGUGAGUCAACCAUAUAGUUUAGGAAUGUGAUCAUGUGAUUGAUUCCUUGUAUAAUUCGGAUUCUUAUUUCCUAUUUUAUGGGACCUCUUGAACAACUAUUUAUUUACCUCCUAGAGAGAAGGAUACGUACAAUUACACCUUAACUUUUAUGUCGGUAUCAGAGGAUGCUUCGGCCCGUCUCUUUCCAAAAACCCUUAAAAACCCCCUCAAGGCAUGCAACUUGCAUCAAGAAUUAUUGCUGGUGUUUGUCACGAACCGAGAAAUCCAACGUCUGUGGCUUUGGAAUAAACAAAGCUACAAAGUCAAAAAAACAUAUCAAAAUAAACCUACAAAUCAGUCCCUGCAAUGACUGAAGACAGAAAAACAAAAACCGGUGAGAUAAUUCCCAUGCAAACUAUGUCUAUUCAAAGUGAGUCUACCAAAAUCAGCGGCCUUCCAUUCAGAUUUAGAUUGAGCGACUCGAAUUUCAAAGUUUAGUCGAAGAUGAUGGAGGUCCAUGCCUCUGGCCUUGGCAAACUGGGGUAUUUGACAGGAAAAACCCCUGUUGUUGCUGAAGACUCGCCUGGAUAUACAAAGUGGGUCAAUGAUCACUGCUAUAGUACGAGGAUGGUUGUUGAAAACCAUGAAGCCCCACCUAUCGAGUCUCUUUAUUGACUUGCCGACAGCCAAAGAUGUGUGGGAAAGUGUAACCCAGAUGUUUUACGACAAUUCAGACGAGUUCCAAUAUUGUGAACUCAGGUGUAGGGCUACGCGAACUAAACAAGACGGUCGUCCAGUAAAUUUGUACUUCACUGAACUCAAAGGAGUAUCGCAAGAUCUUGAUAAAAGGCGCCCUAUCAAGAUGAUAUGCAAAGCAGACCUGCAAAGCCGUAGGGAGGAGCUUUCAAAGGACAGGGUUUACGACUUUGUUGCGGGGUUAGAUCAUGGUUUUGAUCAAGUCAGGAGUGAAAUCCUAAGGAUGAAACCUAUCCCUGGGAUUGAAGAAUGUUUUUAUUUGGUUAGACGUGAAGGCCAGAGACAAACCCCUAUGCUUGAAACAAAAUCUAAAACCACAAGCUCUUCUAUGGUGAUGAUCACCAAGUCCCCAUCAUCAUCAUCCUUUCGUUUAACAUCCGCGGGAACAUCUAGCCCAAAUCGCACCCAAGAAGAUAUUUGACACGCCCCGAUCCCGAUAUUCCUCGAAUACCAAGAUAGGCACGUGCUGGCCGACACCCAAGGGUGACGAAAGCCAUUAAUUGAAUGCAAAUGCUGAGAAUAAGGAAUAGAUAAGGUUUAUAAAUAUAAAAGAAUAAAGAAUAUGCAUUUAAGGAACGUGUUCAGAGCACACAUCUAAUCGAGAAUAUUAGAAGAAUUAACAUAAACAAUUUGAAUGAACACAGAACGGGGUCCUACACCUAGAGGACUCGAAGAUACCGAUGCGGAAGUGUCUGGAUGCCGGGAUUGUACGCCUCGAUUCUAAGUCCUGAAGGGGGCGCAAAACAAACAUGAGUGGACCAAGUUGAUAUAUAUAUAAUAAAACAGUUAUCAACGUACUAACCCCCAGGUUUAUGAAAACAUAUAUAUAAUGAUAAACAUAGGUUUUCCGAAUUCUAGCAUGAUGUGCAGUAUCUCAAAUCAUAAUUCAUAUAUAAUAAUCACUAGUGAAUUGUCCGAUAACCCCCAGGCCCCAUGCCGGCUCCCCGUCUCUGAGCAGACAGUCAGAGGAAAAUACACUUCAGGCCCUAUGCCGGCUCCCCGUCCCUAUGCUAAAUAGCCAGAGGAAACACACUCCAAGCCCUAUGCCAACACCAAACCGUCGCCCGGGACGGACCGGAAUCUAUCCCUACGUCCCAUAGCAGAAAGGACCACUAGGUAAGUACAAAACCAUUGAACAUAUAUAUAUAUUAAAAAACAACUUCAUAGUAUAAAGUCAUCCAUCAUCUAUACUAUAAAGAGGUGUUCGAAACAUGUUCUACAUAUCAUAUCGUCAUCCAUCGGAUAUUCUAUAAGAACAUGGGUUAUAGGAAAAAUAGUAAUAAUUCAAACUAGCCUUAGUAAGCAUGUUAUCUCAAAACGUUUCAUAAAACGUAAUCAUUAAAUCAUGUCUUUCAUGUAUGCAUUUCUACUAUUAAAACAUGCUUUUGAAGGGGUCCACUCACAGUACUUAGCCGCCGAAGAGUCACGCAAACUAACGAACAAGAAAACGUCACCAAUAAUUGCCCCUAAGCACAUAAAGGGUCCAAUUAAUAAAACUCUAUUUUAACAAUUGAAUUGGGAAAACGGACUUCAAAAACGGGUCCAGGACGUCGAAAUUAGCCUAGGAGAGAUCCUGGACGAAAGCCAGAAUGGGCUUGGGGUUUGGGUUUUAAUUAAGCUAAAGGGACUUGGGAAAAGGGCUGAAAGCCCACUUUACAAUUGGCCCUAAGGCCUUACUUCCUAAAACAGAAAAUAAAUAAAAACCUUAAAAAGGUUUCUUGGGUUUGACUAAUGGGCUACGGGCCCUAAAUUCCUAAUGGCCCGAAGGCCUUUAAGGGUCCUAAAACAAUUACAAUUAAAUAAAAUAAUUAAAAGUAAAAUAGGCUAGGGUUUUGGGCUUGGCUCCCCAAACCACACGGGCCUAAGGCCCGCUUAGCAUGGAACCGGCCUGGGAGGCCUGUCUCGCCGGAGCACCACCACCGGAGCUUCACAGCUCCGGCCGACUUCCACACACAACCCUAGACUUCGAUCUAGGUACCAAAACGAAGAGCAAGACGAGGGGAGUAUUUCUAUACCUUCCUUUCGUCGUGGAAUGGACGGAGAUGGCCGGAAAAACCCCCGAGGUCGCCGGAGUUGGGUGUGCUUACACCCGGCUUCGAUUUCGUCCUAUAACCUCCAAAAAUCACGAAUUAACUCCAAUUAAACCUCAAUCUCGCAAGAAUCAAGGACGAAAAGAGAGAAUUAGGGGCUUACCUAACCGGAGAUUGAAAAAUCUCGCCGGAGCUCCUUUUCCGGUUCUCUGGGGUCGCGGGAACGAGAGGGAGAGAGAGAGAGAGCAGGACGCGGUGAUGAAGGGUGAUGGGCUUCCUCGCGCGGGGAGAUGGGUGCGUGCAUGUGUGCGCGGUGCAGAGAAGAGGGAGAGAAGUGAGAGAUGAGAGAGAGCCGAGAGGGAGAGACAGGAAGAAAGAAAAGAAAAACAGAAAAGAAGAAGGAGAAAUUGUUUGGGGUGCUGCCAAGUGGCAGAUUUAGAAAGAAAGGGAUCCAUUUUCAGAUUGGGUAGAUAAAAUGGGACAAAAUUGAUAUAAUUAAAAUGUUUUGGGGUAAUUACAUACAUAUAUUUUUAUAAUUAGAGGGCGGGUGUUACAAUAUUGACAAAGAUAAGCUUCACUGCAACCACUGCAAUGGAACAAGGCACACCGAAGAAACUUGUUUUGAAAUACACACAUACCCAGAAUGGUACUGGGAAAAAAUGAAGCAAUUGAAGGCCAAAAGGAGGAAGUCGGGCCAGGCUGAACUGGUCGAGAGACAGGACCUGGAUCCAACGGGAUUAAAGGCCGAAAUGAAGCAAUUAAUGAGCAAAUGAAUAUCUAAACUGGCCUUAACAAUUUUCAGCAAUAAAAAACAUGUCCCUUUAUCGAAGUUGCAUAAAUUACAGAACCUUGGGAUUAAGGAGGAAUAAAAAGCCCAAAUUCCAAUCAAGAAAAAAAAAAUUGUAUGUAAAUUUAAGCUUUACCUGUAGAUUGGCAGCAGCAAAAGCAUACUGGAUCCAACGGGAGCGAGAACUGGAUGCCCAGCCCUUGACACGUUAUCGAGUGAGUUUAGGGAUCUGGGUUUUGUGUUUGCCGUUGAAUUUUGGAAUGAUCUGGAGAAAUUUGGGUUUUAGGGUUCUAAGGAUUUGAGUGAACCGAAACUGAUUUGGAUGAGCAACUUUUGGUUUCGAUUCGCGGUGGAGCAAGGAUGAAGAGGUGGAGGAGGUAGGAACGAAAGGGUGAGAAAAUUUGGAUAGGCGGGAUUCGGUUUCGUUUCGAAUCAGGACAAGACCACCGAGAAACCUCAUUAGCACUCCACGUGUGCAAAAGGGUUUUUCGUCUUUUUACUGUACCAACUUGAAAUACACAAAGGCAAAUUGAAGAUGGGUAUUUUCGUCUUUACACCGUCGCUUAUGAACAAUGUUUUUUCCAUGGCGCUUUAGUAUAUAUAACUAGCAAAGAAUGUUCAAGAGCAAUGCUGCGGGAUUGAAAAUCAUACAAAAACUUUGUAUCUAGUACUAUUUAUAUACAAAGGAUAAUACUUUAUGUGUAUUACAUACUAUUUACAUACAAAAGAUUUGAUAGUCCUAUUAAAAAUCACACAAAAUCUACAAUCUGACUGAGUUACAUACUAUUUCCAUACAAAAUCUACAAUCUGAUUGAAAUACAUACACUUAAUAUGUGCGUACCCCUCUUGACCUUGAACUCCCCCUACAUAGUUUACAAAAUUUACAGAUUAAAUUAAAUAUAAAAUCCAACUUAUUAAUUAAUUAUCAAAAUCGGAAAAAAAAAAUUAAAAGGGUCAAAAGAGAGAAUAGGAGAGGAGUCAAAUACUAAAAAAUAAAAAGAAAAAAACGAAAAUAAAAUCAAUAAUAAGAUUACAUAAGCACAUUCAAUUUGAUGAUUUGGAAAUUAAAGCAAAGGCCUUUGACCUUCUACGUAGGCCUGGUGUAGACAUUGAAAUUUCGGUGGCAUAAAUGUUAGCCAUUGCAGUAAGAUUACAUUUGUAAACAUUGAAAUUUUGGUGAAAUAAAUGUUGACCAUUGUAUUAAAAUUACAACCUUCAUUCACUUCACCUACAUCAUACACUAAGUUCACCUACAACAUCCACCAAGUUUCACCUACAAACAUCCACCAAGUUUCACCUACAACAUCCACCAAAAUUCACCUACAACAUCCACCAAAACAAAUGGAUGGUGGUGAUUCGUUCCCAAAGCCUAUAAAUAGGCUCAUCCAUCAAAGAAUCAAUAAACCAAUUCACAAAUACAUUUCUCUACUCCCAAAAUGGAAGAGAAUACUCCCCACACAUCCAAAAUCCUUGAAGCUUUGAAACUCUAAAGCUUUCAAGCAUCCAACCUCCCAAAUUCAAGCAAAUCCCGAAGGAUCAAGAAAGCCCUCUUCGUUCUUCGUCAAAUCCUCCUUCAAGAUCAAGCCCUAACGGCCCUUGAAGAAAUUUCUCCUUCAAGAUCAAGCCCCAACGGCCCUUGAAGAACUUCCACCAAUUCAAGAUCAAGUCUCGACGGCCCUUGAAGAAAGUGUUCAACAAAUCCACACAACUGUUCAUCCUAAGAUCAAGCCCCGACGCCCCUUUUUGGAUCAACAACAUCACCAAAUCCACAUAAAAUGUUCAUCCUAAGAUCAAGCCCCAACGGCCAUUUGGAUCAACAACAUCAACAAAUCCACACAACUGUUCAUCCUAAGAUCAAGCCCCAACGGCCCUUUGGAUCAACAACAUCAAUAAAUCCACACAACUGUUCAUCCCAAGAUCAAGCCCCGACGGCCCUUGGAUCAACAAUCAUCCAUCUUCAAGAUCAAGCCCCGACGGCCCUUGGAUCAACCAUCCACCAAUUCAAAAUCAAGCCCCGACGGCCCUUGAAGAAAGCACCAUCGUUCAUCAUCCGUUCAUCCAAGAUCAAGCCCCGACGGCCCUUGGAUCAACAACAUCAACAAAUCCACACAUCCAACCGUUCUUCAAGAUCAAGCCCAAAAGCCCUUGAAGAUCCGUUCAUCACCGUUAUUCAAGAUCAAACCUUAACGGCCCUUGAAGAAACACUCAUCCUCAAGAUCAAGCCCCAAUGGCUCUUUGAAGAUCCGCUCAAAUCCACCUUCAAAGAUCAAGCCCACGGCCCCUUGAAGAAACUUCCAACAGUUCAUCCAAGAUCAAGCCUCGACGGCCCUUGGAUCAACGAAACAUCCAUAAAUCAACACCUUACGGAGAUCGAAUCAGAAGAUCAAAAUUGAGAGAGAUUGUAACCCAAAUCAAAAUCACAAAAUAUUAUUUUGUGCACGUUGUUCUUGUCUUUUUCGUUUCAGGAAUUUUCCGUGUUCACAAAUUGGCACGCCCGGUGGGAUAAUCUCUACCUCUCAUCUCUUUCUCCGUUCAAGGAAUCCAAAUCCACCUUCAAAGAUCAAGCCCACGGCCCCUUGAAGAAACUUCCAACAGUUCAUCCAAGAUCAAGCCUCGACGGCCCUUGGAUCAACGAAACAUCCAUAAAUCAACACCUUACGGAGAUCGAAUCAGAGGAUCAAAAUUGAGAGAGAUUGUAACCCAAAUCAAAAUCACAAAAUAUUAUUUUGUGCACGUUGUUCUUGUCUUUUUCGUUUCAGGAAUUUUCCGUGUUCACAAAUUGGCACGCCCGGUGGGAUAAUCUCUACCUCUCAUCUCUUUCUCCGUUCAAGGAAUCCAAACACACCUCAAAGUCAAUAGCAUCAAGCAAGGGACAAGCCGUUCUCGCAAUCACUGAGGGAAUGAUCCUAAGCACUUCUGCCGCAAAUGGACAAUCCAUUAGCGCCACAACCGCUCCUCAACAUGCCACUUCAAAGUUGGUGCCGCUAAAAGAGCAAAUGGAGCAUCAAAGGUGUGAGUCUGUCAUCAACCUGACCUCGCUGGGGGCACCGAAGCAUGCUGCUGAGGCACACAAGAUGACAUCCCAAAACAACCAACGACGUUCUUCGUCAGCAUCUUGGAUGUCUAAAGGAAAGUCACGUCUAGUGGUUGCACAAGUCAUGACCAUCAGCGUUACCUCCAUCGAAGAACAACUGGCUCAAAUGAAUGAAGCAAUCGCAAGGCUAACCCGAACUGUGGAAGAAACAGACUUGCAAAUCGCUGCACUCGUCAGUCGACUGGAGCCACAGGACGGCGAGAACCCUAACCCAGAAGAUGAGUCUACGGUAGAGAGAAUCGAUGUGAAGCUGGAGCCAGACCAAGAAGCGGCACUCAUGGGAUCUCUUUCUAUCCAGCAGUUGCAAGAGAUGAUUGCCAGCACCGUCAAGGCACAGUUCGAAGGGAGCUCAAAUACCUCUAGGUUGUACUAAAAGCCUUAUUCAAAGAAGAUUGAUGCCCUAAAGAUGCCGAGGGGAUAUCAACCACCAAAGUUCAUGCAGUUUGAUGGAAAAGGAAACCCAAAGCAGCACGUUGCACAUUUCGUCGAAACUUGCAACAAUGCGGGGACGGAGGGAGACUACCUUGCCAAGCAGUUUGUGCGCUCGCUAAAAUGAAAAGCCUUUGAAUGGUACACGGACCUAGAGCCUGAGUCCAUCAACAGCUGGGAACAGUUGGAAAGGGAAUUCCUCAACCGCUUCUACAGCACCCGCCGCACUGUGAGCAUGCUAGAGCUAACGAGCACAAAGCAGUGGAAGGACGAGCCAGUCUAUUUACUACUCCAGCAUAUCAUUCAUGGAAGAUAUGGCGGACACUCUUCAAGCCUUCCUGUUAUCCUCGUGUUAUAAAGAACAGUAGCUCAUCGGGUACAGCUACUUCAAUCGUGAGGCAUGAUGCAUCUCCAAGGUCAGAUUCUCAAUUAUUAAGUUGUUUAUAUUGAUAAUUGAUUUUUUGUGUAGCCGGUGGCCGAUAUUCGACUUUAAUUACAUAUCGAUUCAAUGGCAUUCAUAGAACCCGAUCUAAUAUGUGCGGACCGAAUACUUGCCUUACCCCGCCACAAAGCUGCCGCUCUAUUCCCGAACGAUUAUGGAAAGUUGUGUGAGCAUCGCCCAUAAUUGGGUAAGAAAAUGUACACCUGCAAGUCGCAACCGUGCAGAACGUACAUGAUACAGUACGAUUAUACGACAAAGAGAGUGCUUCGAGAACACAAAAGGUUGAGUGUGUGCGAAGGAAAGUGUCCUCCGUGGAUAUACCAUACUCUCAACGAUUUAUCAGAGACUACAUGACCAGUCAACACAUUUCUGUACCUCGUUCAAAUGAUGACAAGACUCUGCGUACUACUAGCAUCUGAACUAACUUGUUAUGUUAUUAUAUGAUUUGAAGUUUUCUUAGCCGUGUCUUAGGCAUGGAAAGAUCGCAUGUUCUUGGUUUCCUGCUCUCAAAUGCUGAGAUACUCAUGAGAAGCUUCCAUACUUUCUCAAGGUGUUUGUGAGAGAAGGUGUUGUUAUGCCGUGGACCUACUUAUUUACCUGGUACUCCAAAUUCAGUUUUCGCGCUACCAGAAUCUUCUGCUGAAAAGGAGUCGUGAUAUCCUGUUCUCUGAACAUAUCACGUUUUCCUAGAGCGUUAUGUGACGAAGCAAACGAGCAUACUUGCAAAUCCAAGAAUGGGGAAUUCCAUUUGGUUAUCAGAAACUAAGAUGUUCCGCCUUAUCAAUCAGACAGAAAGUAAUGGUUCAUCCUCCAAGCUUCAGUGGAGAUUCCCCCGCCCAUACUGUUAACUCUCAAGCCCUGCGACAAUGGACUGUCAGCGGCAUGUGCUUUAAGCCUUUUAAGACAAUACUUUCCCGUAUUCAGAAGUCCGGGCUGUUGAGUUGGGAGUUUACAGAUGAUCUAUUUACAUUUUGAAAGAGUCUAUUGCAUGAAUGCGAUAUUGCAGGUGUUGAGUGAGAGCCAAAAAACGAAGCAAAGCGGAAGGAUCGAAAGCUUUUGGGGAUCUCGCUUGAGUAUAAGACUAGUUCUUGCAAGUUAAGCCGAGAGAGUAUUCACUGAUUGGUGUCCGGUGUACGUGAGAUUGCUAGCCGAACUAACGCAAGGGUAUGGUGUAUCCACUUUGAGUUCAUUGGUAGAUAGGUGUGGUUUGUUUGCUGCAUUGCUUCAACUAUUUUUUUCUUAUGGGUACUUCUCCAAGGAGAGGAUUUCGUGAAGCCUAAUGCUUCUGCGCCAAGGCUUCAUGAGCAAGCCUGCGAAGAAGAUUUCAAAUCAUUUGUUGCUGUUCUUUUCCUUUCAUUAUUUAAUGAAGGAAUGUAGCAUCCAUAUGGGGGACUGUCCUACAGUAUCAGAAGCUGCCAAAUGCCUUGUCCUCCUCCUAGUAGGCCCGUUCCGGUUUGUAGCAUAGUCAUUCAAUCAGGUCAUCCACUGGUUGAGGGCACGCCUCUCACUCUGGACUUAGCUGAUUAUCCUCAGCCCUUUAACAAGUGUUGCAGUUCUUUGUCGAGCACGAAGCCGAGAAAAGAAUCCGAGACUAUUCUCGAACGUUUGUUUCUGAUCUUGAUCCAUUAGGCAAGUUUAGCUGCUGUAGAAGAGUUUCUUUGGGCUCUCGGGAUCACCAGCCGCGAGGGGAAUCUGGUUCAGAGCCUGCCUGCCCUCUGCUGGAAUAACUCGGGGAAUCUGGAACUCACACCGCACAGGUGCUCGUGCUUCAUCUCUGGUCUACUUCAAAUCUGCUUCACCACUCGUUCGCCAUUCAACCGAUCCAGAAACAUCUGUGAAUAUAGGAGAUACAGCUAGGAGGGAACCACACAAAGGAGUAGCAAGAGCACAAGACUCAUCAAAGGAAGGGUAAGCUGUUUGAAGCCUUCUCAGGAUGAAGCAAGAGGACCUCAAACAGAAAUGCAGCUACGUAGACGGGCACUCUUUUGAUAAAAGAUGUUCAAACUGAAGCCACAAAUGGGGACACUACUCUGAGGUUGUUACUGAUACCAAAGUGACAUGUAAUUAUUAUUAUUAUUAUUAAUUUGUGAAUAUGCGUGUUUGGGUUAUUUUGUUCAUGCUAACAAAGACACUUCUAGUAGUACUUUUUCACUAAGCAAUCUUCUUUCUUGCAUAUCUGUAUGGGUUUUGAUAUGGCAUUGGGGUUCCCGAUAGGAUUCAGUUUACAUUCCCCAAGCUUAUUGUGUUGAUUAUCAAUUAAAAGAUUAAUUCUAACGCGACAGAGAAUCAUGGUUCAUUGUUUCUGAUGGGCUACUUUAUCGACAAGGGUUUAUUGGGUAUUUGGUGAACCAAACCUUGCUAAGGGCAACUUUAAGCGAGAUGGGUAUGUGGGGUAAGCAAGUGGACAUUAACUUUGGUGUCCCUAUAAUGAGUUAGUCCUCCACGCGUUUGCGCUCUUACAGCACUUUAUCUUUUUAAAUUUCUUUAUAUUGGUAAAGUUGGUUGGCAAUUCACUUCUUAGAUAUCUCAUCUCGGUAUGAGGUUUGUUUAAUACCACUAACAACCUCCUCCUUCUAGUGAGACGUAUUUUCUUUUUUCGAAAUUUUUUUUGGUUGAGUAAUCGCUGCCAUAGUCAUCCAAUCUGCCUUUCCAAUACAAUUUCUGUUGAACAGUCAUUGAUGUUGUCUUCUGUAGGAUGAGGAAUCUGAUAAUAUCGCCUGUGAGAUGGGAUGAAUUGUUUAGAAGAUGAUGAAAUAUCUCAGAUGACGAAGAUGUGACCUAUUAUGUAUGUUAUUGGAGUCUUUAAUUUUUAUGUCCUGAACAGGAGUAUUGGAUACUUUGAGUUUUUAUUGUUGCUAUUAUUGGGUACUUUUGGCAGGUUCUAAGAGAUGAUCUCUGGUCCCGCUUUGCAUGCCGGGAUAAAGUUACAACCUGCAUGUCAUAAAUUGGGAGAACUCAACUAAUGAGGAUGCUACAUUCUAAGCUUUCCAGCCAGCAACGUGAACAAUCUACUAACCCCAGCUUGUCUUCAGUAGCCAUCAGUCACUCCGACAAAAGGCUUGUGCUGUGAAAAUCUCAUCAUAGAAGCGCUCAUAAAGCAAUCCAGACGCAUGCUACAGUCGUAAGAGGCUGCCAGAUCUGCUGAGCGAUAGGCUAAUAGUAUUCUGCUUAAUUAGGUUCAAUAUAGACUUGCAUGUGAAUUUUGCUCUUGCCCCAUGGCUGGGCUUGGAUCUGCAGCAGGGGCAUUAGGGGAGGCAGAGAUAGAUCAAGGACGUCCUAUUUUUGUCAUUCUAGUGAUCCUCCUAAGUUGAUUUUUACUUUCUGGAGGGGACAGCUUAAUAGGCUCUGACAUCAUAUCGGCUAUUCAGAGGACAGCUUGUGCAGAUAGGUAGAUGAUGAAAGUAUGCUGGAGUGAUUUUGUAUCAGUAAGGUUGCAGGCUAUGGAGUGAUAUUUACACUAUCACUACCAGGGCCAGAACAUUCCAAAACUGCAGGCAUUCGUUUGUUGAGAAGGGCAUAACCAAGUAUCCAUACCCCAACACCUGCAUCACAUGAUCUGGACAGCUCAAAUUUCUGCGACUUAACAAAUAUUUCUUGCACCUUCACACUUGCAUUCGCAGAUUCCAUUCGAAUUCAAUUGCAUCGAAUGUCACUUGUCUAUGCGCUCCGUAGUAUAUAUAGAAUGCCAGGAGUCGAGAAGGCUUUUUGACAGCUUGGUGAUGGACUCAAUGUCUUAAGCAUAAACACAUACAAUAAUAUGCUACCACAUAGGCAUCUUACGUUCUCCCCCACAUAAUAGAUGCAAUCGGACUGGAGGCGGCUGAGCGCCAUAAACCUGCGUAGGUCAUCUUAGAGGGCUUGGAACUUUAGCACUACCUUCCAAUCCUCGCCUGAAGCUCAGAAUGCAACAGUUUCCGACAUUUUUGCGGAGGUAAAGUUUUGGAAUUGAUGACUUGAGUACAACUUGGUGCUAGAGUUUUUCCUUGAGGAAUUUAUGUAACGAACGCUAAAUCUACGUCGCAAAAUUGAGAUGAUCGCCGGCCAAAAAUUCAUAGCGACACAAUGCCCUUGUCAGUAGUCGUCCAGCCAGUGGGCGCGCGAAGUCUUCACUUCUUGAUCUUUGUGGUUACCAUGUCUUUACACCAUCACAUGAGAUCCUUAUCUUUCAUAUGUUCACCCUUUUGAGACUCGGAACAACGUAUGUCUCAUGAGUUCUCCCAUGCGCAUAUUAAGAGUAUGUCCCUCAGCCGGAACCGUCCCUGUACCUCUCCCUAUAUAUAUUCCGAGCACCAGCAGUGCUGACUGGUCCAUGCACAUUAACAAAAUUUCACAAAUUCUCCUCCCCGCAAUGAACCAGAAUGAGUCUAAACUGGGUGAGCAUAGGCACAAGAAGAAGUCUCACCUUGGGGCUAGCAAAGUCGACGAGUCUAUUUUACACACGAAACCGGAUUUUGGAUUCUGCCUGCCCAAGACAGUUAACUGAGCCAGAGAUGAUUGCAUUCCCCAUCUCCAGAAAAUCUCUGUCGCUGAAGUAAGCAGAUGAAUCUCUUUAUGAACUGGCGUGGGCCACUGAGCCUGAUGGGUCCAACUGCUCUUUAGGCUUUCAGUCAAUCCAGAGCCUAAACAACCUAUAAUGAACCACAAGCUCACUGGUGCGCAGCCCUACCAAGAGUAAACUAGUUGGCAAUUGCGAUAAGAACUGUGCAUAAUUCUUCAAAUGUACGCACAAAAUCAAUCGAAGUGCAAAUGAGGAAUGUUACUGUUAAAACUCUCAUUCAAGAUGGCUCACUCAAAUAUGCAAAUUACGGUCGACAAUAUGCCCUCAAAUGCUGAUCCCUCUUGUGUGUUGUCCCUUCUCCUGGAAUCCGAAAGCCGUUAGUUCGUAGCUCCUGUUAAUUGCCAGUUUUUCCAUACAGAAACAUUCAAGAAGUUCGAAGGUUCAAAGUCAAUAUACACUAAAUUAAGAAUUAGAGAAAAAAUAUAAAGUUUUAUUAGAAUGGAAAGUGCAAUUUCUAGUGUACAAAAAUUAGUAAUAAAUAAUGCACGUGAAAUAGUCACUAUUCGUAAGUUUACAUAUAGAAAAACAGACUAAAUGAAGAACAACCCUACAAUAACCAACCAGAAUUUGUUUAAAGUUUUGCUGGUCAGGCCCAGAUAGAAUAAGUUAAGAGAGAAAUAUAAAGUAGACGCUUUCUUAUUUUAUUUUUUUCUCAUGAUAAUCAAUUUACACCUAAUAAAUUUUAUUAAUGAUAAGUAGAUAUCUUAUAAGAAUAUAAAAUAAAUUUUCAUAUAUCAAAUAUUAACAAUUUUGAGAGGGAUGCUUAAAAAAGAAUUAAACCCAAUUUUCCAUCUCCUGAUCUAUCUUCCCUCCUUCAGGAAUGCGCUUCGACUUAACCACUCAUAUCCCUUGGCUAUCCGUGUCUCUCACAAAUGCAUAGUUGAAGACUUGAGCAAGAGUGAACAUCGUUAUAUAUGAAGCAUACACACUAACUCAGACAGAACUUCCUUCAGUGCUAGACGUGAGAAAUGAAACCCUCAUAUAAUAGUUAGAAUCCAAAAUUAUUACAUUAGGAGCUUUUCAAUUGACGCAGUACGAGCCUAGACGAUGCGGCCAUAUUGGUGCUGAACAAACCUCUGAAAUCAAUGCCCUUGAUUUUGAAGCCCGAAGCUCAAAACUUGGCGGAGUAGCGCAUCAGAUUCCUGCAAUUUCUGAGUGUUAAUACCUCUCGCGUUCUGUCUAUGAGAUUUGUUUAUCCCAACUUAGAUCACCUUGGCGAGCUUUAAUCUGCAGACUAUUAUUGAGUCUUUCCUGCGUUCGACCUCCUCGAAACCUAACUCGCUGGUGUGAAAUACUGCAAUGAUAUUCUUCAAACUGCGAUGCAGCCGCUGAAAUUGAUUCAAAACUUUUGGUACUUAGUUCUUCGGUGCAUUAAUAAUUUGGCUGUAGGGCUUUCAUUAUUUUAGGACUUUCUAUUCCUGCAUCAACGUACUAUCUUGGAGCUCAAUGGGAUGAAUCUCUCGAUAAUAUGGUCGCCUAUCUCUAGAUCCGGACUAUUGGUGUAAAAUACUGAUUUAAUCUCGGGUAAUUUCUAUAGGUUAGUUAGACACAAAUGGUCAAUUACACGUUGGCCAGGACCACGCGCUAGUACAAGCAUACAUUUCAUAAAUUCUCUAAGCCAUGCGUCGAUAGAGUCACCCCAGCACAGUGCAAGUAUCUUAAGGAUAUGAAUACUAAGUAGGCAAUAUGAAAGUGUGAAGCAAUGUGUGGGCCCAUAUGGUUAAUCUGAGAAUAGACAGACUCACCUCAGGUUCACCGAGUUUUCUAAAUCAAAAAUCGGGGUCGGUCGGUAUGUUGUCUUCUAGUAUACUAUUUUCUAAAGCGUUUGUUGAAAUAAAGACACUGACCGGUGAUAUAGCAGGAGCAAUUCAAGAUCUAAUGAAGUGCAGGAAUGAAAUUUUUAACAGAGGCUGACAACUCAGAGAGUGUGAGUCUUUCUUGUAUACAACGAAUACUGAGCGAUUCGACCUUUCUAUAUAAAUGUAUCAAGCCAUUCACGACGGGUGACUCAAAAAGAUGUCGUAAGACCGUCUGGAGCUCCGAGAAUUCGGAUGAUGAGGACAUAUUUCAAAUAAUACUCAAGAGGGCUAAGUCAGGAGAACACUUGAAAAGAAAGUUAUUCUGCACUUUUCCAUGCUAUAUCUGUGCCAACUGCAAGUUUAAACAUUCCCGCUUACAAUACGCGCCCAAAUCAGCUCUGAUGGAAAAAGUUACUUUGCGGGGCACGAAUGUUUGUAAAGAGCUCGCAUGGAAAUUCGCGCAGUGAGUUUAUCGAAGAAGCGAGCGUGUACUUAUUCAUCGCUACGUUCAGCACCUGGUCCAUCUCUGGGCGAAAACUCAUCUUACGGGUAUUUAAUCGAAAGUGAGGCAAUUUAUCAGAGGCGUUUAUGAAGCCUGUCUGUCACAAGCCCAAGUAAGUAAAUCUCAAGAACACGCACCUGGUCGUGCUCAGUCUUUGCAGGUACUGGCGUUCGCUGAGACACACGUGUCCUAACUACACUUUGCUUCAGCUCUUUUAGAUUACAUAUUUGGAGCUAAAAUUGCGUACUUCACUACGGACAGAGAGUUUGUCGGAGGAUUUUUCUGGAUAUGUAAAUAUAAUGAAGUAUAUAUUGAGUCUAAGCUUCCUACGCUCAUCUAUUGGCUGUUUACCGACAAACCGCGUGUGAAAGUAGAUAUAGUUCAGGUUUACCCAAUACCUGAUGUAUUAAAGUAAUGUUUUAUCUCUUUCUCUGUGUUACGUAAGCCUGUUGUCCAACCUCUCUACCCCUCCGUCCAAUAUGCAAUGUCUGAACAUACUAUUACUGCUUAAUCUUCAUAUCUACUCGAGAAUGACGCGCUUUUCUCUCUCCCUCAAAGACGUAUAAAGAACCUUCGUCGGAGUGAUGAUCAGUUCAGUCUUUGAAUCUUUAGUUGUCACUUUGGGUGUCCUCUGCUGCAAAAUACUAUUAUCGACUCACUCUCCUAGCGCACGAGAGGUAUCAUCAGUUGAGAUCAACCAGAGUAUGGUUUAAAUUGCUCUUUCUGAAUCGAGCCAUAAUUCUUACAAUCAUGUCUUUACUCCCUUUCCCAUUCUCUCUGUUUUCCGCUUUUUACUCUUACCCUGUACAAACUUCUCACAGGAUAGAGAGGUCAAAUACAUAUAUGCCAGGAAUACUCUCCCAGCUCUCCAAUAUACUUCGGACGACCAACAUUAUUUCCUGCGUCCACAUGAGUUGGACUAUCUGGACUGUUAUCGAGGUACAAGUCGGGCAAGAGGUGAAAAUUUGUGGAGUAGCAUGCAGACAGUUAAUGUGGAUACAAUCGUAGCAUGACUAUCACGCUAAAAUAAGUAGAAAUUACCACGAAGAAGAUAAUGCUUAUUAACUAUCUAGCGAACAAGCAUUGCCUCAAGCCAUAAGUGAGUGUUUUGAGCUGAGAUCUGUUGAUAUUCUAAUGACUGAAACUUCGCUCUACAUUCUGCUGAGAGGACGAGAGACGAGACCGAACAAUUUGGCAGUGACCUGUUGCACGAUGAAUCAGUCAUAUCAGUCAAAGAGGAGUUCUGAGGCGAAGAACUCAUGCAGGAAGAUGCUUAUGGCAAUGACCAACCAGCCUCGCCAGAAAUGGAGACUCCAUAGAGCGAGGAAAAUGGAUAACAUUCUUAAAGCUAUGGAGGACAUAGUGACAACAACAUAUCAUCGUUCUGUGCUCGAAAUCCUUCAAUGUGCGCGAGUGCGCUUCUCUGUUCAAAGAAUUUGCAAAAGUUGUUCUAGUUCUAUUGAUCAUCAGUGUAGCACAGUUCUUCUUGUGUUUAUAAAUUUGUAGGUUUGCGUCGAUGAUUAGAUAGCUCGGUUUGUGGAACCUCCAACGACUCUCAUGGGGUCGACUUGACUAGGCGUUGUUAAGGGCUGACAGCUUUCUCACCAACCCUUAAUCAAGCCUUAAGAUUUCAAGUCACCAACUGGCAAGAAGAGAGGCCCACGCAUCAAUUCUUGACAUAGAGCCAUCUUACCUUUGACGCACACAAGUCUGGUCUCAUUGACUUGGUGAAUUAAUGCAGAACCUCUGGUUGUAAUCUCACAGACACACUAAUCGGUUCACCGUUUCUUCGUGCCUUGUCUUGUGGCCCUUUCGAUUUAACCUCUCUCAGAAGAAUCAAUGCAUCAGACCCUGAAGAAGUUUCCGGCCAAAUUCAAGAUCAAGCCUCGACGGCCCUUGAGGAAAUCACAAGUCCGAUUCAAGAUCAAGCGUCCACCAUAUUUGAAUCAAAUCCAGUUCAAGAAUAAGCUGUGGAAAAUCAACAAUUGGAGGAAUCCAAAAAAUCCUCCAACCCAGUUCAAGAUCAAAGCUGUGGAAAGUCAACAAAGCGCAAAAACAAAUACGUGCCGAUUCAUCCACUACCAAAACCAAAGAUCAUCUACCACAUAAAGCUCCUUGUGGUCCAAUUUCAACCUUCAAGAUCAAGCCUCGACGGCCCUUGAAGAAAUUUCGAACAAAGUCCAAGAACAAGCCUCAACGGCCCUUGAAGAAAUCUCCAGCCCAAUUCAAGAUCAAGCCUCGAUGGCCCUUGGAUUGACAACUACAUUAACGGACUUCAAAACGCAUCUCCUACAUGUAACAAGCACAUGUAUACAACGCGCCUUGAAGUGGGGGCAUUUGUAGACAUUGAAAUUUCGGUGGCAUAAAUGUUAGCCAUUGCAUUAAGAUUACAUUUGUAAACAUUGAAAUUUUGGUGAAAUAAAUGUUGACCAUUGUAUUAAAAUUACAACCUUCAUUCACUUCACCUCACCUACAUCAUAGUUUCACUACAAGUUCCACAGUUUCACCUACAAACAUCCACCAAGUUUCACCUACAACAUCCACCAAAAUACAAUCACCUACAACAUCCACCAAAACAAAUGGAUGGUGGUGAUUCGUUCCCAAAGCCUAUAAAUAGGCUCAUCCAUCAAAGAAUCAAUAAACCAAUUCACAAAUACAUUUCUCUACUCCCAAAAUGGAAGAGAAUACUCCCCACACAUCCAAAAUCCUUGAAGCUUUGAAACUCUAAAGCUUUCAAGCAUCCAACCUCCCAAAUUCAAGCAAAUCCCGAAGGAUCAAGAAAGCCCUCUUCGUUCUUCGUCAAAUCCUCCUUCAAGAUCAAGCCCUAACGGCCCUUGAAGAAAUUUCUCCUUCAAGAUCAAGCCCCAACGGCCCUUGAAGAACUUCCACCAAUUCAAGAUCAAGUCUCGACGGCCCUUGAAGAAAGUGUUCAACAAAUCCACACAACUGUUCAUCCUAAGAUCAAGCCCCGACGCCCCUUUUGGAUCAACAACAUCACCAAAUCCACAUAAAUGUUCAUCCUAAGAUCAAGCCCCAACGGCCAUUUGGAUCAACAACAUCAACAAAUCCACACAACUGUUCAUCCUAAGAUCAAGCCCCAACGGCCCUUUGGAUCAACAACAUCAAUAAAUCCACACAACUGUUCAUCCCAAGAUCAAGCCCCGACGGCCCUUGGAUCAACAAUCAUCCAUCUUCAAGAUCAAGCCCCGACGGCCCUUGGAUCAACCAUCCACCAAUUCAAGAUCAAGCCCCGACGGCCCUUGAAGAAAGCACCAUCGUUCAUCAUCCGUUCAUCCAAGAUCAAGCCCCGACGGCCCUUGGAUCAACAACAUCAACAAAUCCACACAUCCAACCGUUCUUCAAGAUCAAGCCCAAAAGCCCUUGAAGAUCCGUUCAUCACCGUUAUUCAAGAUCAAACCUUAACGGCCCUUGAAGAAACACUCAUCCUCAAGAUCAAGCCCCAAUGGCUCUUUGAAGAUCCGCUCAAAUCCACCUUCAAAGAUCAAGCCCACGGCCCCUUGAAGAAACUUCCAACAGUUCAUCCAAGAUCAAGCCUCGACGGCCCUUGGAUCAACGAAACAUCCAUAAAUCAACACCUUACGGAGAUCGAAUCAGAUGAUCAAAAUUGAGAGAGAUUGUAACCCAAAUCAAAAUCACAAAAUAUUAUUUUGUGCACGUUGUUCUUGUCUUUUUCGUUUCAGGAAUUUUCCGUGUUCACACCUGGCAAUUCCUGACACGACCUGAUAAUCCGACACGACACGACACAAAAUUAACAGAUGUUCGGGUCGACACGAUAACGAAUCGGGUGUUAUCGGGUAACCCGAUAAGCAACUGUUAAGAUAACGGGUUAGUUCGAGUAUACAUGUGGAUAACACGAUAAGCACCUGUUAAUAAUUUUAUAACGCUAAAAAAUACUAUAAUAAUUAUAUAUAUUAAUUUAACAAUUUUAUACCCCUAAAAAGUUUAAAACUAUAAUAAUUAUAUAUAUAUAUAUUAAAUUAACUAUAAUAAUUAUAUAUACUAUAAUAAUUAUACCCCCAAAAUAUUAACUAAAAUAAUUAUAAUAAUUAUAUAUACUAUAAUAAUUAUACCCCCAAAAUAUUACUAUAAUAAUUAUAUAUAUAUAUAUAUAUAUUAAGUUUUAAAUUAAAUUUAUACCCCUAAAAACUAUAAUAAUUAUACGUACAAAAUAAAUAGAUUUAAAUCUACAUAAUAUAUAUAUAUAUACACACCAUUGAACUUGAUGGAAUACACGAAACUAAUUUCAACGAUCCAACCAUUAAACUUGUUUGUAUAUGCUUCGAGAUCGCAUCAGCAAAAAAUUGCAAAAAACAAACAUUUAGAGAUCAAGUAACGAGACAAAACUUUUCGACGGUUAUAAAACAAAAAAUUACGAUUUAACAGUUAUUUUAACUCCGAUUUUGAUAUUUUUUACAGCUACACUCGUUGACCAUAUAUGAAUACAAUGAAUGAAUUCGAUUUUCAAUUUAAAAUAUUUACACUAGUGGAUACUACAAAAUUUUAUGUUAUACUUAAUGAAAAUAUAAAUAAACUCUAAGUGUUAGUGAAUCUAUCGUUUUGAUGAGAUACAAACUCUAUGAAACUAAUUUUAACGAUCCAACCGUCAAACUUGUUUGUAUAUGCUUCGAGAUCACAUAUGCCAAAAAUCACAAAAAAAAAACAAUCAGAGAUUAAGUAAUGAGACAAAACGUUUCGACGGUUAUAAAACAAAAAAUCACGAUUUAACGGUUAUUUUAACUCCGAUUUUGAUGAUUUUUUACAACGACACUCCUUGACCCUAUACGAAUUCAAUGAAUGAAUUGGAUAUUCAAUUUAAAAUAUUUACACAAGUGGAUAUCACAAAAUCUUAUGUUAUACUUAAUGAAAGUAUAAAUAAAAUCUAACUGUUAGUGAAUCUAUCGUUUUGAUGAGAUAUGAAUUCUAUGAACCUAAUUUUAACAAUCCAACCGUCAAACUUGUUUAUAUAUGCUUCGAGAUCGCAUACGCCAAAAAUUACAAAAAACAAACAUUCAGAGAUCAAGAAAUGAGACAAAACAUUUCGACGGUUAUAAAACAAAAAAUCAUGAUUUAACGGUUAUUUUAACUCCAAUUUUGAUGAUUUUUUACGACUACACUCAUUGACCCUAUAUGAAUACAAUGAAUGAAUUUGAUCGUCAAUUUAAAAUAUUUACACAAGUGGAUACCACAAAAUCUUAUGAUACACUUAAUGAAAGUAUAAAUAAACUCUAAGUGUUAAUGAAUCUAUCGUUUUGAUGGGAUACGAAUUCUAUGAAACUAAUUUUAAAAAUCCAACCGUCAAACUUGUUUGUAUAUGCUUCAAGAUCGCAUACGCCAAAAAUCACAAAAAACAAACAUUCAGAGAUCAAGUAAUGAGACAAAACUUUUCGACGGUUAUAAAACAAAAAAUCAUGAUUUAACGGUUAUUUUAACUCCGAUUUUGAUGAUUUUUUACAACUACAAUCUUUGACCCUGUACGAAUACAAUGAAUGAAUUUGAUCGUCAAUUUAAAAUAUUUACACAAGUGGAUACCACAAAAUCUUAUGUUAUACUUAAUGAAAGUAUAAAUAAACUUUAAGUGUUAGUGAAUCUAUCGUUUUGAUAUGAUACGAAUUCUAUGAAACUAAUUUUAACGAUCCAACCGUCAAACUUGUUUGUAUAUGCUUCAAGAUCGCAUAUGCCAAAAAUCACAAAAAACAAACAUUUAGAAAUCAAGUAAUGAGACAAAACUUUUUCGACGGUUAUAAAACAAAAAAUCAUGAUUUAACGGUUAUUUUAACUCCGAUUUUGAUGAUUUUUUACAACUACACUCCUUGACCCUAUACGAAUACAAUGAAUGAAUUUGAUCGUCAAUUUAAAAUAUUUACACAAGUGGAUACCACAAAAUCUUAUGUUAUACUUAAUGAAAGUAUAAUUAAACUCUAAGUGUUAAUGAAUCUAUCGUUUUGAUGCGAUACGAAUUCUAUGAAACUAAUUUUAACGAACCAACCGUCAAACUUGUUUGAUAUGCUUCGAGAUCGCAUACGCCAAAAAUCACAAAAAACAAACAUUCAGAGAUCAAGAAUUGAGACAAAACUUUUCGACGAUUAUAAAACAAAAAAUCACGAUUUAACGGUUAUUUUAACUCCGAUUUUGAUGAUUUUUUCAACUACACUCCUUGACCCUAUACGAAUACAAUGAAUGAAUUUGAUCAUCAAUUUAAAAUAUUUACACAAGUGGAUACCACAAAAUCUUACGUUAUACUUAAUGAAAGUAUAAAUAAACCCUAAGUGUUAGUGAAUCUAUCGCUUUGAUGGGAUAUGAAUUCUAUGAAACUAAUUUUAACGAUCCAACCGUCAAACUUGUUUGUAUAUGCUUCGAGAUCGCAUAUGCCAAAAAUCACAAAAAACACACAUUCAAAGAUCAAGUAAUGAGACAAAACUUUUCGACGGUUAUAAAACAAAAAAUCACGAUUUAACGGUUAUUUUAACUCUGAUUUUGAUGAUUAUUUACAACUACACUCCUUGACCCUAUACAAAUACAAUGAAUGAAUUUGAUCUUCAAUUUAAAAUAUUUACACAUGUGGAUACCACAAAUCUUAUGUUAUACUUAAUGAAAGUAUAAAUAAACUCUAAGAGCAAGUCCACCCCUAAGGACUUUGCGCCAGCACCCAGCGUAUUUAUCCACCCAAGUGAACAGUAAUAGACCCCAAUGAACAGUAAUAGGCUAAAGCAGCUCCACCCCUAAAAAUGGACUGGCACCCAGCCCAUCUAAUAUUAUAUUAUUUUAUUCAUAUCAAUUAAUAUUUUAUCAUUUAAUUUAUUUUUUCUUCCUUUCUUUGUCCGGUCCUCACCCUUUUAUUCUCUCUCUCUCUCUCUCUCUCUCUCUCUCUCUCUCUCUCUCUCUCUCUCUCUUUUCCAGCUCACUCCCGUGAGCUCUCUCUCUCUCUCUCUCCUUUUUCUCCAUGUUUUCUUCUUCAAAUGAGCACCCAGCACCUGAAAUGGACCUCUUCCCCCAAAAAUGGGAGGUCGCCGUGGAGGUGCUCCACACCAACGGUUGGGAUCUCGCCGGAGCUCCACACAAACGCUCACAGGCACCUCGUUGUCGUCUCCUCACCGGAGCUCGCCAUGGAGGUGCUCCACACCCACGGAGUCGGAUCUCGCCGUGGAGGUGCUCCACACCAACGCUCCUCGAAAAAUGGACCUCCUCCUCCUCCGCAUUACCCGGCUGGCGUCAGCAUGAGUCAGAUGUACCGGGCAACACCUCAGUCAAUUUUGGACUGGGCUACAGACCAGCUUGCGCUGGGUGCCAGUCAAUUGGGUCGGGUGGAGGGGUUUCACAGGGUGCUGGGCAGUUUUUUCAGCUGGGUGCUGGGCAAAAUGCCCUCCGCUGGAACUGCUCUAAGUGUUAGUGAAUCUAUCGUUUUGAUGAGAUACGAAUUCUAUGAAACUAAUUUUAAUGAUCCAACCGUCAAACUUGUUUUUUAUUAGGCUCUUAUUUUCAUGUGUAGAUGUAGUACUUAAAUGACAAAUAUGUUUUAAUGUUUUGAAGUAAUAUUUAUGUGGUCAAACUUGUUUUUUAUUAGGCUCUUAUUUUCGUGUGUAGAUGUAGUACUUAAAUGACAAAUAUGUUUUAAUGUUUUGAAGUAAUAUUUAUGUGGUAAUGUGUGGUAUAUGCAAAUUUAAGAAAAAAAUAUAUUUUUCUUAACGGGUCAUAAAGGGUCGGGUCACUUUACCCAGGGUCGGGUCACUUUACCCGUUGGGUAAAGUGACCCGACCUGUUAAAGACCCGUUAAGAUAACAUGUGUGACACGACACGACCCGUUACGAUGACAGGUGUUAUACGAAAACGACACGAACACGACAGACACGACCCGUUUGCCAGGCCUACUUCUAUGACAUAUUAAAUACCUCCUUGAGCACAAAAAUAGAAAGAAAGGAGGCAUAACAUAUAAUAACUCUAGUUUGGGCUAAUUCAUUCACAUACUAAGUGUCAAAGAGGUUAAUAUAUAUAUAUAUAUAUAUAUAUAUAUAUAUAUAUAUAUAUAUAUAAUAUAUAUUUUUUUUUUUUUUUUUUUUGGUCGAAGAGGUUAAUAUUUUUAUUGGAACUAAGACUUCUGUUUUAAACAAAAGAAGAAAACACGCGGCAGACAGAAAAACAUAAAGUGGAGUACUUACAUCAGGCCAAGAAUCGAUAAUGAGCUCUGCAAUUCAUUGGCUAUAUCUCAUUCCACAUCAACUUGUUCCUUCUCAGUUGGCCGCUAAAACCAACCAUUCCAAUUUAAUUAUAAGAAAUCAAUAGGAAGGCUAGUAAUUUAUUGUCAAAGUUCACCGUAUAUAGAUUUCCUCAGAUAUAAUUCAUCGUAUAUAGAUUUCCUCAGAAAUACGAUAAAAUACAAUUACAUUAAAUCUAAGGGUUGAAUUGCAAACUCAAGCAUUUCCUUGUAAAUAAAAACUAAUAAUAGCUCAUGACAAAAAAUUUACAGAACACAUAAAGUAGAAACAUUAGUACCUAAUUAGACAUGAAAAUUACAGAAUAAGCCGGAUUAAGCCAUCUAAAAACAGAAUAAGCCACUCAGUACUACGAUGGUCUAGUGAUAUUUCUCUUCACUUUGAAGUGAGAUGUCGUAGGUUCGAAUAUCGUGGAUGGUGAAUUCGAUAUCAAAUUAGGCUGUCUAAUGUGUGACUUAGCCAAACUUCCCCUCCCUUGGUAUAAAAAUACGAUGUACUAAAAAAAAAAAAAAAAAAAAAAAACAGAAAAUUAAUACCACCAUAGCGAAAUACUACAGAAUAAUCUAAUUAUUUAUGCAUUUGGCAAGUUAAAAUAAUUAACUAAAAAACUUGGAGCAAAACAACACUUUAAUUCCAUGGUUGGUUUUAUAUAUGUGUUUGGGCCCAAAAUAAUAGUUUGGGUCGAGUUUAGUGACUCUUGGCGUAGUAACCAUUUAGGGUGUGUUUGUUGCACCAAACUAUCUCGAACUGGACUUAGCUCAUGGACUAACCUAGAUUGACUUAGACUAGAUUAAGCUGGACUAACUUAGUGAAGCGUUUGUUGCAGUGUCAGACUAAAAAGCUGGACUAACAAUAAAUUAUUAUUAUAUUCUAAUUUUUUUUAUUAAGAAUAUCAAAAUUAAUAGAUUAAAGAAAGAGGAUAUCUUCUUCGCCAAUUUCCUGGUGUUCCUCAACACCUUGGAAGUUACAAAAUUUCCAAUAACAAAAGGCUUAAACUUGAUCUUGAAGAUAAACCUCCGCUGCUAAAGACCCAAUUCCCAAAUAUUUUGAUUAUUACAAAUAAAAAGUACCCAUAACCCUAAAAAUACCCAAUCUUCAUCCUUCUCACCCUCAGAUUCCUAUACCCAUGGCCAUGUAUGCGACUGAAGAUAGACAUCGACCACUAAAGGCCGUCGUCGAAGAGUCGAGCUUAAUCAUCCAAAGAAAUCGCCAGAUUAUAUAAUCGAUUCGGUUUGAGAUUUGCAUCGAAUGCGACCGCUAAGAGGAACUCAUCAAUUAAUUUCCCAACGAGCUUGAUCUAGCAGAGAGAGGUAAAGACAAAGAUAGAUGAGGAAAGACGAAGAAGGAGGUAGCAAGUGAGGAAAGCGAAGAAGAAGGCAUAUCGUAGUCCUUGGCAAUCCCAUGGUUUAACACGAGACUAUUUUGGACAAUCUAACGAGGCUCGGAGUCCACACGAGUCCGGGCUAGUCUCAUUUAAGUUAGUCCCCAAGCAUACCAAACAUGAGACAAUAAUCCUAGCUAGUCCAGUCCCACUUAAGAAGGUGAAACAAACACACACUUAGAGUCCUAUCAUGGGCCGUCCAAUCAUCAUCGACCGUCUAGUUAAGGUUGGCCGAAUCCCAUUGCAAAGAGGAUUGGUUUAGAUAAAAAGUAUACUCUAAGAGACGAGCGAUAAUAGUGCUAUACAUACCAGGUUGCUCAAACUACUGGUCAAUAAAGGCCACGAAGAUGGACCCGUCGAUCGUUCCCGACAGCCCUCACUUAAGAAUAAUUUGCCACCAGUGAUACAAGCCGAGACAAUAUAUGGUUGGCUCAAAAUGAUUGACUUAAAGAAAAGGGGUGGAUCAACUAGUAGAUCAGACAUAUUUGACCAAGGAGCGGAAACAACAUCUAUUGAUAUGGUCGAGGUUUAGAGAAUGAUUGAUUCGGCCCUAAAAAAAGGGCCGAAGUUUCCGAAAUUCAUUCACCCAUAUCCAGCAUUCGUAGAAAAGUUUGAAUACCCCAAGAGGUUCAAAAUUCCGGAUUUCAACCUUUUCGCCGGAGAGUCAUCCUUAUAGUCGUUAUAACAUGUAGCUCAAUUCACUGCCCAACGUAGGGACGUUAACAAUGAUUUUCAUAAGCUUCGACUGUUCAAUUUCUCAUUAACCGGCUCAGCAUUCGCGUGGUAUAUAAACCUUUCACCUAAUUCCAUCCAAAGCUGGGAGGAAUUAGUUAAGAAAUUUCAUGAGCAGUUCUAUCGACCAGGGAUGGAUGUGUCAGUAUUUUCUCUGGCCAGGAUGGCUCAAGCUUCUGACGAGUCGCCAAUGGAAUACCUUACGAGGUUUAAGUCGGCCAAAAACUGGUGUCGAGUAUCUAUCCCAGAAGUCGAGUUCGUUAGGCUUGCCUUGAAUGACCUAUAUGUGGAAUACAAAAAGAAAUUUUUGAGGGAAAACUUCGAGAUAUGUACGAACUGGCUUAACAUGUUGAGCAAUAUGAUUAUUUGCUACGAGAAUAAAAUAUUUGAAGCCCCUAUCCUGAGGAACAAUCUACAAGAACCCUACGGUCAGUUAUGCAUCGGUCGAAGGCGAAGAAUCCCAAUAUGCCAGUAUUGACGCGGCCGAGAUAGUGAUUGACAAGCCAUACAUAUGCAAAGCAUUGGCUUAUGCUAAUUCCAAGGAUGCCAAAACCCGCUCGGCCUCUGAAGAAGCUACCAUCAAAACAUCGAAAGUUUAUACUGUUGACAUUACCAAGGCCGACGCCAUCUUCAAGUAGCUGUUGCUCGUGAAAAUUAUCAAGCUUCGGUAAGGGCAUAACAUUUUCAAGGCUGAAGAUUUGAAAGGAAAAACAUAUUGCAAGUACCAUGACUUGAACAAACAUACAACAAACAACUACGUCGUAUUUCGUGAUGUCAUCUAGAUCUGGAUCGACAAUGGUAAGCUCAAGUUCCCCGAGAAACAAAUGGGCGCUGACACCGAUCAUUUUCCUACGGUGACAGUAAACAUGGUAGAUGUUCAUCUACCGAGGGAUAAAGGAAAAUGAAAAGCCGAGUUCGUUCCAAUGCAAUUCAUCCCAAAGCAGAACUCUCAACCACGAUUGAAGAUUGAUUUAUUUUCAAACGAGUACCCCAAGAUUUGAUUGGACCAACUAUUAUCGAGUCAAUGUCGGACUCCAGCACUGAGGAAACCGACGAGCCGAUAAAUCUUAUGUAGUCGGUGUAAAACAAAUGUCAUCUUAACUGAGCCGAAGAAAAAGCUAUUUCGAACUAAAAGGUCACGACAGGCAUCCACAACUGCAACACCAUCCCAAAAGGUACUUGGGGUAGGACAACACUAGAAAGUUUUGAUAGGCUCGGCCCGCAGGUACAAGACAAGAUGCCAUCUUCGGCCAGACGACACCUUGAUUUCAACGUGCAGUUUUACAACGAGGAUUAUUAUACGUGUAACUCUGGUAAUUCAAGUUCACCUGCGAACCAGUGUAUCAUCAGACCUCCUGAGCCACGUGAUCAACACUGGUAUACUUAUAACUCCCCUACCAGUGUAUACAUUGCGUUGUCCAAAUCGUUAAAACGUCGGAGCCAAAGAAUAGAUUGUAUAGCCCGCCGACGAGCAACUUAGGAUACCUCGGUUACCAAGUGGAAGCCGAAGGAAACGACCAAUAAUAAAGAUGACCGAUAACCUCCUGCGAUCAUGAUCGAGUUGCUCCAAGGGAAGAAAGUGAUUGAUCGUGACUUUGAAACCACGAUCGAAGAAUCCAAAAAGUGAAUCAAACUCCUCAUUCAACCUGAGGAAAUAGAAGCUCGCCUCGAGCACUUCCGGAAUGAGAUUAAGAGCAAACUUCCCCUGCUAUCUACACAAGAACCGUUGAUCAGAGUUAGAUAGAAUCUCCACCCACCAUUUCUUAGUGAAACUUUAGAAUACAUGCGAGAGUUUCACAAGAAGCAUUCGGCAAAUGAUUUAUACGGCUUGCCGAAAGCAUGCCAAGAUACUCUUGAUCUUGUUCUAACUUGCCCCGAUGUUGAAUGAAUCAUCCAAAAGACCUCAGAUCCGGGGAUGAAAGCUAGGUUCCAACAUAUACGAGAGCCUUGAGUUUUCGACUUCGAGGUAGAUCCAUAUAUUGAUAUUGACGCUGCCGAACUUCCUCUUUCGAUGACCUUCAAUAUUUACGAUACUAUUUCAAAGUCUUUUCAGAUGUUUCUCUCUUCGACCUUACUGUCGAUGAAAAGGAAUGCGUAGCACAAUUAGAUGCUUACCUUGACACGAGAGAUACUCGCAUCACAUAUCAGGAGCAAACUCAUAUGUCGUCACAAGACCAAAACCCAGUUUUAACACUGAACGAACCUGAGGUCAACAUGCAGAAUGAGAAGACUCUAGUGAACAUACCGCAUGAGCAUACCCCGGCGUCAGCUGAAAAAAGCAAGCAAAUACUGCCCAUACGUAGGACACCUCACCCGAAAGUCCAGAAGAAGAAGAUCAUGACCCGAUAGGUCAUUCGGUCAUCGACAACAGGGAAAUCAGCAUGGUCUAUGUUUUACCUACCGAGUUCCAACCAACCACAUCCCAACCAAAUUUCCUGGACAGCAACGUGGUUGCCGAGGAAGCCACGCAAGUUGAUUUUAUGGUCGCCGAAGAGAUUUAGCAAGCAACAAAAGAAGAUAAACUUAAAACAGUUUUUGCCGAAUUGUUUCCUCACUUUUCAUCAGUUAAUCUCCAUCAUCUUAAGCCGUUAUAUGUUAUGGCUCAUAUUGAAGGAUAUCCGGUCUUCAAAAUUUUCAUCGACUAUGGAGCAACGGUCAACAUCAUGCCUGUUGUUAUCAUGAACACAUUACGUCGUUCCAACGACGAACUUAUUCCAUCAGGGGUCACCAUGAGCAGCUUCGUCGGUGACAAAUCCCAGACCAAAUGAGUGCUUCCGUUGGAGGUAAUUAUCGUAGGUCGUAAUCACAUGACUGUAAUUUUCAUAGUCGAUUCAAAGACAGGGUAUAAUGCAUUUCUUGAUCAUGACUGGAUCUAUCAAAUGAGCUGCAUCCCCUCGUUAUUAUACUAGGUCAUUAUCUUUUGAGACGGCAAAUCGAUCUUAGUUCAUCUAGCCGACAAUUAGCCAUUCGAAGCAAAUAUGAUUCAAGCUCGUUAUUAUGACGAUCACGUCGGCUACAUCACCCUGCAAGCGUUUGAUGAGGAAUGACGGUCGACUUAGAUCUCAGUUCAGAAAGCCAUCGAGGUAAGCGCCGAGAUUGUUCAUUAAGAUUCGGCGAAACUAGGGUUGGCCGACCUAGUUGCCGAUCCUGAUGUCUGGUACCAAACUAGAUAGAUGCUGGGCCAUGGUUUCAUCCAUCAUAGAACGACUACUGGCGCAUUGGUAUGCUAUUUCUAGGUAGCUAAAUUCGGGUGUGAACUUGGUAGAGUUUCUCGCCGAAGGAAACAACAGUCCAGUUUUAUCACUUGACAAGAUUCAAGCUGCCAUGGCCGAGCUCGAAGACAGUCGGGCCCAAGUCAAAGAACCUUUAGAGGAAGUAAAUGUCGAAACGGCCGAAAACCCACGGCCUUUGUUUAUUAGUGCUUUGUUACCCCAACCUAUGAAAACUGCACUUUGUAAUUUACUCAAGGAAUUUAAAGAUUGUUUUGCUUGAGUUACCAUAAGAUGCCUAGUUUAGACCGAACGUUCAUCUAGCACGAAUUACGCAUCAAACCUGGUUGUAAACCGUUCCUCCAACCCCUCCCCCCCCCCCCCGACGAUUCUCGACCGAAGUACAACUUGGCAUAAAAGAUGAACUCGUUCGACUUUUAAAAGCUGGGUUUAUCCGGACAACUCGAUACAUUGAAUGGCUGGCGACCAUCGUCCUAUUUUUACAGAAAAGUGGUGCUCUACAUAUUUGUAUCAAUUUUUGAAAUUUGAAUUUGGCAACCCCUAAAGACGAGUAUACAAUGCCAAUUUUAGAUUUGUUAAUCGAAGUAGUAGUACACCAUGAGAUAUUAUCCUUCAUGAAUGGUCAUGCUGGUUACAACCAGAUUUUCAUUGCUGAGGCCGACGUCUAUAAAAUUACUUUUCGUUGCCCAUGGGCACUCGGGACUUACGAAUGGGUCGUCAUGCCAUUUGACUUGAAAAACACUGGUGCCAUAUGCCAACGUGCUAUGAAUACGAUUUUUCAUGUUUUAAUUGGUACCAUCAUCGAAGUCUAUUUUGAUGAUGUUGUAGUUAAAUCAAAACAUCGCCGAACACAUUUAGAUGAUCUUCGGCAGGUUUUCCUUCAAAUGCGCCAACAUAACCUUAAAAUGAAUCCUGCCAAAUAAGCAUUUGGUGUAUCGGUCGGCAACUUUUUAGGUUUUCUUGUACAUCAUCGUGGCAUUGAAGUGGACACAAAUAAAGCUCGGGUGAUCAUCGAUGCUCCACCUCCGACAACAAAGAAACAAUAACAAUCACUACUCGAUAAAGUCAAUUUCCUCUGCCGUUUCAUUUCUAACUCGGCAGGGAAGAUGAAAGCUUUCUCCACGCUCUUGAAACUUAUAGAUUCGGACAAAUUCGAAUGGCGUGAGGAGCACCAAGAUGCUUUCACGAAGACAGCCAACGGAUUCCUCGGCGGCCAAAAUAUACAACUUGAGUGAUUUACCGCGCCGAGGUGGCACAAUGACAUGUGGGUUAGUGAGGGAGACCCUAAUUUGUUUACUUUUAUUAAUUAAAUUCGUUUUUAAUUUAAGUAGGUUAUAAACUCAAUCAUCUCAAUUUCUACUUUACAAUAAUUAAUUGGAAUUUGGUUUGUUUCGAAUUAUUUAAUAAUUCCUGUGGAGAACGACCUUGCGAGAUCCGUUUAUACUACAAUAACUUUGUCAUUCUUACAAGUAUUAUAGGAGUUUUUAGCCCGUUUACGUGUGUAGUAAAAUCCGUAUCACCUUUCUUCAGACAGACUUUGAUCCCCCGCCAAAACCUGUAAGUGACACAUCAACUGGUAGAAGUGGCGUGCCUAUAGGUACGGUGGUUGGAAUUGUGGUUGGGGGAGUCUUAAUUAUACUACUGAUAUUUGGUGUUCAUUGGAAGAGAGGCCUCUUGGGGCAACAAAAGACAUUGGAGGAUGGUAUUAAUUUGCAGUUUAUUCUGUUAUACUGGUUUUUCCUUUUUGUUUCUCCAUUACUUUUUCUCAUCGACCUUUUUUCGUAACUAAUUAAGUACAACAUUUAUGCUAUUUUGCAUGGUUCUCCUGCAUAUUGACGUGCACUACAAAGACAGUAAUUAUUUAGAUAUUGAGCUUUCCGGCACUUUGAUGUUGCUGUAAUAUAUUUAUCUUCCAAACUCAUGAUGCAAAGUGUCUGCCUUACUUGUUAAAUUCUAGAAUCAGGCACAAAAUAUUAAGAACUAAGAAUGCUGUCGUUCUGAAAGUUUUCUUAAGACACAAUUUCUUAUGAGUUUUACUUGUUAUAUAGAUUUGAAGGGUGUGGACCUGCAAACUGGUAAAUUUACCUUCAAGCAACUCAAAGAUGCCACAAGCAACUUUAAUAGAGGCAAUAACUAGGUCUGGCAAACGGAUCGUGUCAAUCGUGUUCGUGUAACAUCUGUUAUCUUAACGGGUCGUGUCGUGUCACACCUGUUAUUUUAACGGGUCCUCAACAGGUCGGGUCACAAAACGCUUACAUUUUGCAUAUCCUUGCACAUUUAAAGUGACCCGACCCGUUAUGACCCGUUAAGAAAAAUAUUUUUUUUUCUUAAAUUUGCACAUACCACACAUUGUCACAUAAAUAUUACUUCAAAACAUUAAAACACAUUUGUCGCUUAAGUACUACAUCUACACUCGAAAAUAAGAGCCUCAUAAAAAAUACAUCCAUACACUACUAAUUUAUUACAAAUAUUAAAUGUGCAAGGAUAUGCAAAAUGUAAGCGUUUUUGUUUUCAAGGUUGUGAAGCCUUUCUCAAAAGUUUAAACCUUGCCAAUGGAACUCAAAGCUUAAUGAAACUGACCCACUAGUGUGUUUAUUCGUACUUUCAUUAAGUAUAGCAUAAGAUUUUGUGGUAUCCACUAGUGUAAAUAUUUUAAAUUGAAUAUCGAAUUCAAUCAUUGUAUUCAUAUAGGGUCAAGAAGUGUAGUUGUAAAAAAUCAUCAAAAUCGGAGUUAAAAUAACCGUUAAAUUGUGAUUUUUCGUUUAUAACCGUUGAAAAGUUGUGUCCCGUUACUUAAUCUUUAAAUGUUUGUUUUUUACAAUUUUUGGCGUAUGUGAUCUCGAAGUAUAUACAAACAAGUAUGACGGUUAGAUUGUUGAAACUAGUUUCGUAGAAUGCGUAUCCCAUCAAAACAAUAGAUUCACUAACACUUAAAAGUUUAUUCUUACUUUCAUUAAGUAUAACAUAAGAUUUUGUGGUAUCCACUAGUGUAAAUAUUUUAAAUUGAAGAUCGAAUUCAUUCAUUGUAUUCAUACAGGGUCAAGGAGUGUAACUGUAAAAAAUCAUCAAAAUCGAAGUUAAAAUAACUGUUAAAUCGUGAUUUUUCGUUUAUAACCGUCGAAAAGUUUUGUCUCGUUACUUGAUCUCUAAAUGUUUGUUUUUUGCAAUUUUUGGCAUAUGCAAUCUCGAAGUAUAUACAAACAUUUUUUACGGUUGGAUCGUUGAAACUAGUUUCAUAGAAUGCGUAUCCUAUCAAAACAAUAGAUUCACUAACACUUAAGAGUUUAUUCAUACUUUCAUCAAGUAUAACAUAAGAUUUUGUGGUAUCCACUAGUGUAAAUAUUUUAAAUUGAAGAUCAAAUUCAUUAAUUGUAUUUAUAUAGGGUCAAGGAGUAUAUCAUUAAAAAAUCAUCAAAGUCGGAGUUAAAAUAACCGUUAAAUUGUGAUUUUUCGUUUAUAACCGUCGAAAAGUUUUGUCCCGUUACUUGAUCUUUGAAUGUUUCUUUUUUGCAAUUUUUGGCCUAUGCGAUCUCGAAGCAUAUACAAACAAGUUUGACGGUUGGAUCGUUGAAACUAGUUUCGCAAAAUGCGUAUCUCAUCAAAACAAUAGAUUCACUAACACUUGAGAGUUUAUUUAUAUUUUCGCUAAGUAUAACAUAAGAUUUUGUAGUAUCCACUAGUGUAAAUAUUUUAAAUUGAAGAUCGAUUUCAUUCAUUGUAUUCAUAUAGGGUCAAAGAGUGUAGCUGUAAAAAAUCAUCAAAAUCGGAGUUAAAAUAACCGUUAAAUCGUGAUUUUUCUUUUAUAACCGUCAAAAGGUUUUGUCCUGUUACAUGAUCUCUGAAUUUUUAUUUUUUUGCAAUUUUUGGCAUAUGCGAUCUUGAAGUAUAUACAAACAUGUUUGACGGUUGGAUCGUUGAAACUAGUUUCGUCGAAUGCGUAUCCCAUCAAAACAAUAGAUUCACUAACACUUAAGAGUUUAUUCAUACUUUCAUCAAGUAUAACAUAAGAUUUUAUGGUAUCCACUAGUGUAAAUAUUUUAAAUUGAAGAUCGAAUUCAUUCAUUGUAUUCAUAUAGGGUCAACGAGUGUAGAUGUAAAAAAUCAUUAAAAUUGGAGUUAAAAUAACCGUUAAAUCGUGAUUUUUCGUUUAUAACCGUCGAAAAGUUUUGUCCCGUUACUUGAUCUCUGAAUGUUUGUUUUUUUCAAUUUUUGGCGUAUGCGAUCUCGAAGCAUAUACAAACAAGUUUGACGGUUGGAUCGUUGAAACUAGUCUCGCAAAAUGCGUAUCUCAUCAAAACAAUAUAUUCACUAACAAUUAAGAGUUUAUUCAUAUUUUCAUUAAGUAUAAUAUAAGAUUUUGUGGUAUCCACUAGUGUAAAUAUUUUAAAUUGAAGAUUGAAUUCAUUCAUUGUAUUCAUAUAGGGUCAAGGAGUGUAGCUGUAAAAAAUUAUCAAAAUUGGAGUUAAAAUAACCGUUAAAUCAUGAUUUUUCGUUUAUAACCGUCGAAAAGUUUUGUCUCGUUACUUGAUCUCUAAAUGUUUGUUUUUUGCAAUUUUUGGCGUAUGUGAUCUCGAAGUAUAUACAAACAUGUUUGACGGUUGGAUCGUUGAAACUAGUUUUGUAGAAUGCGUAUCCUAUCAAAACAAUAUAUUCACUAACACUUAAGAGUUUAUUCAUACUUUCAUCAAGUAUAACAUAAGAUUUUGUGGUAUCCACUAGUGUAAAUAUUUUAAAUUGAAGAUCAAAUUCAUUCAUUGUAUUCAUAUACGGUCAAUGAGUGUAGCUGUAAAAAAUCAUCAAAAUCAGAGUUAAAAUAACCGUUAAAUCUUGAUUUUUCGUUUAUAACCGUCGGAAAGUUUUGUCUCGUUACUUGAUCUGUGAAUGUUUGUUUUUUUGUAAUUUUUUGCUGAUGCGAUCUCGAAGCAUAUACAAACAAGUUUGACGGUUGGAUCGUUGAAAUUAGUUUCGUAUAAUUCGUAUCCCAUGAAGUUCAGUGGUGUGUGUGUAUAUAUAUAUUUAUUUAUUUAUUAAGUAGAUUUAAAUCUAUUUAUUUUGUAUGUAUAAUUAUUAUAGUUUUUAGGGGUAUAAAAUUUAAUAUAUAUAUAUAUAUAUAUAUAUAUAUAUAUAUAUAUAUAUAUAUAGAACUAUUAUAGUUAAUAUUUUGGGGGUAUAAUUAUUAUAGUAUAUAUAAUUAUUAUAAUUAUUAUAGUUAAUUUAAUAUAUAUAUAUAAUUAUUAUAGUUUUUAGGGGUAUAAAAUUGUUAAAUUAAUAUAUAUAAUUAUUAUAGUAUUUUUUUUAGGGUUAUAAAUUAUUAAAUUAAUAUUCUGCUUAUCGUGUAUCGUGUUACCCACGUGUAUACCCGAACAACCCAUUAUCUUAACAGGUGCUUAUCGGGUUACCCGAUAACGACCCGCUUCGUUAUCGUGUCGACCCGAACACCUGUUAAUUUCGUGUCGUGUCGUGUCAGAUUAUCGGGUCGUGUCAGGAAUUGCCAGGCCUAGCAAUAACAUUGGUGAAUGUGGUUUUGAUUCUGUUUAUAAGGUAUUCUUUGGAGCAAAUAAUUUAUUUAUUGAUUAUAUAUUUUUUUCUAGUUUGACACUGUCCGUUCUAAUGAAAGUUAAUUUGCUCCAUAGUGAUGCGAAUUUGACUAUCUUUCUUAAAUGUAGGGCAUUCUAGCAGAUGGCACCGUAAUAACUAUUAAGCAGCUGUCUUCCAAAUCAAAGCAAGGGAAUCAUGAAUUUGUUAAUGAGAUUGGCAUGAUUUCUGCUCUGCAACACCCUCAUCUUGUCAAGCUCCACAUAUGUUGUAUUGAAAGAAAUCAAUUAUUGCUUGUCUAUAAGUACCUGGAAAAUUAUAGCAUCGCUCAUGCUUAUCUUCAGUAAAUAUUAGUCUUGUUUGCCAAAAGUUCAUUUCAUCAUAUAGUGGCAUAAAAGAUCUUAUGCACUAAAAAUAUGUCCCUUACAACUAACUUUGUUUAAUUUGGCAAAUUGAACGGGUGAAGAAAGUCAUUAGAAGUUGGAUUGGCCAACAAGGCACAAGAUUUGUAUUGUUACAGCAAGAGGUUUGGCUUAUCUUCAUGAGGAAUCAAGAUUGAAGGUCGUUCAUAGAGACAUCAAGGCUACUAAUGUUCUGCUUGAUAAAAAUCUUAACCAGAAAAUAUCUAACUUUGGAUUGGCCAAGCUUGAUAAAGAGGAUAAUACACACAUUAGCACCCGUAUUGCUAGAACUUAGUGAGUCCCUAAACUUUUAUUUAUCUUCUUAUUCUCUUGUUUUGAUCUUCUUCCACCCUUAAAAAAGAAGAUAGAGCAAUGGAAAGUCUAUAACUUACAUAAUUUUCAACCUAACCAAAUCUUUGUUGUUCAAGAAAUUUCAAGGGCAGAUUUGUUCUUUGAAUAUAGUUGUAUUACUAUGUAUCUCUCUAACUAUUGCAUUAAUCUUAAGUAUUCAAUUAGCAAUAUUUUUACUAAUUAUUUUAGCUAAAUCUGGGUUAAUGAUGUGAUUUCAUGAUUUGCAGUGGAUACAUGGCGCCCGAAUAUGCAAUACGGGGUUAUCUGACUGAUAAAGCAUAUGUCUAUAGUUUUGGUACUCUCGUAUUGGAAAUUGUUAGCGGGAGAAACAACACAACUUACUGGAAAAAGGAAGAAAGCUUUUAUCUUCUUGAUUGGGUAACAUGAAUCCACUACUUCCUAAUUUAACUUCAAAUUUUCUUAAUAUACCUUAUAUAUGUGAAAGUACAUUUGAAUCGGUGAAGUUUAAACCAAAGACAGAAUUUAUAUUGCUUUUGUUACAUCCAUUUUUUGUAGGCACGACUUCUAAAAGAGCAAGGGAAUUUGAUGGACCUAGUUGAUCCAAGGUUGGAAUCAGACUUUAACAAAGACGAGAUGACUGUUGCAAUCAAUGUGGCUCUCCUUUGUUGCAAUGUUACUUCGACAGCUAGGCCUACCAUGUCUUUGAUUGUGAGCAUGCUCGAAGGAAAGGCUGUUGUUCAGGAGUUGGUCUCGGAUCCAAAUGCUGAGAGUAUUGAGAUCGAUGCAAUGAGGAAACAUUUUCAAUCUAGUUUUGGAAGGGGCAUGGGCGAGAAACAGAUAGAAACAGAGUCAAUUGAAGGGCCAUGAACUGCUUCGUCUGCGUCUGCUCACGAUCUUUAUCUCGUCAAUCCUGAUUCAAAUUACUGGGGGAACAGAAGCGAGAGAACUUGAGCUGCACGGUUAUCAGUUCGACUUAACCUUAGCACACUCAAAACAUAUCAGCUAAUAAAUCAUCUGUAUUUCCUCUAUAACUAUUUUCUUUUUUUUGUUUGAUAAUAUAGUAGAAAGCAUAAUUGAAGAAGUUUCUACAGCAUGGUAAUUGUAAAAUCAGUUCUUUUCAGUAUUUUGUAGUAUGAUAAAAUGAUUUUCUUUUCGAAUAAUCGAAUAGAGUAAGUUGGUUGAACACUAUACUAUUUUGGCUAUGUGGUGGUUUGUGAAGAGAGGAGAUAAUGUACACCAAAUUCGAAAAGGAUGGGAAUAGAGUAAGUUGAUUAAGAGAAGGAACUUAAAUUUAGUAAAAUCGGAAAUCAUUUGUGGAGGAUUUUUCUAUAUCAAUAUAUUGUUAAUAUACAAGGUAAAGCAAGAUUCAGAGGAUAUGCAUGAAAAGAAAAAUGAUACCUGACGUAAAUCAUUGCCAAAAAGAUAAACAAAUUGCCAAGUUUUCUUAAAUUUAGUUUUGGAAGUUCUGAAAUUUACUUCAAUUGCAUUGAUUUUGAUUGUACUAGAAUACAGGUAUAUAUAAAUACAAGAAUUCCUACUACAUAGGUAAUUGGUACAAACUAAGUAAUCAGCCUGUGAUGCUUUACCUUAUUAAGAACGCCCAACUUGCCUAAUAGAGAUUUAAAAUGUUCAUUCCCCAAAGCUUUAGUGAAAAUGUCGGCAAGCUGUGACAUGUUGACAACUUUUCAUUCCAUGAUUUUAUUUCCGACAAAGUAACAAUCAAUCUCAAUACGUUCAUGAAAUACUGAAUUUGCGGCAAUGUGAAGAGCAGCGUGAUUAUCACAAAACAAAGUUGCAGCCCCCUUGUUGCCAAGUUAUAGACCACGAAAUAGAUUUUGUAACCAAGCCAACUCGCAAUAGGCUGCUGCCAUGGAUCUAUACUCUGCUUCGGCAGAGGACAAAGAAAUUGUCUUUUGACGUUUGUUGUUCCACGAAACAAGAGAGUCUCCAAGAAAAACUCAAGAAUCAGUGGCGGGUCGCAGAGUGGUUGGCCAUCCUAUCCUAUCCAAGUCACAAUAUGCAUUCAACUUCAAAUCAUUUUCUGAAGAAAACAUAAUACCUCGUCCGGGUGUCCGUUUUAAGUAUCUCAAAAUCCAUAAUGCAGCCUCAUAUCAUGGCUUCCGAGGUGCUUACAUGAAUCUACUCAACAAGUGGACCAAGUACAUGAUAUUUGGCUAGGUAAUAGUGAGAUAAAUUGGACGACCAAUCAAUCUCCUAUAUUUAACAUGAUCAUUGAGAAUUUCACCCUCAUUAGGAGAAAUUUUUCAUUGUAACGAGAACACACGUGGUAAACCACGUGUCAUUGUGUAAGUGGUGGAAAAUUUUAUUUUUUAAGCUAUUACCUUUUUAACACACAUAUGAUAUAUCCUACCAUUUAUACAGUAACACGUGGUGUACCACUUCGUAUGCCGGUCACUCUGAAAAAUCUCUCCCUCAUCAGAAAGCAAUUUGAGAUUUUGCUCCAUAGAGAAAGUGCAAGGUUGUGAUCCUAAAAGACCCACAUCAUUGAGAAUAUCCAACAAGCAUUUCCUUUGUGACAUAAAAAUCCCCCUUUUUUAACACGCCAUUUCUAUGCCCAAAAAGUAUUUUAAAUUACUAAGAUCUUUGCUAUAGAACUUGGUAUUUAAAAAAUGUUUUAGACUAUUAAUUGCAGUUGAAUCAUUUUCUAUAAUCAAAAUGUCGUCAACAUAAAUAAGGGGUGAAGUAAAUGACUUGCCUUUGUGUUUAGUGAAAAGCGAAUAAUUUGCUUUUGAUUGAACAUAACCGGCGAACCGAAUGGCUUGCGAAAACUUGAAAAAUCAUUGUCGAGAGACUUGCUUCAAACCAUAAAGUGAUUUAUUGAGGCAACAUAUCAGUUUCUCCCCCUAUCGGCGAAGAUUGAAAGGUGGGACCAUGUAUAUUUCCUCCAUGAGAUCACCAUGAAAGAAGGCAUUAUGAACAUCCUAUUGAUGUAAAGACCAUGAAUAGGCGGUGGCAAGAGCAAUAAGGCAGCGGAAUGUGACCAGUUUGACAGUAGGGGAAAGAUAUCAUGAUAAUCAAUACCCUUUGAGUGUACCUCUUAGCGACCAAAUGAGCUUUGUAACACUUAAUACCAUUGGAUUAGUACUUGACUUUGUAGACCCAUUUGCAACCAAUGAGUGAUACUCCAUAUGUUGUUAGCCUUGAGAGCUUGGAUUUUGUCAUCCAUGACUUGAUUCCAUUUAGGAUAUGUGCAAGCUUCUGCUUAUGUGGUUGGCUCCAUAUGGUAGAAAUACUAGCAAGAAAGGUAGAAUAUAGGGGCAACAAGUGGAUACCUGGUACUGGAACUGGAAGACGAGGGCGUAAUGGGGCAAUGUAAGAGAGGGACAAACAUAGUCACUGAGCUUCGCAGGUGGAGUUAUGAGGCGAUUACAUCCUCGUAAAGGGAUAUCAGAGAGCUAGUCAUCAGGCUGCAUGGUAGGGAGCUGAUCAUCAGGCUGCGUGUCAGGGAACUAAUCAUCAAGCUUCGUGAUAGGGGCAAGGUGCUCAUCAGGUGACUACAUGUUAGAAAGCUGAUCAUCAGGAGCAAUAUCAACAGAUGUCUCGACAUUUUGUAGGGCAUUGGUGGGGUCAUGCAGUUUAUGAGAUAGUGAGCAAGGCUCAAUGCAUGGAUUGAAUAUAGGUGUCUGAUAGCUAUUUGUAAGGGGAUUUAAUUCUUUUUGGCCAUGAUAGGGAAACAAAUCCUCGUAAAAAACAUCUCGACUCGUAAAAAUAUGUUUGGAUUGAAGAUCAUAUAAUUUGUAUAUUUUUGUCCUAAAAGGUACCCAAUGAAAAUUCAGGAGGGUGCCAUCAGAUAAGCCCACGGUAGGCAAUGGUGGUUUAAAUGUUGCUUGGGCCAAUGGAAGACCUGAAACGUGGUAUGUUGCACCACUGUCUAAUACCGACUCGUUAGAAACCCUACCUGCAGCGGUGACUGCGUGGGCUUUGCUUUCCAGGCCUACCUUAUGGCUCAUCAGCGAUAAAAGUUACUGGAACUGCUUUUGAAUAAGGUUGGGCAUCAUGUCAGCACACCCUGUGGAUUAAAUGUUGUUGACCAAUGAAACCCCCCUCUGGAACUGUUACCUUUAGUUUUCUUUUUGUGAUCGCCAUCACAGGUUUCUCUGGAUUUUCCAUGAAGACAAUGACUAGGCAGAUAAUCGUGAAGUAUUUCCAGCAGGUGUCAAAGGUGUGAUGGUCAUGGUCACAGUACAAACAGUGGAAAGGUUUACGUUCUAUCGAUCGUUCCUUGCCAUUAUUGGAUGAAGACUGCACCGCCAUGGCUGCGGGUUCAAUCAAGGCUUGCACAAUGGUUAUGCCUCAUUGCUUCUCUUCCUGAUAAAAGAGAGAAUAGAUCUUGCAAAUGAACAGAAGGGUUGCAUUGUUGAAUAUCUCACUUCUAACUCAUCAUUGCUAGCUCAUCAAAACAGUUGUAAAUGAUUGGAUGAUGUAAUAGUUAGUUGAAAAAGUUAGUUAGAGUUUGUUGCUCAAAGCUUAUGAGCUAGGUCCUAUAGGCUAUAUAGUCAACUAUAUAUAGCUGUCGUAAACAUGAUCUUUUGUCAUGAUCUUAUCAAACAUGAAGCACGUGAUUCUGUCUCAGGUUUCUUUUGGGUAAAUGAUAUGGCAGGGUCUUGAAGCUUGAUUCAAUUGUGGGAGGCAAGUUAUGGAAAAAUAUUGAUGUGCUCAUCUUUAACACUUGGCAUUGGUAGAAUCGUAGAUGACCCUCUCAAUCGUGAACAUAUCUUCAAUUUGGAGAAACAGUAAUGUGUUGGCAACCAGCAACAUCUUCAGUUUGGAUAAACAGCACUGGAGCUGUAGAAUCAGCCGAUCGAGGAUCACCUUCAGUUUGGAUAAAUAACAUUGUUUUGAGACCAACUGGUUAUCUAUCCAAGUUUUGGCCAUCAAAGAUUUCCGAAUCUUUGUUGGAAGAUGUCAUCUCAUUAGCCUUCUAGGUAAAGUGAGGUGUUACAAGGUUACGACAUUCGGCACACUGAAAGUCAAAUACUUAUUGAACUUCGCAGAACUAGUAGCCUUGUCUUCAGACUCCAGAACCCAAAGGUCAAUAUGUGUUCCAUCCUCGACUGCAGUCACAAGAUUCAGAAGUCAUUAGCGCGCCUAACACCACAUUAACAUUCAUUCACUCCCCGGCCAAGCUCGGCCAACGAGUUGGCACGCCUUACAUUCAACUAAAGGAUGUAGUUAGCUUAUUAGCUAUUCGGCCUAUACACCACGUAGGCUAAGUAGUUUUUAAGGUGAACACCAUGGCAUCAAUCAAAUUAAUAGUCUCUUAUUUUCUCUUUUUUUUUUUAAUUUUAAUUUUAGUGGCAGUGAGUGGCAUGAACCAAGGGCAAGAAGAUGUGUAGGGCAGAAUGAGCCUUUGCUUAGGUCGACCUAUCCAGGAGCUUUGCCACCAGCUCUGGGUGCGCUGAGGAAUGUGUUAAGCACAAUAAAAAAGCUCGUGACAUUGCAAGAUAUAACAAGCCUCUCACUCAUGCGUAAAGAUGGACAUCCUUCAAUCUAUGGACUGGGAGGCCAAUAACUGCAAGCAAGGAAUGGAUGACAAUGGUAGCAAUAGCUGCAACAGGCCAACAUAUAAAAAUAGGAUAUUACUAGAGAAACUAAAUUUUUUAAAUUAAAUUUCAAACCAAAUGAUUUGUCAACAAUAAGAAACAAGUACGUUAAUAGACACUUAAUUAAUAAUCCAAUCAUCUACAACCACAUCAUUUAGUUUGCAAAUUUGGUUUUAAAAAAUUUAGUUUUCCUAGCAUUACUCUAUCCAUAAAGAUAACAUCUAGGGAAACCCAAUCGGUGAAGUAUAGCAAACAACUAUUCACUAAGGAAUGAGGAUCCUCUUCGAAUCCAUUUUGUGAGGAUCUCAAGAAUCAUUCAAUCACGUCUGUUCAUCGUACAUCGUGUGGUAACAAUUAUUGUAAAUUUUUUUAUUUAAAAUUAAAUAUAAAUAAUACCUGAUGAAAACUGGUAAUGUACAAUGAACAGACAUGAUUUGAGGAUUGCCGAGAUUCUCACAAAAAUUAUCCGGAAAGGACCCCCAUUCUUCACUAAGGAAUAAACUAGAAAUUAUAAUAUUAAAAUGCAUAAUGGUUACCAAGCAAGCAAAUUUAUUGGGACUUGGAUUGUUUGCCUCCCCAUCCCAUACCCUCCAUAUGCCCUUAUAUUUCUAUGGUCAUGGUUAAACCACGUUAACAUUUUAUAUUUGCAUUGCUUUUUGUUUUAUUAUUUUUAUAAAAAAAAUUAAUAUAAAAUAUUGACGUGAUUUAACCGUGACCACAAAAUAUAGGAGGGCAUGAGAAAUGUAUAGAAUGGGGGAGGACAGACAAUCCAAGUCCAAUUUAUUGGCCUUGAAGUACCCAUGCCUGCAGAAGACAGAACCCAAAGUAACUCGGGAACUCAAACGUGGCCAAUUCAUCCAAGCAAAACAAUUAAAGCAUCCAAGGAGCCGAAACGACAUCCCAUUACAACCAUUAAACAUCAAGGAGAAUGGAAAACAUAUGAACUUUUUUUAUGAUGCUUUAUGAAUGAUGAAUUGAAAUAUAAACGGCUCAUACCUUUGAAAAAAAAGAAUUACAAAAUGAAAACCACAAAAAUUGUGUUAAAAUGUGUGUCAAAUAUAUGAGGAUGUGUAUAUAUAUGCACACCCACAUAUACACACACACACUUAAACGUGUAGCACUGGGUAUAGGUAGCAAAAGGCCACUUGUGAUGAGUGCUUGAUUCUAAAAUGUAGUAUUUCUCUCAAACAUUUGACUAUUACUUUAGUCAUGGAAUGCUGAUCAAAAUGCAAUUAAAUAGUAUCACUUAGAAUCAUAACUCUUGGCUUAUAGUAUGAAAAAAUAACAGAACAUUUGUAUAUUGCUUGCAAGUAAUUAGCUUCAGUUAGUCAACUCCAGCAACUUGAUUAAGAAAGCAUGUACAUAGAGCUGCGCAAUUACCAUGUCCACAUUUCCUGAUCAGGAAAUUUCCCAUGCUUGGCUUAGUUGAAAAUAGCAGAUAAGUCAAGAGUGUAUUUUAAAUUACUGUUACUUAAUUAUUCUAAAGUUCAUAAUCAAUAUUAAUUACUAGCAGCUUAUUAUAUACUGUUGUCAAAAUCGUGAGUUGGACUGUUGGUAAGGGUUUUUAAUUAGGGAACUUUAACGAAAAGCACCCGGUACUGUUCAUUUUAACGAAAAACCACAUUUUUACACUAAAAAGUCAAUUUUGGUACUAUUCACUUUACCUUUUAUUUUGUCCUUAUCAUUAAAACUCAAAGUUUUCAAGCUCUUUUCAUUAGUUUUCCUUUUUAAUUAAGCUGACUUUGGGCCCCAAAUAAUAAAGUGUCGACAUAAUACCUGUUACUUCAACAACAACGAAUAUGAAAAAAAAAAAACCCUUGAUUGUCAGUUGCUUGUUGUAAAUAUAAUUUUUUAUGUAAUCUUUCGUUUUCUUCCUGCUUACGUCCAUUGUCAGCUAAACAUCAGCUCUUUGUUUUUGUUGUUAAAAAACGGCUUUCUAAUAUUAUAGAAUUCCCACUUGAUCUAACAAUUGGGAUAAUUAUUCGAAAGAAAAAAAUACAAUUGAGAUAAUUAUAACAAAUCAUCUCAACUAUUUGCAGUUUUACUUUAAAAAAAAAAAAAUCUCACAUACGUCUCAAUCAUCCAUAAUGAUCAGAUGACUAAAAUUUCACAUCCGUCUCGAACAACCAUUUAUGUUAAAAUUGACUAAAAUGCAAAAUUCUCAUAUAUUAGAGUCUUUAAAUUGGAUCCUCACUACAGAAUGUCACUUGGUUGUGUAUGCGUAUCUUUAGCUGAAUCUGGCCGGCCACAGGUAUCGGUCAAAAAAACAGGUUUUCAAAAUCUGUUUUUUAUGAUAUUGUUCUACUAGAAUUUGUCUUUGAUUAGUAUUGUCCAUAGACUAUGUUCGAGAGAGCUCCCAAACUUGACCUCGGGAGGCGUUCAGUGUUUCGUGAUACAAUAAUAUAGUCCAUACAAAUUUUCUUGCUGAUUAUAUUCCACAGUAUGAUCCAAUACUUUUUGGUAAUUUAGGUCAUGAUUAUCAAUUCAAUAACUCCCACCUUAUACCUUUAAAGCCAAAAGUAACAUAAGGGGCAGAUCCGUGUUAUCACAUUUUUACACAACUUUUUAUUCUUAUUUUUCGUGAGAAUCAUUCUGUAAUGUAUUUCAAUAAUCCGAACGUCUAUCUUUUAGGUUUUUCUUCAAAUAUCAUGUAUACCAAGAAUCACCUAAAUAUGAAAUCAUAUGACUGUUGAAUGUCUUCACAGUUUUAUAUUUGUCUAAUUUUUUACAAGAAUCAUCCAUGAAUGAUUUUCUAAAAAAAUAGACGUUCAAAUCGUUAAAAGUACAUUACAAAUUUGACCCCACAAAACCUGUGUAAAAAAUUAUGUAAAAAAAAUAGUGCCACGGAUUCGCUAUAUAUAUAUAUAUAUAUAUAUCCAUACAUUUUUUUUACUUCUCACAUACCUCUUAUUAAUUUCUGUCCUUUGAUAUAUAUAUAAAAAAAAUCUUCUUCAAUUCAUCCAAUCCGAUGGCCGAAAAUUAAAAGUGUGUGAGAAGUAAAAAGAAGUGUGUAAAUAGCACACAUCAUCUAAAAAACCAUUAACGAACGGGCCUGUAAUUCCAAAUUUACAAGUUUUUACUCCCAAAAGAGACAGAGCUUAUUAAUUUUGAAUUUUUUUAAUUUUCUGAUUGACUUGGGGUUGGGGUAAGUACGGAAUAUAGCGCUUGAUCUGUUGAAAUGUCCCACAUCGACCGUAUCAAUGAAAAAAGAAGAGUUUAAAUACCCUAAUCUCACUUUAACUAAUACCGAGGUCUUCUGUAAUAAAACCACAUAUCUGACGGAUUGUGCAUAUGGUAAUUACCAAGUUGGGGACAAUAUCGGUGUUGUUGGAAGUGGGCCGUGUGGUUCGUCUCUUUGAUAAUUCUACAUGGUAUCAAAGCCAAGAAGCUGGCAUGUACCGUACUGCCACGUGAUUGGUGGGUCCCCUUGGCCCCGCGCGAUGAUGGUGGGUCCCUUGGUCCCGCGUGUAGAGUGAGUCCUCUUGACUCCACGUGGUUGUCGAUGUGUGGAUCUCCCACGUGUGACCUGGUAAUUGGGUCCCACAUGAGGGGGGUGUUGAAAUGUCCCACAUCGACCGUAUCAAUGACAAAAGAAGAGUUUAAAUAUCAUAAUCUCACUUCAACUAAUACCGAAGCCUUUUGUGAUAAAACCCCACAUCUGACGGAUUGUGCAGGUAGUAAUUACUAAAUUGAGGACAAUAUCGGUGUUGUUGGAAGUGGGUCGUGUGGCCCAUCUCUCUAAUAAUUCUACAUGAUCACGGCUGAAUAGUCAAUUGGGUCCCACGUGAGGGGAGUGUUGAAAUGUCCCACAUCGACCGUAUCAAUGACAAAAGAAAAGUUUAAAUAUCAUAAUCUCACUCCAACUAAUACCGAAGCUUUUUGUGAUAAAACUUCAUACCUGACAGAUUAUGCAGGUAGUAAUUACUAAAUUGAGAACAUUAUCGAUGUUGUUGAAAGUGAGCCGUAUGGUCCAUCUCUCUAAUAAUUCUACAUGAUCACGGCUGAAUAGUCAAUUGAUCGUAUCAUAUACCAACGAACCUUUGCUUUUGAUUGAGUAGUUGUGAAGAAGUCAAGGUCGUGUAAGAUUAAUUUUCAAACUACAAUUAUUUAGCCUUCUAUCAUUCUGUGCCAUUCAUUUGUUUUAGCUAAAUGUAGACAUGCACUUAAUUUCAUGCCCGACUUUUAAAAAUGAAUAUGACUUUUCUCUUUAAUUUGUCGUGUCACCGGUUUAAAAGCUCCGAUCUUCACAGUGUAGCUUAGAUUAUUAAUAAUAACAUCGAUUGUAAUAAAAAUAUAUAUAUAUUCUCAAAACACAAAAAGGGUUAUUAAUAAAAAUAUAUAUAUUCUCAAAACACAAAAAGGGUUAUUUUUUUCAUUUUCAGAUUAUGUUGGACACGGAAUAGGAUCCUCUGGAUUUGUGGGGAUCUGAAAGAUCAAUUAAAUCGGUGUAUUGAGCAAAUAAUACUAGUUACUUCAACAAAAAAAAAAAAACAGUUACAACUAAUUAUUUUUGAUCGUCAGUUGCUAGUUACAAAUAUAGCUAAUGUCCUGUGACCUCGUAAUAUUUUUAUGAAAAUUUUCAUUUUCUUUGUCAACUAAAAAAAUACUCUUUAUUUUUGUUGUUAAAAAACAACUUUCCAAUAUUAUAGAAUUCCCACUUGAUCUAACAAACGCAUCAAAAUGAUACCUGAAAUUGAAAAUUGAUCAAUGUCGUCUAUGAAUAUGGAGAUUGUUGUCGGUGGCUAAGUUCAAAGAAGAAGGAGAAGAUGAGGAUUAUUAGUUUGUUGUUUUUCUUCUUUUUACCUUUUAAAUUUUUUGAAACACUUUAUUUAAUCCAUAUGUUAUCAUAUUAUUGGAGUGCAGAGUCUUAUGUGUGUCACAUAAACACAUAAUAGAUUUUUUUAACAGAAAUAAGACAGAAGACGACAUUGAUUUGCAACACCCAUAUUCAGGGACGAUAUUAUUCAAUUUUCAGCUUCAGAUAUCAUCUUGAUGUGAUGGGUCAAUUUCAGAAACCACUUAUAACAAAAAUGUAAUAUAAUAUAAUAACGUAAGUUUAACAAGUCACUACCUGUGAAACCAGUCUUUUUAACAUGUUACUAAGGAGCCUAUCUAUUGUCAAACGAUAAGAUAAUUAUAUUAAAUUUAACUAAAUUACGGCAAGUGGAAUUCAAACUUGGUGCAUAAUAAAACACAGUGAUGUAACUAGCUUGGCUAAACUAAAAUCUUCUAUUUUAAAUUAAUUCUUUUACAAGUAAUUUAUGUAAAUGUAUCUUUAAUUAUAUAAAUAAUUAAAUAAAAAUAAAUAGAGUAAGUGGUUGGGAACAAGGUCUAAAAUAUCGAUAUUAUCCCGAUAUUUCCAUCGAAAUUUUCAUGUUUUUGGACUAUCGAUAUUUUCGAUAUCAUCAAUAUUUUAGACCUUGAUAGGAACUCUAUGUGGUACUAAGUCACUCAUGUAUCUUACCAUGCAAUGUAUAAAGUGUAAAAUAUUGUACUAAUUCAUUAUAUAUAAAUGAUUAUGGUGUGUUUAAACUUCUUUCAUUAAUUACUACAUAUUUUUACACUCACAAUGUUUGCCAGCUCGCUAUAUAAUUAACUUAAAUCAGUUAAAUCCAUCAUGCAAUGCAUUUCUUUCCAAUUUUUUGUGAUAAACUAAUAGAUAAUUGACUAAAUAAACAUCCUGCAAAGUUUUAAUAAAAAUUUCCAAGUUUUUCUUAUAAUUUCCGUGGUUUUUAUUCAAUUUUUAUCGAUAUCGAUAAUAUCCCGAUAUUUCCAUCGAAAUUUCCGUGUUUUUGGACUACCGAUAUUUCCGAUUUCAUCGAUAUUUUAGACCCUUCUUGGGAAUAAUAUAUAUUUUUUCCUUUCUUGUUUGGUCUUUGGUUUUAAGGAAAAUUAAUGAAAAUGACUUGAAAACUUUGAGUUUUAACAAUAAUGACAAACUAAAGGGUAAAGUGAAUAGUAUCAUGAUUGACUUUUUAGUAUAAAAAUAUGAUUUUUCGUUAAAAUGAACAGUACCACAAGCUUUUCGUUAAAAUUCCCUUAGUUUUAAGGGCAAGGUAACACAAGUCAUUGACUUCCGUUUGUGUCCUUCGAGGUCCACUCCUUCCCUCCCCUCAAGGGAAUAAAAACCUGUAAUUCAGACUCAUUCUCCUCACAAAUCCUUCUUUCUUCGCUACUCUAAAAAAAUUUCAUACAUACAAUCCAACAAAUUCCAAAACCUCUCAACAUAUUCCAUCCAGCUAGCUGCACAAACUGAUCCUUUUGUCUCUGGUUUUGUCUUCAAAUGUGAAAGACUUUGCCUAGAAAAAUGAUGAAUAUGUUCUUCCCUCGACUUCUUCCUCAUUCUCUUUUCUUUGUAGCUUGCUUUGUAACUUUUGCCUUUGGAGCUGCUCGAUUGCCAAAUGAUGAAGGUACGAGUAAUUCACCUCAAUAUCUCUAUGUCAAAUAUCUUCCUUAGUUUCCUCUGUUUCAUUCUAUAAAUGAUAGUUUUAAGUUCGUUUGAUAAUUUUUUUAAUUUUCAAUUCUUUUUGAGUUCUCAAAUUUUGGUUUGGUUUUUCCGAGAAGUGAAAACAGUUACCAAUGAACUAAAAAUUAAAAUGGUUAUCAAAUGAACCUUAGGUAAACAGAUAUUUGUGUGAACUUAGUAGAAAUUUUCAAUCAUAUAAGGUGCACUCUGUAGUUCUUGUCUAUGCAUCAAUUUUUUUUUUUUACUAUUUUGUUGAGCACGAUGUUAAUUUGUUGCCUUUUAUUUUGCGUAUAUGCAGUGCAAAUUUUGAAAGACAUAGCAAAGACACUGGGGAAGACGGACUGGGAUUUCAGUGGAGAUGCAGAUCCAUGCAGCGGCCAACUUCCAUGGGCUGAUCCAAGCGCACCCAAAGGAUUAGAGAAUGCCAUCAGCUGUAAUUGCUCCUACGAAAACUCCACCGUCUGCUAUAUUACCAGCAUGUAAACCUCUCUCACUCUCUCUCUCUCUCUCUCUCUCUCUCUCUCUCUCUCAAAAAUAAACAUGGCCGGCUCAGAACUCAGUGAGAUUUUUCAAUGUGAUGGUAUAUCACGUGACACGAUAUAAAUGGUGAGUAACUUGUAUUAAAAAAUUAACACAAUUUGAAACAUAAAACUUUUUUCACUUAUAUAACAACACGUAGUGUAUCUUCCGAAUAUAAUGAAAAAUUUGUUUUCAUCUCACAAGCUAAUACCAAAUAAUCUUAUCGGAAUUUUGUGAUUUAAAUUGAUGGGCAUUUAUUGGUCCACCCCCCGGGGCCCAAUCUAGGGAUAUUUUGAUAUUGCCGCCUCAUUUUUUAUUUCUUUUAAGAAUUUGAUUAAACAUUUUUUUAUACAAUUUUAUUAGAGGCACGUUUGGUUUUAUUAGUACAUUUGAUUUUAUGGACAUUUUGUUUUCUGGUACAUUUGGAAUUUAAACGUAACAAAAGUUGGUAUGUUUGUUUUUAAGUGUACCAUAACUUUUAAAUACAUUUUCUAUAUAACUAGUUAUACGUAAAAUUUUAAUAAGAUUAAAGAAGUUUUUUUAUGAAAAUAUUAAUGAAUUUUUUUAAUGAAAGAAGAGACUAAUUAAAUAUAAUAAAAAAAAUAAAAAGUUAUUUUUUUUAUAAUGAUAAUGAGGAAUUACUGAAAUUAAUAUUUUAAUGAAGCCAUGAAUUUAAAAUUCCUAGAUUGUAGGAAAUAGUUGUUAGAUAGUUUAAGUGAAUAUAUAUAUAUAUAUAUAUAUUAAAUAAAUAAAUAAAUAAAUGUUGAGUUGGAAAUUAAUCAAAACAUCUUAAUCAAAUUUUGUAAAAGAACAUAUGUUUAGUCUAAACAAGUUGAAAAAAAUGGAGGGAAUUCUUAAUUCUUUGUCUUCAAUUUAUUUGACACAUAAUAUGCACAUGAGAUUAUUGCGUUAGUAAACACCAAUUUAAGUACUUAAUGUGAUAAAGAGACAUAAGUUGGAAAAUAAACGUUUGGUUAUAUAGAAUUGUGAAUGAUUAACUUAUUUCUUAAGCGAUAAAAAAUUGCUCAUUAUAUUUUUCUUUUCUGGAUAAACAGUUUGUUCGUUGUGUUUUGAACGAGUUCCAUCUCAUGCAAUAUAUAGAAAUAUUACGAGAAAAAUAAAGAAAAAUUUGAGAAAAGAAUUAGCCAAUUAGGUGCUUCAUUAGUCGAAUAACUUGACUAAGCAAAAACAAUGUACAGAUUAGGCGCCUUUUGUUGUGAAAGGUUGAGAAUGAUAAGAUCAAAGUUUUUCAGUCUUUGUUAUAUCAAUCAUAUUAGAGAAGAAAAAAAAAAUAUAAGAAAGGUCUACGUCCACGUACCAUCCAGUCGACAUUAUAUAAUAUCUACAUGAAGACUUUGCAUUUUAGGUCAAUGAAUCUGAAUGAGCAGAAAUUUCUGUAAGUACUCGGUAUUCAAGCGAGUAAUUUAAGUGUUAUAAAUGAGCGAAGAAAUACAAAAAAAAAAAUAUUAUUAUUUGUAUUAAGAUAUGUGGUGUACUCUUUGAAAAAAUCUAUUCUCAAUGAGCACUUUCUAAUACUUUGUUAGGUUAGAUGUUAAAUUAGCUAGUGGCAUGAUUUGAACUCAUGUCGUCAUACAAAGCCUCAACACUUUUUCACCACUAUGGUAAAGAGUUACGAGUCACUUGCAUCCUACAGGGAAAAUUAACUAGCAUGUAGACUACUAUGCGAAAAAUAAGGGUUAAUCUCAGUUUACUACCUUGAAGUUUCGUGAUUUUCAACAUUUGAUACAUGAAGUUUUUUUCAUCACAGAGUCAUAUCUCAAGUAUUAAUUUUGGAACAGUAUCAUACAUUCAUUAAGUUGGCUGUUAAGUCACAGAGUCAUAUCUCAAGUAUUAAUUUUGAAACAAUAUCAUACAUUCGUUAAGUUGGUUGUUAAGUCAGCCGUUAACUGAUGACGUGACAUCCAUAUAGAUAAUAACUAAGCUCCACGUGUAAAUAUAGGCCAUAUAAAUAUUUAAAAAAUUAAAAAACUAAACAAAUAAAAAUAUGGCCUAUGGAUGCGGGCCUUCCCUUUCCUCCACCCGCACCAACUCUUUAUCUUCUUCUCUUCGACAGCCACCAGAGCUGAUCUGAAAAUCAGCACAACCUCGAAAUUUAAGCCCUAAUUCAACCUAAAUUUCAGAUAGAAGGGCUGGAUUAGUCCAUUAAUCUAAGCGUACGAUCCAAAAUCCAGUUCCCAAUUGUGUUCCUUUCCUCAAUAAACAGCCAGAGGGCUCAACGAAAUGAAGAAAUUACAAAGAGAUGUAUAGAAAACGCACCGUUUUGGAGGUAGGGGCCGUACUCGGUGGCAGAGAGGUGCAUCUUGAUAUAGUCGAGGGUCUCGCACUGGCAAAAGUUGUUGUAAUCAGCGGCGAGCGGUGACCCUGCACUAUGGCCUCCAAGUACCCGCCGUGAAUGUUGAAGAUCAUCGCUUCGAAUCCGUACACUUUCGCUGAAAUUUUGAAAAUUUACGCGAUCUGCCACUGCAUGAUCCGAAAAAUUGAACGUCUCGCGGGAGAGAGAGAGGAAGGGGACGAUCGGGGAACCAGAAACCCCCUUCUGCAGCGAAAUCAAUGGAAACCCUAGCGAUUUGCAGACGGAAGCUGAAAUCUGGAAAUUAACCGCGUGGGCGCCAAUGGAAACCCUAUGGGCUAUGGCUUUCUACUCUGGUUUGAAAUCUCCGCGAUGAAUGCCUCGUUGUUGUUGUCGACGGAGAAGAAAGAGAGAGAACCCAGGCCGUGGUGGUGCAGAUUUUCAGAUCAGCUUUGGUGGCUGUCGAAGAGAAGAAUAAACAAAACUUCAUAAUAAUAAACUGAGAUCGUUCCGAAAAAUAAAGAAAAAGUUGAGAAAAUAGCUUGACUAAGCAAAAGCAACGUACAGCUUAGGCGCCUUUUGUUGUGAAAGGUUGGGAAGGACAGGAUCAAAGUUUUUCAGUCUUUGUUAUACGAAUCACCUUGUAUAAUAUCUACGUGAAGACUUUUUUAGGUACUCGGUAUUCAAGUGAAUAAUUGAAGUGUUAUAAAUGAGUGAAGAAAUAUAAAAAAAAAUGUUAAUUUUCCAUUAUAUUAUGAUAUGUGAUGUGUUGCUUGAAAAAAAAAAGAGUAAUGUUAUUCAUACUAUAUUUUUGUACCAUAUUUUCAUACCAUCUUAGGUGGUAUUUGAUGUGGACAACCAUAUCAUUUGAAUUAAUCUGAUUUUUAAAUUUAGUUCAUUAUUUAAUAAACUAAUAAUUAAGAAAAACUAAUUAAUUAAAUAAUAAUUGUGGUAUACGAGGAGUUUUUCUCCUUCAUUUUCUUGGGUUUUGCAAAUUUUUCAAAUGAUGUGGCUGUCCACAUCAAAUGCCACAUAAGGUGAUAUAGAAAUGUGGUAUAAAAAUAUGGUAUGAAUAACAUUACUUGAAAAAAAAAUCUCUUCUUAAUAAGCGCUUUCUCCUAUAGAGAAUAGAUUUUGUUAGGUUAGGUGUUAAAUUAGCCAGCGAUCGGGUUUGAACCCACGUCGUUAUGUAAGAACUUAACUUUUCACCAUUGUAGUAAAUAACCACUUGCCUCCUACAGAGAAAAUUAACUAGGCAUGUAGACUAAGUGAGAAUAAUAACUAGGGCUGGUUCGGUAUGGGAUACCGAACCGAAAAUGACAUACCAAAUCCCGAACCGAAAAUUUUCGGGACUGGAAUAAGAGGACCGAUACCAACCGAAACUUCGGGAUUCCCAAAUUUCGGUAUUCCCAAAAAAAUUUCGGUAUUUCGGGAUUUCCCGAAACCGAACUUGCAUUGAAAUCCAAAUCAACUAAUUGAAAUCGAAAACAUUCGAACCUGCAUGAAAACCCCAAAAUGAAAUCAGAGAAGUGACAGUGAAUCAGUGAAGAUUGAUGGGAGAUAGAGAGACAGAGUGAAGAGAUAGUUCGUCCUCCUCCUGACCCGAGCCCCUAAUUCGAAACCCUAAUCCCCAAUUCGAAACCCUAAGCCCCAAUUCGAAACCCUAAUUUGAAACCCCACAUAGAGAAUCAAUGGAGAGAAUCGGAGGUGGGGAUGAAGCCGUGAUGUGUAGUGGUGGCCGGAGGGGAGAGAGUUCAUCGGAGUGAGACUGUGAGAGGGUGGUGGCUGCUAGGCUUCGAAUUCGAGAAGGAGAGACAGAGAGAAUCUGAGACUAAGUGAAGGGCCAAAGAUGAGAAAUGAGAGAGAGUAAGUAUGGAUGUGUCGGCUUGGGUUUGAAUUGAGUUGAAGGAAUGUUUUGGUGGCUUCGCCUUUCUGGGUUGCAAAGCAGAUGGAGAUAAUGAGAGAGAGAGAGAGAGCGAGAGCAGCAGACAGCACCCAUGUGCUUUGAUAAAACUUCAAACGCCAGGCACACAAUCAUAUCCUUAUCCCCACACUUAAGUUAUUUUAAUAAUAUAAAUAGGCCAUAUACAUAUAUUCCAACAUAUAUAUAACAAUAGGGUUUAAAGUUCGGUUCGGGAUGGGAAUACCGAACAAUUUUAAGUGUGAGACCGAAUCCCAUACCGAAAAAUUCGGGAUCGGUUUGGUUUUGGUACCAAAAUUUUCGGGAUUUUCGGUAUGGUUUCGGUAUGAUUUGGGAUUUUCGGUAUUUUUUUCCACCCCUAAUAAUAACUUACAUUGAACGAGUUAAAUAUCAUAAAAUUUUACACUUAAAAUUUAGUUCAUUAUUUAAUAAACUAAUAAUUAAGAAAAACUAGUUAAUUAAAUGAUAAUUGUAGUAUACGAGGAAUUUUUCUUCUUCCUUUUCUUGGGUUUUGCAAAAUUUUCAAAUGAUGUGGCUGUCCACAUCAAAUGCCACCUAAGGUGGUAUAGAAAUAUGGUAUAAAAACAUGGUAUGAAUAACAUUACUAGAAAAAAAAUCUCUUCUUAAUGAGCGCUUUCUCAUACAGAGAAUAGAUUUUGUUAGGUUAGGUGUUAAAUUACCCAGCGAUCGGGUUUGAACCCACGUCGUUAUGUAAGAGCUUAACUUUUCACCACUGUAGUAAAUAACCACUUGCCUCCUACAGAGAAAAUUAACUAAGUGAGAAUAAUAACUUACAUUGAACGAGUUAAAUAUCAUAAAAUUUUACGUUUAAUCAUAUUUUAAUACGUGUAAAUUUUUGUUAGCAUGAUAUAUAAUAUUAUAACAAAAAUAUUAAAAAUAAUAAAUUUGUUCGAUGUAAACUGAUCACAAGUGUGUGAGGAGAGAUGUUUUUCUUUCAAAAAAAAAGAUUAGCUGAUAGUUUCGUCAUGACAGGAGUCGAAAAAACUAGUAGAGAUAGCGAGGAGAGAUGUUGAUUAGAUGGUUGGAAUUCGGUUUUGUGGACCCCAUGUCUAUUCGAUAUAUGUAUCAAUCAAUUUUUCUUUUUCUUUUUUUUUUCUGUUAAAAAGUAUCAAUCAAUUUUUCAUUACAUAUCCCCUAACCUAACCCCAUGCCCAUGAAACCUCCAAAAUAAAGUAGGAAUUAUAAGGCUUAGUGUGGGCCUCAUCGAGUUGCCUAUUGGCAACUUGGCACGUCGUAUUCACUCAUUCAACCUUAUGUCGAGCAAGGUAGCUAGGCCGAUUGAUUUCAAUUGGAUUUGAGAGUUGUUAGUUUAAUAGCAAAGUCGAGCUCGUUUGUUUCUUUGUGAUUUUCUCACGCCCCGACCGUAGUUUUGGAGAGAUUUUUUAGUGUGCUAGGAGUACGAUCCGGUAUAUCAAGUAUUAUAAUACAAGUAGUUAUAUACUUGAAAUUUUUUUCCAACUGCUUAUAUUAUGACACUUAGUGAACCAGAUUUGUUUCCCCCGCACACAAAAUUUCUCCUACCUUUGGGGCGUAAAAAUUUUAAAGCUCUUAUUGUGUAUGUAAAACAAGUAAAUGUUGCUACCGUUUAGAGCUAUGAAAAGUGACUACCACUCGUCUUUUUCUCUUCAUGCACACUAUUGAUUUCUGGCCUUUGACGAAUCAAGGGGCAUGAAUAAAACCAAAUUAUGCAAUAAUCAUUUUCAUAAAGCUAUAAGUUAUUCUUGGCAUGCAAGUUGGAUUGAAAAUUUCGAUUUUAACCAAUUCUGUUCUUGUCGGUUUACGAACAAAAAAUAUGAAGCAAAUUGGAACGCAUCUUAAAAUUAGGCCGCCUUUGCCAUUGUUACACAGUUACUAAUUUGUGAUCCAUCAUUGGGUAUAAAGUCAAUAUAAUUCUGAUAUAUCUAGACACUAGUGGGGUUUCCAUUUUCCCAAAUCCUUUACCCUCUAGAUUUUUAAUUUUUCUUCAACCGGCAACCAAUUGGAAGUUUUUCUUGGUCUAAUAAGACCUUGUUGUGCCUUGACAUUCAAGAAAUGCAGAAAGACUAAUCCAUUUCUUUUAUUGAAUGACCAAUGAAACAUCAAUUACAACCUACCAUGGACCGCAAUUCAAGUUAAGCUUAUCUGCAAAAUCGAGUUCAUGGGAUGUGACAAAUUUGCUCAAUUAUGAUAGCAAUGUGUUUUUGAGCUGGCCAUGAGCCAGCAUAGAUGUUCUGUGGCAUGCUGAGUUGUUAGGACUUGGUAUUACAGCUGUGCUGUAUUUAGGCUUGAUUCUUGCAUACUUGAUCAACGUAUAAAAUUUCGCAGUCACCAUGAUUGUUGCGUACUUCUUAUACACGAACAACUUUGUAUCGGCCUAGUUAUUAGUUACAAAGUCGAUGAAAGAAUGAUUCACAAUAUGCUUGUAACAAAUACACACUUACCGUUUGUGUAAUUCUUCAAGUUCUAUUCUUUGUAAAGAACAUUGGACAUUUUCCUUCGGUUUUAAAGAAAACCAGUUCCUUCUUCCUAUUUAAUUCCCUGAUCAAAAGUAAGUAUUUUCUGUGAUAAAUUAGUGUUUUACCUGUUUGGUCCUAUUUGUGUGGCAGCUUUUCCUUUUAGUCACAGUAUAGAUGUGUAAUAGAUAUCUGUUAAUUUACAACUAAUCUUUGAAACCCUGUUUUCCGAUGAAACACAGAAUUCUAAAAUCCCAAGAUUUGCAAGGAACACUCCCACCAGAGCUGGUACAUCUCACCUAUCUUCAAGAAAUGUAAGCACAUUUUUACCCCUCCAAGUUUACAAUAUUUAAAGUAAAAAGAAAAUAACUAUGUGUCGUGUAAAUGGUUUAUUCUAAUUUCAUAUAUAGCUUACCUUUAUUUCUGUUGUCAAUGAGACAAUAACUGGUUUCCUUCUUUCUCCUUUAGCGACCUCACCCGCAACUACCUGAGUGGUACCAUCCCUCCAGAAUGGAGCUCUCUUCCACUAGUGAACAUGUACUAUCUUCUCUCACACUGCAUACAUUUUUGUGUUUGAUGCUCAUGUCAUGUUCUUGUUACUUUAUUUGGUCACUCCAAUGUUCUUCAGCCAUUUCUUUCUUAAACUAUGAAUCUAAUACAUUGGGUUUUGUUCAUGAUAAUGAGCUUCCGUGGUCAUGAGGUGUUUGAAUCAUAAAUAUUGAAUCGAACACAUGGGGUUCAUUGCCUUCGUAUUGAUGAACAUGUUAAUGUUAUUGAGUCUCUUGCUUGAUAAAAGUGAUCUUAAGAUUAUAGUUUUGAUGCAGAUCCCUUCUUGGAAAUCGUUUGACGGGUUCUAUCCCCAAAGAGCUUGGAGACAUCACCACCCUGAAGAGUUUGUGAGUGUUGAUUGAGCAUUUGUUUCUUGCUUACCUCAUUUGAUUAUGUGGAGAUCCUUAAUGAUGUUUUUUAAUCAAUGGAAUUGAAUUUGUUUGUAUAGGGACAUCAGUUUCAAUAAUUUUUCUGGACCUCUCCCUCAGGAGCUUGGAUCUUGGGCCAACAUAGAAAGAAUGUAAGAGUCCUAUUCAAAUUUUACCGUGUUAAAAAGUACUUGGUUUAUUUGGAAUUUUCUUUCUUAUAGACAAAUUCUGGAUGUUUUCACCAAUAAAUCAUCUACUUCUUUAUCAUUGAUAUAUUGUUAUAUCUGUUUCAUACUUAGGCUGCUUUCCUCAAACAACUUUAGUGGGGAGUUGCCAGAAACAUUUGCAAUGCUUACCAAAAUAAAGGACUUGUAAGCUUCUGUGGUUCUUUCUUCUUAAAGGUUUCCUGAGCACUUAUACAUUUUUUACUGCUUUCUGAUACUAAUUCGUAGUAUUUUCCCUUUUCCAAUCAUUAUGCAGUCGGGUUAGUGACAGUCACUUUUCCGAGCGGAUACCUGAUUUUAUUGAGAACUGGAUAAAUCUUGAAAAACUGUGAGUGUUUUUCUUUUGUGUGUCAUAUUUCUGCUAUAUGAUUCUGAAUAUUAUCUCUAAUUCAUAUGCUAUGACUCGUUGAAACAGAGUGAUUCAAGCUAGCGGUUUGACAGGGCCAAUUCCUUCUGGCAUUUCUCUUUUGACAAGCUUAACUGACUUGUUAGUAUAUCCCGUCUAUAUUUUUAAAUACAAAACGAUUAGCAAAAUGUGUAGUUUAUGUUCAUGGCUCAAUUUUAACAUGCAGGAGAAUCACUGACUUGAGUGGACCUGAAUCACCAAUUCCUUCACUUAAUAAGAUGAAAAACAUGAGGACACUGUGAGUUAAUGGUUCCAUGACACACAAUUUUUGUCUGUACCAGAAGUCUUCUGUAAACUCAAAGCUUUGGUGUCUGUUGCAGGAUGUUGAGGAGUUGCAACCUUAUUGGAAAGCUACCUCCAUAUCUUGCACAAAUGAACAAAUUGAAAACUUUGUAAGUUCAAAUGUCUUAGUCCCUAUUUUUUCCGUCUUCAAAUAAAAAAAAUUCUUCUAGAUGUGAUUCUACUAAUUCAAGAUUUAUUGAAGUGACUUAGACGAUGUUGGGUGGACUUUAUGUUUCUGUAUUUAUUAAGAGAACUUCUCUUUCAGAUGUCAUUUCCCUUUCUGCAGAGAGCACAUCUAAACUGCAUUUGCUAUUUGUUUGUGCAGAGACCUCAGCUUUAACAAGCUGACCGGAGAAAUUCCAAGCAGCUUCGGUAGUCUAGCAGAUGUGGUUUAUAUGUAAGCAAUUGGAAUGACCAAUCUAGUCUUUCUUACAUGGAAUUCAAGCAGACAUUCUUCAAUGGUUUUGUUACACCCCAGCCUGGCAAGCUGGAAGUAUUUCCAAUCACAGUUACUAUAAUUAUGAGUCACGGGUUAUACUGCAAUGAAAAUGAAAACGGCUCUUCUGCUCAGAAAUGAAAUGUUUAGUUUAUUCAUUAGAGUCAUUACUACUCGUGCAAUUAUCUGACAUAAGGUGAUCACCCUUAGAUGUGUCUUUCACAUGGAAGUACUGAUCUAAUGCACUCAGAGUUGGCAAACUCAAAUUUUCAAACCUUUACAAAGAACAAACACUAUUCUCUACUGAGUUUUUUCUGUAUUCAUUAUUUUUAGAUUCUUAACUGGAAACUUGCUGACUGGACCUGUACCUGCUUGGCCAAGAGUCAACGUGUAAGCUUCUCUUCCAAAUGCUACUCUUUAGCUACUAAGGAAAUUUAUGCUGUUUUUUUUACUAAGAUAGAUAUAAAACUAUUAUAUCAAUAUUGAGUUUUGGUUUCAAUAUUUGUUGUAUAUUUCAUUAUGAAGAUUACAAGAGAGUGAAGGCAACUCUUAUAGAGAGCCAAAAGAAAGCUACAAUAGAUUGUAGGAUAACUACACAAACACAAUCCCUAAAAUCUGCCCUAACAAAUGGAAAAGCAAAAACCAAAUUACAAGUAAAAAAGCUUUUACAAACAACUAAGAAAGGUUGAUGUAAGGUGAAUGACAAGGAAAGUGACUGGUGAAUGACAAGCUAUGGAAAGUGACUUUAGCCUAUGACUUAGCUAAAGUGAGGAUGACAACUCAUACAUACAACCCAUCCAUACAAUCCAUACAAACCGGUUUCAAUACACCCCCUCAAGCUGGAUCAAGGGGAUUGAUUGAUCCAAGCUUGCACAACAAACGCUGAAACUGAGUAGAGUCUAGUGCUUUUAUGAAUAAAUCAGCAAGUUGAUCGUGGCUGCAUGUGAACACGGUGUCUAUCACCUUGGAUUGAACUUGAGCACGAAUAUAAUGGCAGUCAACUUCAAUAUGUUUGGUCCUUUCAUGGAAUACUGGAUUGGAGGUAAUGUGCAUGGCAACUUGGUUAUCACAAUACAAGGAUAUAUGUGCCAUGCUUGUGAAUCCGAGCUCGGAAAGAAGACCUUUCAACCAUAUGAGUUCACAGGCUGUUGCUGUCAUAGCCCUAUACUCAGCUUCGGCGCUAGAUCGAGCAUUAAUAGUUUGUUUCUUGCUCUUCCAAGUGACAAGGUUCCCUCCAACAAAUAUGCAAAAACCUGUUGUGGAUUUUCGAUCAAGGGCAUUUUCAGCCCAGUCAGCAUCUGUGUGGGCCAAGAUGUGAUUUGAUCCAUUGUUCUUCAUAAUUAUCCCCCUUCCUACUGAGCCCUUGAGAUAUUGAAGUAUUCUCUUGACGAUUUCCCAGUGAACUAGAGUAGGAGAGUGCAUGAACUGACUGGCUAGGCUAACUGAAUAUGAGAUAUCAAGCCUAGUAAUGGUGAGAUAAAUAAGUUUCCCAACCAUUCACUGAUAAACACUAGGGUCCGAGAGAGGUUCACUUUUUUCAUGCCACUGAAGUUUUCUAGCUAGGGGUGUCCAAGCUGGUUUACAUUCCAUCAUGUUAGCUUCAUCUAGAAGAUCAAGAACAUACUUUCUUUGAUUUAAGAACAAUCCCUUUGAAGAGGUAGCCACCUCAAUUCCAAGAAAGUAUUUCAAGGGCCCCAAGUCUUUAAUGGCAAAUUUUUGGUGAAGUGAUUGCUUAAGCGUCUUUAUUUCACUUAUAUUGUCACCUGUAAUAAUUAGGUCAUCAACAUAUAUAAGCACAACCAAUUUUCCAGCAAUACCACUUCGAACAAACAAAGAAGAGUCAGCAUGACUCCUUUUGAACCCUGCAGCUUCAAGGACUGAACUAAGCAUCGAAUACCAAGCUCGAGGGGACUGUUUGAGACCAUAUAUGGCUUUGUGAAGUCUGCAGACCUUGUUGGGUUCAUUUUCUCUUGGAUGACCAGGAGGCAACUUCAUGUACACUUCUUCUUCAAGAUCCCCAUGAAAAAAAUGCAUUCUUCACAUCCAUUUGGAAUAAGGGCCAUGCAUUAUUGACUGUCACAGACAACAAUACCCUCACUAUGUUCAUUUUGGCAACAGGAGCAAAGGUCUCCUUAUAGUCAAUGCCAUAGUUUUGAGUAAAGCCUUGAGCUACUAACUGUGCCUUGUGUCUUUCAAUGCUUCCAUUGGAGUUGAAUUUGGUCUUAUAUAUCCACCUACUUUCCACGACCUUCUUGCCAUUUGGAAGAUCCACCACACUCCAUGUCUGCUUGUCAUUCAGAGCUUGAAGCUCUUUAGUCAUAGCAUCUUGCCACUCAGGCAUGCAUGUGGCUUCAUGAAAAUUCCUUGGUUUGAAAGUGUGGGACAAUUUGUUAAGGAAAGAAGUAUGAGAAGAUGAGAAUCUAUGAUAAGAAAUGGCUGCAGAGAUAGGAUGCCUUGCAGUGUAAGUAACAUACUCUUGUAACCUCAUUGGUGGAUGUCUAUCUCGUGUAGGAUUUCUUCUUGGUGUACUUAUAGCUUGCUGAUUUGGUUGAGCUUCUGAUGGUUCAGAUGAGCUUGGCACUGCAUCAAUUACACUCUCAGUGAGUUAAGAAUUAUCAGUGCUGAUAUGAGUAGGAGUGACUUCAUGAAUUUCUGCUGGAAUAGGUAGUGGAAAUAGGUCCAUAAGAUCUUCCAUAUUAGCAUUAGUCUUCAACCCUUUGUGGAAAUAAGGUGAAUAUUCAUCAAAUCACACAUCUCUAGAGACUGCCAGCUUUCCCGUGUUAGGGUUGUACACUUUGUAACCCUUUUGAGAAAUGGCGUAUCCCAUAAACACACAUUUGACAACUCGAGGGUCGAGUUUGUCAUGAUGGAGAUCUUGAAUGUGCACAUAACAAGUACAACCAAAAGUCCUGAGGUAAGACAAGUUUAUAGGCCUUCCUUUCAUGACUUCAAAAGGAGAUUUAGUAUUCAACACCCGAGUUGGCAGUCUAUUAAUGAUGUACGUGGCAGUGAGUAAGGCUUGAGACCAAAAUUUCUUAGUAAUAUUCAUUUGGAUCAUAAGUGAUCGAGUCUUCUAAUAAGUCUCAAUUCUUUCUCUCUGCCACACCAUUUUGUUGUGGUGUACCAACACAGCUAGUUUGAUGCAAAAUGCCAUGAUUGCUCAAGUAAUUAUUCGUGUUAUUGGAAAUGUACUCGGUACCAUUAUCUGAUCUUAACAUAUAUAACUUAGAUGAAAAUUGAUUGGUGAUUAGGUUGUGAAAGUCGUUAAAAGCAUCAAACAAAUCACUUUUAAGUUUUAAAAGAUACAACCAGGUUACUCUAUAAUAGUCAUCAAUAAAUGUAACAUAAUAUCUAUACCCAUCAAAGGAUUCUACACGAGAAGGACCCCAAAUAUCAGAGUGAACAAGCUCAAAAAGUUUACUAGUUCUAGAAUUAGAGGAAACAAAAGGAAGUCUAGUGGCUUUUGACAUUUGACAAGUUUCAUACUCUAGUGUGUUUUUACAAAAAAAGGGAAACAACUUGGUCAUCACAUGUUCUGAGGGAUGGGCAAGGCGUUGAUGCCAGAGUUGGUGUUCCUGAACUUGACUUAAGUUGACACCGAGCUUUUUGACAAAAUUGGACUCAUUUGAAAGAUAGUAGAGUCCAUUCAAGAAGAACCCUUCACCAAUCUUCUUCUAAGUAACUCGGUCCUGAAACACAACAUUGUGAGGGGAAAAUAUGGCAAGACAGUCUAAGGUUUUUGUAAUUUUUUCCUAUUGACAAGAGCUGAAAAGGAAAAGAAGGUACAUAGAGAACAGUGGAAUCAGUAUGCUCACUUAGCAAUCUAAUCUUUCCUUUCCCUAGAAUAGGUUCCCAUUUCCCAUUUGCAACAGAUACAUGCAUUGGAUCAAUAGUUCUUUGAAAAUCGUGGAGACUAGAGGGUUUAUUAGUUAUAUGAUCAGUGGCACCAGAGUCAAUAAUCCAAAAAUCAUGUGUAACAUUUGCAUUAAGAGCAGUGGAAAUGGCACUGAUAAUACCUGAAAUAUUUCCUUUCGAUGUGUUCUCCGAGUCAGCCAAGAAUCCAGCAAAUUUCCCUAGCAUUGCAGUAGGGUUUUCAAGUGUCAUUUCAUCAGGUUCAGUGCUUCCUUGCUUCUUUUGAAGAAAAGCAGCAAACUCGUUGAUCAAGGACACAUGAUUGUUGAGAAAUUGGCCAUCCCAUCAGUUAUGGAACAAGCUGAAUGAAAUGCUUUUGUAGUGACUCCACCCUUCCCAUCUUUGAUCAUCCUGCCUUCCCUAUCAAACUUAGGCUUUAACUCCGGAUGAAGAAUCCAACAUUUUUCUCUCAAAUGUCCCUUCAUGUUGCAAUAAUAACAUUUCCAGUCUGCUUUCUUGCCAAGUACCCUAUCACCAGUUGCUUUGUGAUUUGUCGUGAAAACCCUAGCUUCAGAAUUGGAUUUGGGCUCAACGUUCAUCACUCUUCGUCAAGUUUCCUCUCUCUGGACUGCAUGACACACACUGGUAAAUGAGGGCAGCUCUUGAGUCAUUAACAAGUGACUACGCAGGUCUUCAUACUUCGUUCCCAAGCUUGCUAAGAGUUGAAACACCUUGUCUUCAUCAGCCAUCUUCAGUAGCACAGCGGAAUCAGUCGUGUGUGGACGAUACAUAUUGAGUUCAUUCCACAUGGAUUUCAUACUUCCAAGGUGUUGAACAAAUGAGUGAUCACCUUGCUUUAAACUAGCCACACUCUUCUUCAGUUAAAAGAUGCAAACUGAGUUGUUUUGGCUGCCAUACAUGUCUUUGACAGACUCCCAUAGGAGAAGGGAAGACUCUGAGUAAUUGAAAAGCUCAGACAGUUUUGGCUCCAUAAAGUUAAGUAACCAGGACAUGACCAGUUAAUCAGUAGCAUGCCAUGCAUCGUAAGUUGGUGAAGUGGAUUAUGCGGGCUCAGAGCUUCCAUUGAUAAACCCUAGCUUCGAUCUUCCCCCUAGAGCAAGUGACACAGCUCUUGACCAAGGAAGGUAGUUGAACUCGUUCAGUAGCACCGAGCAGAGUCGUUGAUUUGGAUUGUUUUCAACCCCUUGGGUUAAGUUUAGGGAGGAGGAUGAGGCACUAUCGGCACUAGACACAUUUUCUUCUGCCAUCUCUUUCGAUGAUGAGCAAAUGAAGAAGUAAAAAAAAAAUGACCCUAUGGUUCCUGCUCUGAUACCAUGUUGAGUUUUGGUUUCAAUAUUUGUUAUAUAUUUCAUUAUGAAGAUUAGAAGAGAGUGAAGGCAACUCUUGUAGAGAGCCAAAAGAAAGCUACAAUAGAUUGUAGGAUAACUACACAAACACAAUCCCUAAAAUCUGCCCUAACAAGUGGAAAAGCAAAAACCAAAUUACAAGUAAAGAAGCUUUUACAAGCAACUAAGAAAUGUUGAUGUAAGGUGAAUGACAAGCUAUGGAAAGUGACUGGUGAAUGACAAGCUAUAGAAAGUGACUUUAGCCUAUGACUUAGCUAAAGUGAGGAUAACAACUCAUACAUACAACCCAUCCAUACAAUCCAUACAAAGUGUUGUUUCCUUUUGUACUGACAUACUACACCUGGAAAAGAAUUUUUUAGUGCUUCUUUGAUUCUGGUUUAUGAAACCUCAAUGAAUAUGAGGACUGGGGGGAAGAUGAUUAAUAAUGAAAAUGAAAGGAUGAAGAAAAUCACACAGAGAAUAUAGGUCCCCACUCAAGUCGUGCAAAGAGAAUAUUACCGUUAGCAAAGCACAGCUGGAUCCUUAGACAUCACAAAGUGAUCUUAGCCACACAUCUAACUAAUUUCUAGGAUCCUUAGACUUCACACAAGGCAUUAUUUGCCGUACAUCUUUGAACCUCACACUUGGCCAUAUUACAACUCUAAGUGAAUAUAGAAUUAAGCUCAUAACUUAUGUCACUAAUUCUAAUCAGCUCGAGACCUACAAUUCAACAGAAUUUGCAUCAUAGCUCUUUUUGUGCAGUGAUCUUUCGUAUAACAACCUCGCCAUAGAGGAUGCAAGUUGUCAACCACGAGGUGGCACGUAAGAAUGUCUUCAUUAGCUUGAAGUUAAUCUGUUUGUGUUAUGUGGAGAAAAGCUUAACUUUUCAUUUGUGUUAAUUUCUGCAGUAACUUGUUUGCAAGCUCGUCAAAAGGAAAUAGUUCGUAAGUUCAAAUUAAUCGUCUCAAAGCAUGCACCUAUAAAUUUACUUCGGUAUCCAAUGGUGUAUUCUUUACUAUUUUUUUUUCCAACUUCGUCUCAUUUAUGAUUGCUGACAUUUUUUGUACCCUGAAUUACUAUAUCCGGAGAAUCGUUUCAUGUUUCAAAACUUCAGAGUGUCCAAAAUGUAAGCCGAGUUUCUACACAAAUAAUUACCUUUAUUUUUUCGCUUCAUUCUUUUUUAGUUUUCCUCCUCAAUGCCUACUAAUCUCCAAUUUAUUUUUUCAUAGAUUUGUACUACUCUCUCCAUAUAAAUUGUGGUGGGAAACAAUUUACGGUCCCUGGAGGAAAAGAUACAGUAUAUGAUGAUGACACAUUUUCAGCUGGACCUUCAUCAUUUACCUGAGCAGAACAAAUUGGGCAUUAAGCAGCACCGGUUACUUCCCUGAUGAUGACCGCCCUUAUGACACCUUUAUAUGGACUAAUGAAACUAGACUCUCUAUGGCCAAUCCUCAACUGUACAUGAACGCACGCCUUUCUCCCAUCUCUCUAACUUAUUUUGGGUUUUGUCUGGGAAAUGGAAACUACACCGUAAACCUCCAUUUUGCAGAGAUAAUGUUUAGAAAUGGCAAAACAUAUAAAAGCUUGGGAAGGCGCAUAUUCGAUAUUUACAUUCAGGUAAGUAUCGCAUCCACUUCCAUGUAUACCAGUGAAUUAUUCUAAUUUUCAACAAGCAUUGUUUAUAUUUUGGUCGAUUUGAAUGUUAACUUUCACAUUUAUGAUCAUGAAAUGUUAAGCAACUAAAUUAGUGUGUGUGUGUGUGUGUGUGUGUGUAUUGCAGGGAAAACUAGUGAAGAAGGACUUCAAUAUCAUGGAUGAAGCUGGCGUGUUUGGUGAUGUAGUCAUAAAGAACUUUACUGCUCCUGUAACUAAUAAUACAUUGGAGAUUCGUUUCUAUUGGGCCGGAAGAGGGACGACAGGCAUCCCUUUUAGAGGAGUCUAUGGUCCUCUUAUUUCAGCUAUUUCAGUAGACCCAAGUAAGUUUUCACUGAUCUGAGCUUCGUCUAAUUACUAUGCGUCGACCAUAUGCAUUUAUAUAUCUACUAAAUUAAGAGAUCCGACUUCAGUUCUGCAAGGUUCUUCUUCUUCUUCAAUAUUUCCCUUCGCUUGUAUUUUCAGAAAAAUGCUUCUGUGUUUUUCUCCUGUUUUACAUAGUUUGAGCCAAGACUUGAAGAAAUACUCUCUUAAAUUUUCUUAUCACAUAAUAUGCUGUUUUUUUCUAGGUGACGGGUAUGCUCUUUCAAAUACAACAAAAUUCAACUUCGAGGAUUUUUAACUAUUUACAUGAAAUGUACCGUUUGGUACGUGGGACGGGACGGGAUGGAACGGGACGAGCCGUUCCGUCCCACGUUUGGUGCGCCUAAAAACUGUGGAACGGGUUGUCCCAUGGGACGAAAUUUGGCUGAUUUUUCGUUCCACCUCUUCCCCCUGGAACGACCCGUUCCACAUCCGUGUAACACAAAUUUAUAACAUUUUAUGACACAAUUUCUCCUUAUCUUUUUUAAUAUUUACAUCAUCUGUUCCGUCCUGUUCUGUCCCGUCCCGUCCUGUUCCAUCCCGUCCCGUCCCGUUCCAUCCCGUCUACGUACCAAACGGUACCUUAAGGAAACAUAUAAUAUUUACAACCAUCAAAAGAAAGUUUGUUCGAGGGAUUACUUCAUAUACUAUCUACUUAGUUAAGGAUGCCGCAAAGACAGGGUUUCAAUCUUCUGUUUGUGUGCAUUGGAUAGCUAGUUGAAUAAUCCACUCUCAUAUCAAUUACAUACAUUUACUCUAAUUUAAGCUAUAUUCUUUCUUCGGACAGACUUUGAUUCGCCGCCAAAACCUGUAAGUGACACAUCAACUGGUGGAAGUGGCGUGCCUGUAGGUGUCGUGGUUGGAAUUGUGGUUGGAGGAGUCUUCAUUAUACUACUGAUAUUUGGUAUUCUUUGGAAGAGAGACAACAAAAGACAUUGGAGGAUGGUAUUAAUUUGCAGUUUAUUAUGUUAUACUGGUUUUUCCUUUUUGUUCCUCCAUUACUUUCUCUCAUCGAGCUUUUUUCGUAACUAAGUACGAUAUUUAUGCUAUUUGCAUGGUUCUCAUGCAUAUUGACAUGCACCACAAAGACAGUAAUUAUUUAGAUAUGGAGCUUUCCGGCACUUUGAUGUUUCUGUAAUAUAUUUAUCGUCCAAACACCAUGAUGCAAAGUGUCUGCCUAUAGAUCUAGUUACUUGUUAAAUUCUAUAAUUAGGCACAAAAUAUUAAGAACUAAGAAUGUUAUCGUUCUGAAAGUUUUCUUAAGACACAAUUUCUUAUGAGUUUUAGUUGUUAUACAGAUUUGAAGGGUGUGGACCUGCAAACUGGUAAAUUUACCUUCAAGCAACUCAAAGAUGCCACUAUUGGCAUGUAACCCUUCAGCCGAAGACUUGGAGGCAAAGAAAGAAUUCAAACCUUAUUUUAAUGUUUGUUUCAUGUUUAAAUUUGAGCCAUUGAAUCAUAGUCCAUGUGGCUAGCCUUACUUGUAUCUAGCUUAAGUGAUAGAUUAUAACAAGUGGCAUCAUCUCAUAGGAUGAUAGCAAUUAAGGAAUGAGAUUAAGUGUGUUAUUGAUGAGUGUAUAAAGCCAAAAACCUUAUAUGUUUGUUGUGAGGGAAUAUUUUUCAAUCAAUCAGUGUAAUCAUCCUCCUAAAAAUUCUCUCUGCCAUUUUCGGCAUUACACAGACCUCUGCAAGAUUUCAUAGAAGCUUACCAAACAUUCCCAUACACUAACAGCCACAAGCAACUUUAACAAAGCUAUCAAGUCGUUGCAUCCGACUAUCCUUGCAUUCUCUGCUUUGAACAUUUUCACAUAAUCGCGAAACAACUCCUUUGGGUUCUUCUUGACGUUGAACAAAUGGUCGGACUUCUUUUUUAUCAAGCGAUAGGAUGAAUAUUCUUUGGUGAAAACCAAAAAAGUUCGUCAAAACUCCGGAUGGAUUGUGGUGGCAGGGUGUAGAACCAAUUUUGCGUCUCGCCUUGUAGAGUGAUGAUGAAUAUCUUGCACAUGAGAUCGUCGUUGUUUCGAUAGAGGAUCAUUGCGCUUCGGUAGUGCUUUAAGUGUCUCUCCGGGUCUUCAUCCCCUUUGAAAGAUGUGAAAUGUGGCAUGCUGAACUCGUGUGGAGGCUCUGCCUGCUCGAUCUCAUCCGUGAAGGGUGAUCUGCUUAUGUUGGUCAUGUUCCGUCGUAGUACCUCGUAGGUGACCUUGUUGCGUUGGAAAUUGCACAAUCACUUAGUCAAGAGUCUCUCUACUUCUUCCUGAAUUUGCCUUUGUUAGGGUAGUCGAACUCUCGGCUGCCCCUAGCUGUGACUUGCUGGUCUAAGCUGCUCUUCUAUGUGUUUGGCUCGUCUAUUCCGCGGAUGAGGUGUGUGUGGUGUGUUCCUAGCAAGCGAGCGAGUUCUUCUCAGGCUGUCGGUUGAACUUGAGCCGGAUUGAGUGACAAAGUCAAUGAAAGAAUGAUUCACAGUGUGCUUGCAUACUUCUUAUACACGAACAACUUUGUAUCGGCCUAGUUAUUAGUUACAAAGUCAAUGAAAGAAUGAUUCACAGUGUGCUUGUAACAAAUACACAUUUACCGUUUGUGUAAUUCCUCAUGUUUUAUUCUUUCUAAAGAACAUUGGACAUUUUCCUUCGGUUUUAGAGUAAGAAAACCAGUUCCUUCUUCCUAUUUAAUUCCCUGACCAAAAGUAAGUAUUUUCUGUGAUAAAUUAAUGUUUUACCUGUUUGGUCUCAUUUCUGUUGCAGCUUUUCCUUUUAGUCACAGUAUAGAUGCGUAAUGGAUAUCUGUUAAUUUCCAUAUAUGUUAUUAUUUAUUUUUACUUGUAAUGAAUAUCUAUUGUCACAACCCGUCCCGAAAUAUUUAUUUUCGACGGUGUGAAAUGACAGUUUUACCCUUGGACGUUGAGAUGUGUGGUGUGUGUCAUGCUUUUGGAUGUGGACCAAUAUGUUGAGUUCCUAAGUUUUUGGACUCAAUUAGAAGUUAGACUUUUGUUAGUUUGGUUAGGGACCAAGUGAGGACCACACACACACACAAAACACCCCGUGCAUUCUCUCUCGUCUCGGCCUUCCUAUCAUUUCCGUACAAAACGUACAGACGAACACCAAACUCACACUUCACGCACGGAUCGACGUUAACCAGGUAAUAUUCGAAUUCCUUGUAAGAUUUUGAGUUCACCCAUACCCUUUUUAGAUCGAGAAACCUUCGUUUUCUCGAGAAACCAGAACUGCCGAAUUCAUGCACUGUUCAUGCACUCAUAAAUGUGAGGUUUUUAGGAAUUUUUUAGGACAUAGUGAGCUUUGGAUCAUCCUCACGAAGCUUGGAGAAGAAAAACCAAGUGAAUUGGACGUCGGGAAGUGGAGAUCGACGAGUUCAAAGUUUGGCCGGAUUAUCGAAGGAUCUCCGGCGAAUUCUCGAGGGAUUUCAGGUCCCAAAAUUGGUAAGGUUUUAUUCCUUAUGUUGUAAGCUUCAUUUUGGUGAAGAUUUCGUGGAAUUUGGUGCAAAAAUGGGAGAGAUAUGAGGUUUUAUAUAUUUUCCAGUUUUCGGCAACGGCGACGGUCGCCGGAGGUCAAACGUAGGGGACGACGAGAUAUUCCAUCAAAAUUGAUGGAAUAUUCCUAACGGCCGUUAGGCCUCAGUUAGGGUUUGGCCGAGCGUGGGGGCGCGUAGGGCCGUGCCUCCGCCGGCGUGUGACGACGCGUGGGACGUCAGAAAAUUUUUCUAAAAAUAUGGGGAUGUUCAUGAGAUUGUGUAGUUCACGUUGGUAUAUUCAAACAUCCCAUUUGAGCAAUGUAUGAGAAGUUAUUAGCUAGUAUUGGUUAUGUGCUUUAAAUAACGUUUAUUUAGUUAUUUCACAUAUAGGUGAGACCUAUCUAGAGGACGAGCGCAGUCAAGGGCGACUCGGGGGCUACGACCCUUCGACAUACCAGUUAGUGGGCUUUUGGUUUUCAAUAUAUAUUUAUAUACUUGAUAUUUUCCCAGAAAAUGUGUUUAAAUGAAAGUAUGCUUUGAAAUGCCAUGCAUAUAGAUUUAUAUUCGGCAUAUGAAUUAGUAUAUGAUGCAUAAUAUGAAUUGGUACUGUGGAUGCUCAGGUAAGUACCAGGUGAGUUAUGUUUUGUUAUAUGAGAUAUUGAUAAUGUGAGACGUGAUUGAGAACUCAUAAACCUGCACCCCGGGUGAUUGUGAUUUAGCCAGAGAUAUGGCACAUGCCUGUAUAUAAUGUCACAUCCCGCACCAUAUGCUCACAUUGGAUCCAAUUUAGGUGCACAGUCUUGUCGUACAGACCAUUAGGUGAGUAGUGAUUUAUCGCACAGCUAUCAUGAGAGCGUAACAUUGAGCAUAAUUAUAUUACACUCAGUCUUGUCGUACAAACCAUUACAGUGGUUCCGACUCGUGUGCAGUGUAGUGCCGUAUAGGUCACUGACGAUGACUUCGGCUAGAUUGAUAAAUAAUAAAUUUAGUCGUACAGACCUCUGCAGGGGGUUCCGACUAAUAUGUUAUUUUCCAUGAAUUUAUUUUCACCUGAGUUACUUAUUCUGUUUUAUAUUUUGGCAUGGCAUACUUAUGAAUAGAUAUGUGAAGCAUGAUUUGAAUAUAUAUAUAUAUACACACACACACACAUAUAUAUAUUUAUAUUCUAUUUCUGGGAAAAUUAUACAUGUUUUACGGCGAUGGGUUAUAGUAUUUGAUAAAUGAAAUGGUUUUGAAGAACUUUGUUUUUGCCCACUCACGUUUUCUGUUUUGCGCCCCUCCAGGUUUUAGGUAAGCUUGCUCGUUGGUGGCUCACGAGGAUUAGUGGAGGUUCUGACAGACCAUAUCAAAUGUAGGACAUCUUUGGGUGUCGUUUAAUUAGUACUUGCUUUCUGGACUGAACUUAGGCUACUCUCACUCUGAUUGUGUAUUUACACAUAUACUAGCACUAGUCUUAACUAGUACUCUUACAAGUUGGUUUUCAAUUAUUCGUAUUCUCUAUUAUCAUUAUUGCUUCUGCACUGUGCACAUGACUACGUCACCCUCACGUGAUGGCCAGCAUACCCUGAUUCGGGUCGGGGUGUGUCAUCUACCCUUUUAAUUACAUUUUAUUUUCAAUAGUAUCUAAUGAGUAGAUUUUAUAUUAUAUAUUUUACCUUGAUCUUAGUUUAUUUUGGUUAUUAUUUUGGAAGAAUUUUGAUACUUUGAAUUGCAUUUGCAAUAUAGGAGUUUCAACUUCUUCUGGAGCAAAACGUGAUCAAAUGAAUGAAUUUUGGAGUGAUUCCAGCUGGAGGAUGUUCGUGAUUUUCUUAGCUUGAUCAUGUCAAAAUAUAAGAUUCUUCCACCAAUCGGUUAUUUUCUAGCGAUAGAAUAAAGGAGCACUGCGCGAUGCUGGAAAAAUGACGUUUUGGGCUUAAUUGCAAGUUUUGGAGUCUAAGAUAACUUAAUUUGGGUUCGGCCCCUUCUGGAGAUAUGUUCAGAACGUUCCGAUCUUUAAAACAAGCUGUCAUGGGCCGGAUUUGGAGGAGAUUUGAGGCUAAAACGUGGCUGGACAAUUCCCAGAUUCUCCUAGCUUAAUUAGGACUUUAUUUUCUAGUAUAUUUAUUAUUAUUUGGUUUCCUAGUUGGAUCCAAAGACUUUUAUUAGGGAUUAUUGCAGGUUUUAGGAGAGGAUAUAAGGUUUGACCGGCCUUAGUCCUUUACUUCUUCUUUCAUGCGACUUCGGAGAUAGGAAAUUGGCUAGGGUUCUUGAAGAUUUUUAGAGUUUAUUUAAGGUUUUUUCAAUCAUUUUCUUCAUAAUAAUAUUUUGUUUGAUUUUAAUUAUAAAUAUGCGUAACUAAUUUGUUUUGCUGGGGCGAAGUCUUGAAUCUUAGCAUGAAUAUGUAAUUUUUAUUUAAUUGAUAAUGAUUGAUCGUAUGUAUGCUUUGAAUUAUUGAUCACCAUUUUAAACUAUCUAAUUGUCUUGAUGACUAGCCACCAUUAUGAUGUUUAGACAAGUAAUUGGAUGCAAUUCGGUUAGAAUAUCACCAGAGGAUUGGGUAUUGCUUCUUGUGGUUAAUAAUUGUAAUUUCACCUAAGGCGAAUAUCACGCUCUUAGGGGUUGCAUGUUUUUCGGAGAGUUUCACAGAACUUAAUGAGUUUUGCAAGUUUAUAUUUGAUCUGAAUAUCACAGACGGAUUGCAUGUUAGAUAUACGUUCUUGCUUGAAAAUCACGAGGAGAAUAUGUAUCAGGAAAACCUAACCUUCAAAGUUGCAUAUGUAGAUCAUAAGUAAUUUGUCAAAAUACAUAGGAUUGUUAUGAUGAUGGCGGAACCCUAGUGUUUUUAUAAAUUGGUAUUUAAAAACUCUUUUCUAUUAUUUUUACAAUUUUGGUUUAUAGUUAAAAUUCAUUUAAUAUAAGUCAGGAUAUUUUAUAGGGAACUUUAACGAAAAGUUCCCAGUACUGUUCACUUUAACGAAAAACGUGCCUUGAUAAUCACAUGAUGUAUUUAAUGUAAUUAUAUAAUUGAUCAUUACAGUUGUGGAUAAUUACAAAAAAGUAUAAUAAAUAUACGCUGAGAUACACAUAGUCCUAAAUUAGUACUUAGUUCUGAAAACGCCAAUAAGAUAUAGAUCCAGAAAAUUGGACUUCUCGUCCUCGUCAUAUCACAUCAGCCUAUCAAGCCACCGUUACCAACACCUCCACAAUUUGCAGAGAAAUUCGCAAUGAAUGCUUAAACAAACAGAUCCAUCAAGGAUCUUACCAUGUAAGGUCGACCAACCGCAAAUAUGCAGAAAGAAGACAAAUCAAUUACAAAAUCCAGCGUUUCAGAAGGUAGAUCUGGAAAAUUUCUGACCAAACUUGCCUGAUCCAAAGCCCUAUAACCUAGGGAGAAAACAAAACCUCGCAAGAGGCAAUGAAGAACAAGCCUAGCACAAGAAGGCUAGGGAGCAAAAGCUCUCCACAUAAAUACGGGAGACAGGCCCUAUAGUCGUAGGACUCCUUGUCAAGAUUAGGCUUGGGUGAGUGGUUUUCAUAAGGGAUUGAAGCACAGUUGGUCAUGAACUUAUCAUAAACUGUUAUACGGAAGAUAUUAGAAAAUUGCUACAUGAGCAUCACAAAAGCAUGUGAGAGGCGAGAGUGAUUUUUAAACCCUUACUUGGUUUAAGUCAUUUUCAAAUCUUUUUCACAUGUCUUUACAAUGCUUAUAUGGUGUUUUUGUAAUCUCUCAUAUCUAGCAUUUUAUAAUUCAUUUUUUACUAAUUUGGUCUCAAGUUCACAGGGCUAGAAUUCUUCCCCCCAAACAUAGCUCAAAGGACUCACACCCUCCAAAUAAAGUAGACAACAAUACUACAAUUGACAUAAGUUUUUGUGUGGUAGUGAAUUAUUGUCACAUGCGCUCAUGCAGAUACUAAUAUGAAGAUAAAUUAUGGGAAGUGAAUUAUAUAUACUUCUUUUCGUUGCGCUCUCUUUUCAAUUUUUUUUUAUAUUUGAAUUGAAUUUAGAACAAUUCAGAAAACAAAGUAGCCCAAAAUGAUCUAUGUGAAAAUUAUUUCUAUAAACUCUACACACACACACACACACACACAAAACAAUUAAUGAUUGUUCCAUACCAACUUAUACAGUCAACCAACUGAUAAACUGGAAAAUAUGAUUAUAAUGAUAGCAUCCAAUUCCUAUCAAUGACUUUAGGGUAAAUUACAUAGUAGCUCUUCAGGUUUGAUGUCUACUACAACCUCAUACAAUAUCUUUGAAACAUUUCACUUUCAUAUCUCACGUACUAUUUUAUUUCAAAAUAAUACAUCCGUUACAUUUUCCAUCCAUUGAUCCGUUAAGUGCUGACGUGGCUGCCAAAUGUGUGCCACGUGGCAAAAAAAAUAAUUUUUUUUUAAAAAAAACCUUAAUCUUCUAAAUAAAAAAAAUCAAAAAGAGAAAAUUCAGAUCCCAUCAUCCCACCCCCUCCCCCAUACCUGAACCUUGAACAAAAAAAAAAAAAAAAAAAAAACCCAGAAAACCCAGUUCCCACUAACACACCUUCCCCCCAAAUCCCAUCAACACCCCCAUGUGAAACCUCGAUCCCAUAUCCCCCCCCCCCCCAAAAAAAAAAAUCAUCUUCCAUCAGUCAUCCGCACCCAUCCUCCACCUCCUCCCCUGCACCCAUCUCCACCUCAUCCGCACACCCAUAUUCCCAUCUUCUCCUGCCCCGCCCCCCCAACCCGAGCCCAACCUGCAACCCAGAAAGAAGAGGAAAAAAAAACCCAGCGCACCCACCCUCGCACUCAUCCUCUUCCCUCCUCUACACACCCUACUCCUUAAAUCCACACUCAUUGGGGAAGACGGGAUCUGGGUUGCAGGGAAAUGGCAAUAGGUUUUUUUUUUCGUUUCUUUUCUGGGUUGGAGGUAGUGGGUGCAGAGGAAGAGGUGGAGGAUGGGGUGCACGGUGGGUUUGGGGAAGACAAGAGGGGAAAGAAAGGGGUGGGUUGCAAGGAAAGGGGGUCGGGGAAGAUGAAGAUGGUUUUUUUUUUUCCACUCCUUUUCUUAAUCUUCUGGGUUGCAGGUUGGGUGGGUGGGGGUUGAAGGUUCAUCUUUUGUUUUUUGUUUUUUUUUUUUAUUUAGAAGAUUCAGGUAAAAAAAAAAAAAAAAAAAUUUGCCACGUGGCACAAAUGUGGUAGACACGUCAGCACUUAAUGGAUCAAUGGAUAGAAAAUGUAAUGGAUGUAUUAUUUUGAAAUAAAAUAGUAUGUGAGGUAUAAAAGUGAAAUGUUUUAAAGAUGUUGUAUGAGGUUGUAAUAGACCUCAAACCUAAGGGGUUACUAUGUAAUUUACCCAUAACUUUAUACUUGGAGAACUAAAUAUUAAUUUUAUAUACAAAUAAUUUUAGUAUUGUUUUUUUGUAGGACCAUAUAUAUUUUUAAUUAUAAAUGAAUUUUUUGCGAUAAUGAUUUAUGAAUGAUGAAUUGAAAUAUAGGUGGUUCAGAUCUUUGAAAAAAAAUUAUGAAACGAAAACUACAAAAAAUUGUGUCAAAAUAUGUACACACAAAUUUAAGGAUGUGUAGCACUAGGUAUACGUGGCAUUAGGUAUAUUUUUUAUUUUCAUAUUAAUAAAUUUCCUUCAUACCUCGAAAUUUUCUAUAAAAAAAAAAACAAAAAGAAAAAAAACGGCAGAAGGCCACUUGUGAUGAGUACUUUAGUCAUGGAAUGCUGAUCGAAGUGCUAUUAAAUUGUCACUUAGAAUCAUAACUCUUGGCUUAUAGUAUGAAAAAAAAAAUACAGAACAUUUGUAUAUUGCUUGCAAGCAAUUAGGUUCUGUUAGUCAACUCCAGCAACUUGAUUAGAAAGCAUGUAUAUAAAGCUGCGCAAUUACCAUGUCCACAUAUCCUGAUCAGGAAAUUUCCCCUGCUUGGCUUAGUUGAAAAUAGCAGAUAAGUCAAGAGCGUAUUUUAAAUUACUGUUGGUUAAUUAUUUUAAAUUUCACUAGCAUAUGGGUAUACACAAAGUGUGUGAGAAAAUUUUUUAUUUUUGUUUUUGAAAUAGAAGAGGGAGUGAUAGAGAACGUGGGAGUGAGAAUUUUUUUUAUUAUUUUUUUAUUUUUUAUAAUUAGAUAUAUGUUAGGAUUACAUGUAGGUGAGACUUUGAAAAAAAAAACAGCAAAAUUUGGUUGUAUGAAAUUACAUUUCUGCCCCAUAUUUCUUAUUCAUGUUCUAUUUUAAUUAGAGGGUUAAACUGGUAAUUUUAUAGGAUUUUGAUUGAAAAUGAAUGUUUUAUUAAUUAAUAGAGAUAAUCAAUAUUAAUUACCAGUGGGUGUACUUUAAAUUAUGCUUGAUUAAUUAUUGUAAAUUUCAUAAUCAUAGAAAACUAAUAGCUUAUUAUAUAUUGUUGUCAAAAUCGUGAGUUCGGCUGUUGGAAAGGAUUUUUAAUGGGUAAAUUACAUUUUACCUCCUCAGAUUUGGAUGCAAUUGCAACCUCAUACAACAUUUUAAAAACAUUUUAAUUUCAUACAUUUAGUUAUCAUUUCAUUUCAAUGUCAUACAACCGUUAAAAAUUCUGUUAAGUUAGCUGUUAAGUGAUGAUGUGGUAACAGUGGGUCUCCCAUGUUUGCUUAUGUGGUUAACAACUUCUGCCACAUGGACAAACAAUUAAUAUUUUAUUUAAAAAAUUACAAAAAAAACCCUUAAAAAAUGGCUAAAAAAAAGGGAUAACUUGAUAUAGAUCCAAUUUUGUGAGCCAUUAGUAGGAUUAGUCCACUUCAUUGAAAUAGGUUCAAUAAUUGAGAUUCUACGUAUGCUUAUUUGUGGUUUGUACCAUAUUUACCCCUUAGGCUUACAAAUUGUAGUAAAUACACAAAAUUUCUUAAUUAUGGGAUUAUUUGUGGUUUAACUAAUCCCUUAAUUGUAGGAUUAGUUAUAGCCAUGUAAUCACCUCAACCCCCAGUCCGUUUCAUCCCUCCUUUUUUACUUCUUCCAAACAAUUCCCUCUAUCAAUCUUCCUCUUUGUUGUCUCUUCUUUUCAUGGGUGAUAUUUUUGUGUUCUUCCCUCCAAAUUCGUUCCUUUAAUGGAGGUAUAUUACAUCAUAUUUAUAUUUCUAUGUUCCUCCAUGUAGGUUCCCAACAUUUUUCUUCCAAUACAAUAGGUAGUUUAUUUUUGUUUUGCAGGUAGAUUAUAUCUGCUUUAUAGGUAUAAAGCAUUUUUCUUCCUAUACAAUAGGUAGGUAGUUACUAGAUUAUAUCGGUUUUGUUUUCUUCAUAAAUAGUAGGUAGUUACUAUAUAAUAUUUUAGUUUGAGUAUUUAAAUAUUCAAAAUUUAAAAACUGAAUAAAUGAUAUAAAAAAAAUUAAAGAAUUUAAAUAUUUUUAUCUGAAGGGGCAAAAUAUAUAUCAAAAUAUGUAAUUGGAUAACUAGACUCAGUCCCAAAAACUACCUAUGUUUUUGGACCUAGAUCCAAAAGCCCAAAAAAAAAAAAAAACAACCUUCCACAGCCCCUCUCCACCCCACGCUGAAAAUGCAAAGCCCCAACCCUAGAUCUUCCAUCCCCUCCAAUACGUCGUCAACAUCUUCGUCCACCACUGCAAGCCCGCCGGCAACACCAACAUUGCCUCCAACCCCACCCACGUCGACUGACGCUGCAAAUCGGACGACAACAUCAUAUUCUUCCUCGCGCGACAAUAUGUUGGGGGUCGCGGUGGUUGAGGCAGAGAGCACAAAGUGGUGAACUCCCAAACUCCGGCUGACGAAUUUGGUGGCGGUAGUUCAGGCAGAGAGCGCAAGUGGACUGACAAUUUGAGACAUGGAUCAAAUUUAGGGGUUGGGUUGGAUUCGACAAAAUUUGGGGGUUGGAUUUGUCCAAAUCCUAAAUUUUCCCAAACCCAGGUCCAAGUUGCAGGGGUCGAAGCCGACGUCAAUGGCAACGACGGAUGAGGAAAUGGGGUUUGCAGGGGGAGAGGGAGAAUGUGAUUGGGGAUGGGGAUGGGGAUGGGGAAGGGGAAGACAUGGGUUUUAGGGUUUUUUUUUUAUUAAAUAAUUAUUUUAGUAUUUAAUAUUCUGAUUAAAUUAUUAUUUUUUAAAUGCAUAGAAAUUUUUUUGCCACGUGGCAUAAAUUUGGUAACCACGUCAGCACAAAUAUAGAUCCUAUAUUUGCCAUGUUAUCACUUAACAUAUUUUCUAACGAAUGUAUGAAAUUGAAAAAAAAUGAUAAGUAAAUGUAUGAAAUUGAAAUGUUUUAAAGAUGUUGUAUGAGGUUGCAAUCGACCCCAAACCUGACGAGGUAAAAUGUAAUUACCCUUUUUUUAAUUAAGUUGACAUGAGCUGCAAAUAAUAUGCGUUGACACUAUUUUGCCAAAAAUCGGUGUAUUGAGAAAAUAAUACCAAUUACUUCAAAAAAAUAAAAAAACAGUUACGACUAAUUAUUUUUUAUCGUCAGUUGCUAGUUACAAAUAUAACUAGAUCUUGUGCCCUUGUAAUAUUUUUAAGAAAAUUUUCAUUUAUUAUUUGACAAAAAAAAAUAAUUGUGAUAAUUAUAAUCCAUCCAUCUCAACUAUUUGCGGUUUUACUUUAAAAAUAUUAUUUCACAUACGUCUCGGUCAUCCAUUUAUGAUUACAUGACUAAAAUUUCACAUAUGUCUCAAUCAACUAUUUAUGUCACAGCCCGUCCCAGAAGAUUAUUCUCGAUGACUUGAAAUGACAAUUUUACCCUUGGACGUUAAAGUAUGUUGUGUGGUUUAAGUUGGAUUUUGGACCCAUUCAUUAAUUUCCUAAGUCUUUGGACCUAAUUGGAAGUAAGGAAAUUGUUUGUUUUGAUGGGUGACCCAAAAAUCUGGACCACACAUCCUUUCUCUCUCUCACUCUCCCGUGCUCUCUUCUCUCUCUCGGACUCACUCUCUCUUCCCUUUCCUCCGUACGGACAACCUUGAACCAAGCCAAAUCUUCAUAGAUCAAGGAAGAAAAUGGUACCAUUGUGUUCGUGAGGACCAUACGAGUUCAAAGGUACCCAUUUCAGGUAAGAACUCGUUCGAUAUCACGUUAAAAACUCAAACUCCGAGUUGAUCACUAUUCAUGAACUUUUGCAUGGUUAUGUUUUAGGACAAUCCAAGCUCAUAGCGAGCUCUAGGAGGUUCUCACGAAGCUCGGAGUGCUUCGUUGGCUCGGUUUUGACGUCGGGAUCACAAGGUUCGAAGGUGGCCGGUUUUGGUAGAAUUUUCCCGACGAGUUUUCGAGGGAUUUGAAGCUCCCAAGAGGUAUAACCUUCUUCCUUUCGUGAUUUAUGGCAUUCUGGUGAAAAUUGUGUGAAAAAUGGUGCAAAAAUGAGCGAGAAAAAGGCAGUUGCAGGUCUGCCCAGAAUCCGGCGCCGGUGACACUGUUCCAGCGUCUGGAAGUUGAAGAUGAUGCGCGUGGGGCCGUGCCCUCCCCGGCGCGUGAGGGCUCAUGAGCCACAGAAAAUUUAUUUUAAAAAUAUCACGAUGUUCGUGAGGUUGUGUAGGUCGCGUUGGUAUAUUCAAAUACCAAAAUUGAGCUUUGUAUGAGAAAUUAUUAGCUAGUUUUGUGUAUGUGCUUUAAAAUAACGUUUUUAUAGUUAAUUCGCAUAUAGGUGAGACUUAUCCCGAGGACGAGCGUAUCCACGGGCGACUCGAGGGUUACGACCCGUUGACAUACCAGUGAGUGGGCUUUUGGUUUUCAGUAUAUAUUUAUAUACUUGAUAUUUUCCCAGAAAAAUAUGUUUAAAUGAUAAUAUGCCAUAAAUGCCAUGCAUAUACAAUUAUGUUUCGUGUAUGAAUUGGUGUGUGAUACCUUAUAUAUAUAAAUGUGGUGCUAUGGAGGCACAGGUAAGUUCAGGUAAGUUAUGUUUGGUUAUGUGAAUCAUCGAUGAUGUGAUAUGUGAUUGAAUAAUGUUGAGCUCAUUAAACUACACCUAGGGUGAUUGUGAUUUAGCCAGUGAUAUGAAGUACAUGCCUGUUUAUUUACGUCACCUCCCGCAUUAUAUGCUCAUAUUGGAUCCAACUUAAGUGCAUAGUCUUGUCGUACAGACCUUAUUUAUGGUUCCGACUGUAGGUGACUAGCGAAUUAUUGCCCGGCUAUUAUAAGAGAGUAAAAUUGAGCAUAAUCAUAUUACACCCAAUCUUGUUGUACAGACCCCUUUUUAGUGGUUCCGACUUAUGUGCAGUAUAUUGCCGUAUAGGUCAUUGUAGUGACUCCGGCUAGAUUGACUUUUGAGUUAUGAAUUCAGCCGUACAGACUACCACAGGGGUUCCGACUAACAUAUCAUAUUUCUAUGAAAUCAUUCUUACCUGGAUUGUUUACUUUGUUAUAUUUUGGAAUGGCAUACAUAUGCUUAUGAUUAUGUGAAGUAUGAUUUGAAUUGAUAUAUUUUUCAUAUUCAUUUAUGUAUAUGCUUAUAUUCUGAUUCUGGGAAAAAUUAUACAUGUUUUACAGCGAGGGGUUAGACAUGUUGAUAAAUGAAAUGGUUUUGUAAAACAUUUGUUUUUGCCCACUCAUGUUUUCUGUUUUGCGCCCCUCCAGGUUUUAAGUAAGCUUGCUGUUGGUGGCUUGAGGACGUCGGCAGUUCUGACCUAUCUAAAUAAUAGUAGGACAUUCCUGGUACUGUAUAACUAGUACUUGUCCUACUGGACUGCACCUAGACUUUAUGCUCUGAUUAGGAGUGUUUACUUCUGUAACUAACUCCUAUCACUCCCUGUUUAGUAGUGCAUUCUAGUAAUGUGAUUCUUAAUUAUUAGUAUAUUUUCUUAUCAUUAUUGCUUCCGCACUGUGCACAUGGCUACGUCACUCUCACGUAAUGGCCAGCAUGCCUUGAUCUCGGUCGGGGUGUGUCAGUUUGGUAUCAGAGCAUAGGUUUAGCAGUCAUGUAUAAUUCUUGAAUGUUCUAAUCCUUGUGAUGUCUUAUGUCAGAAUUAUGUCGCCUCGUAGAGAGCCCCGUCAAUCAGCUGAACCUAGUUUCCCCAAUAUUGCUCAAUUAGGGGAAGCUAUAGUUUCUGCCAUUCAGACUGCAUUCCGUACUCCCAGAGGAUACCUCUCAAGACAGUUUAUAAUCUGAAGUUGACUCACUUCAUUGGAAAUGAAGGACAUGAGGGGGCGGAAAAAUGGUUGAAUCAUAUGGAGAAUACCUUUCAGGUGAUGCAGAGUCAAGGGAAUCUUCCUCCUGAUAGGUGGGUCGAGACGACUACCUGGUUUUUGGGGGAACAACCUGCAACCUAGUGGAGACAGGAGUCUUACCAGUUGACCCCAGCAGAGAUUGUGGACUAGGGAGUGUUUAAGGAGCUGUUUCGGAAAAGGUUCAUUCCUUAUGCGUAUAUCGAUCGUAAGAAACAUGAGUUUACUCAUCAGAAGCAAGGAAAGACGUCCGCUGAUGAGUAUUAUAGGAUGUUUGCUGAUCUGUCGAGAUAUGAUCCGGAGGUUGCUGCUAAUUCGGUAGAGAUGCUUCGCCGUUUCAGUUUGGGUACUAAGAAGAAAUGGCAUUCCAUAGCGACAUCGACUCACUGUGCUACAUACCAGGAGUUUUAUGAGAUUUUACUGAGAAUUGAGGACUCGGAAAGCAUGCCUAGUGAAAGUGAGGAUGAGGAAGGAAAGAAUGGGGGCCAGAAACGAGAUGAUAAGGGGAAAAGGCAAGCAUUUCAGGGACCCCGCAAGACCCAGAACUUUAAGAGGAGUGGUGGCAGUUCCAGCUCUUCUAGCGGAGGAUUGCGUACUAAUAUGCAAAGAAUAGAUGGUAGAUUUACUGGAGGCCCUAGGUUCUAGAGACAGAGAGAUUUUGGUGGUUCAGGUGGAUCUGGUGCUCUUUUAUGCCGCAAGUGUAAUAGUCAACGUUUUGGGGAGUGUAGGAGAGGCAGCAGUGGAUGUUUUACUUGUGGAUAGAUGGGUCAUAGGGCUGCCCAAUGCCCUCAGAGUCAGCAGAGACCCUAGUAGCCUUCUUUCCCACCACCUGCACCGUCCCAGCAAGCUUCAAGAUCUGGUGGUUAUGCUCAAACUAGACGAGGAGGUGCCUACCACUAUUAAGGUGACGCCGCUCCUUACACCUCAGGACAACAUCAGUAUUCUCAGGACCCUCAGUAUCAGAGUGGGUACCCUCAGUAUCAGGGAGGAUUUAUGUCUUAUUAGCCUCAUUCAAUCGGAGGAUAUCAGUGGUAGCAAGGGGGACAGCCCCAGCAGGGAGAGAUUGCUGCUAGUAGUGCAGGAUCUUCGAGGCAGUCGGGUCAGCAGAGGCAAUGAUGUGGUAUUCAUGCCAACAGAGGUAGUGGUGGACGACAGCAGAAUCAGGGGCGUAUCCACAACAUGUCACUGCAAGAUGCCCAGAAUAAUCUAGAUUUAAUCAUGGGUACGUUAAAUAUUCUUGGUCAUUUUGCUAGAGUAUUGAUUGAUUGUGGUGCUACACAUUCUGUUAUUUCUCAUACAUUUGCUCAAGUGACGCAACCUCAUCCUACACCUUUAGGAUAUAAUUUAGAAUUUUCUAUGCCUAGAGGGGAUAGAUGUUUUGUGGAUUGGGUAUAUCCGGGAUGUCCAGUGAUAGUAGAGGAUGUUGUUAUGCCGGCUAAUCUUAUGUCGUUGGAUAUUAUGGAUUUUGAUGUGAUUUUGGGCAUUGAUUGGUUGCACUAUAAUCGUGCCAAGAUAGAUUGUUAUGGGAAGACAGUCACAUUUCAUCGUAUCGGAUUACCUGAAGUUACAUUUGUAAGAGAGCCUAGUAGGGUGAGACAUGGUAUUAUUUCAACUAUGAAAGCAAAGAGAAUGUUGUCGAAAGGUUGUCAGGGAUAUUUGGCUCAUGUGGUGUUGAAUGAUGAUGCUCCUAGUAGUGUGGAAGAUGUUCGUGUGGUCAGAUAUUUUUCGUAUGUAUUCCCUAAGGAUUUGCCUGGAUUGCCGCCAGAUAGAGAGGUGGAGUUUGUUAUUGAUCUACUUCCAGGUACGAAUCCUAUAUCCUUAACUCUUUAUAAAAUGGCUCAUGCUGAAUUGAGGGAAUUGAAAGUACAGUUGCAAGAGUUAGUGGAUAAAGUUUUUAUUCACCCGAGUACUUCACAUUGGGGAGCUCCAGUUUUAUUCGUGAGGAAGAAAGAUGGAACUUUGAGGCUGUGCAUUGAUUACAGGCAAUUGAAUCGGGUAACCAUUAAAAACCGUUAUCCAUUGCCUCGUAUAGAUGAUUUAUUUGAUCAACUCAGAGGUGCCUGUGUAUUUUCUAAGAUUGACUUGAGGUCGGGAUACUAUCAGUUGAAGAUUAAAAAUGAAGAUGUCCCUAAAACCGCAUUCAGGACUCGAUAUGGUCAUUAUGAGUUUCUUGUGAUGUCAUUCGGGUUAACUAAUGCACCAGCAGCUUUUAUGGAUUUGAUGAAUCGAGUAUUCCAGCCAUAUUUGAACAGGUUUAUUAUUGUCUUCAUUGACGAUAUUCUGGUAUAUUCUAAGUCUAAGGCUGAGCAUGCUAGACAUCUAAAGUUGGUGUUGAGCAGUUUGAGGGAACACCAACUAUAUGCUAAGUUUAGCAAAUGUGAAUUUUGGUUGAAUCAAGUAUCAUUUUUGGGACAUGUCGUUUCUUCUCAAGACAUUCAAGUGGAUUCUCAGAAAGUGGCAGCUGUGGAGAAUUGGGAACAACCUCGAACCGUCACCGAGAUACGGAGUAUUCUUGGCCUAGCAGGCUAUUAUAAACGGUUCGUUAAGGAUUUUUCAGUGAUUGCUUUGCCAUUGACGGGGUUAACUCGAAAGGAUGUUAAGUUUGAGUGGGAUAAUAAGUGUGAGCAAAGUUUUCAGCAGUUGAAAUAUUAUCUCACUCAUGCACCUGUUCUAACACUUCCAGAUGAUAACGGUAAUUAUGAGGUCUAUAGUUAUGCUUCUCUUAAUGGUUUGGGUUGUGUAUUGAUGCAACAUGAUAGGGUAAUUGCUUAUGUUUCGAGACAGUUGAAACCUCAUGAGAAGAAUUACCCUACACAUGAUUUGGAGUUAGCAGCUAUCAUCUUUGCCUUGAAGAUUUGGAGACAUUAUCUUUAUGGUGAGAAAUGCAAGAUCUUCACAAAUCAUAAGAGUCUUCAGUAUUUGUUUACUCAGAGAGAUCUUAAUCUUCGACAGCGGAGGUGGAUUGAGUUACUUAGUGACUAUGAUUGCACGAUUGAGUAUCAUCCUGGUCAUGUAAAUGCUGUGGUGAAUGCACUUAGUUGGAAAACUCCAGUCAGACUUAAUGCCAUUUAUGAUUGCCACGUUCCUCUUCUAGCAGAUUUGAGAUCCACUGGAGUGGAGUUAGGAGUGGAAGAUCGAGAAGAAGCCUUGCUUACUAAUUUUCAGGUUAGGCCAAUUUUAAUUGACCGUGUGCUUGAAGCUCAGAUGUAUGAUGAGGAGACCCAGGAAAUAAUUCAAGCAAGAAAUCAAAGAAAAAAUAAAGAUUUCGGGAUUCGAGAAUAUGAUGGUAUGCUUAUGCAGGAAAGCAGAAUGUAUGUGCCAAAUAAUGCAGAGUUAAAGAAAGAAAUUUUGGAUGAAGCACACAUUUCAGCAUAUGCGAUGCAUCCAGAAGGCACUAAGAUGUAUCAUGCCAUUAGACCAUUUUAUUAUUGGCCAGGUAUGAAAAGAGAAAUUGCCGAAUAUGUGAGUAGGUAUGCCAUUUGCCAAUAGGUUAAAGUUGAAAGGAAGAAGCCGUUUAGGUUGAUGCAACCACUUCCCGUUCCACAGUGGAAAUGAGAAAAUAUUACUAUGAAUUUUGUGUACAAGCUUCCUCGUACACAGAAUGGAUAUGACGGCAUUUGGGUGGUAGUUGAUCGGCUUACGAAGUCAGCACAUUUUAUUCCAGUGAGGGAGAAGUAUUCGUUAAGCCGAUUAGCUAAGUUAUUUACAUCGCAGAUUGUGAAGUAUCAUGGUGUGCCAGUUAAUAUUAUCUCAAAUCGGGAUCUCAGAUUUACUUCCAAGUUCUGGAUAGCAUUCCAGGAAGCUCUUGGUACGAGAUUGCUUUAUAGUACAGCAUAUCACUUUUAGACAGAUGGACAAUCUGAUAGAACUAUUCAGACAUUAGAGGAUAUGUUGAGAUCUUCAAUGCUGCAGUUUUGAGAUAGUUGGCAUGAUUGUUUGGAUUUGAUGGAGUUCGCCUACAACAACAGUUAUCAUUCGAGUAUUAGUAUGGCACCAUUUGAGGCACUUUAUGGGAAAUCUUGUCGUACGCCUCUAUGUUGGUCAGAGGUUGGCGAAAUAGUUUUAGUGGGCCAGAGAUUGUGGAUGUGACUACUCAAAAUGUUCAGGUAAUUAAGUCUAACCUGAAAGCGGCCCAAGAUCGACAAAAGAGAGUAGCAGACAAGCACGCCACUGAUCGGAAGUAUAAUGAAGGUCAUUGGGUACUUCUAAAGCUAUCAUCUUGGAAGGGUGUUGUACGAUUUGGAAAGAAAGGAAACUUGAGUCCUAGGUACAUUGGACCAUAUAUGAUCACCGAACGAGUUGGUGAGGUUGCUUACAGGCUUGAGUUGCCUCCAGAGUUAUCCAAAGUGCACGAUGUGUUUCAUGUUUCGAUGCUCCGACAUUAUGUUUCAGAUCCUUCACAUGUGAUUCCUCCUCAACCUUUGGAAAUUAAUCCGGAUUUGACUUAUGAUAAGGAACCAAUGACUCUAUUGGAUUGGAAGGAUAAGGAACUAAGGAAUAAGACUGUGCGCUUGGUGAAAGUAUUAUGGAGAAAUCAUUCAGUGGAAGAAGCUACUUGGGAGACCGAGGAUCAAAUGAGAGAGAUGUAUCCAUGCUUGUUCUAUGAUUAUUAGUGGAUGUAUUGGUUGUAUGUAAUUUCGAGGACGAAAUUUUAUAAGGUGGGGAGAUUGUCACAGCCUGUCCCGGAAGAUUAUUCUCGAUGACGUGAAGUGACAAUUUUACCCUUGGACGUUAAAGUAUGUUGUGUGAUUUAAAUUGGAUUUUGGACCCAUUCAUUAAUUUCCUAAGUCUUUGGACCCAAUUGGAAGUAAGGAAAUUGUUUGUUUUGAUUGGUGACCCAAAAAUCUGGACCACACAUCUUUUCUCUCUCUCACUCUCCCGUACUUUCUCUUUUCUCUCUCGGACUCACACUCUUUUCCCUCUCCUCCGUACAGACAACCUUGAACCAAGCCAAAUCUUCACAGAUCGAGGAAGAAAAUGGUACCAUUGUGUUCGUGAGGACCAUACGAGUUCAAAGGUACCCAUUUCAGGUAAGUACUCGUUCGAUAUCACGUUAAAAACUCAAGCUUCGAGUUGAGCACUAUUCAUGAACUUUUGAAUGGUUAUGUUUUAGGACAAUCCAAGCUCACAGCGAGCUCUAGGAGGUUCUCACGAAGCUCAGAGUGCUUCGUUGGCUCGGUUUUGACGUCGGGAUCACGAGGUUCGAAGGUGGCCAGUUUUGGUAGAAUUUUCCCGACUAGUUUUCGAGGGAUUUGAAGCUCCCAAGAGGUAUAACCUUCUUCCUCUCGUGAUUUAUGGCAUUCUGGUGAAAAUUGUGUGAAAAAUGGUGCAAAAACGAGCGAGAAAAAGGCAGUUGCAGGGUAUGCCCAAAAUCCGGCGUCGGCGACACUGUUCUGGCGUUUGGAGGUUGAAGAUGAUGCGCGUGGGGCCGUGCCCUCCCCGGCGCGUGAGGGCUCGUGAGCCACAGAAAAUUUAUUUUAAAAAUAUCACGAUGUUCGUGAGGUUGUGUAGGUCGCGUUGGUAUAUUCAAAUACCAAAAUUGAGCUUUGUAUGAGAAGUUAUUAGCUAGUUUUGUGUAUGUGCUUUAAAAUAACGUUUUUAUCGUUAAUUCACAUAUAGGUGAGACUUAUCCUGAGGACGAGCGUAUCCACGGUCGACUCAGGGGUUACGACCCGUCGACAUACCAGUGAGUGGGCUUUUAGUUUUCAGUAUAUAAUUAUAUACUUGAUAUUUUCCCAGAAAAAUAUGUUUAAAUGAUAAUAUGCCAUAAAUGCCAUGCAUAUACAAUUAUGUUUCGUGUAUGAAUUGGUGUGUGAUACCUUAUAUAUAUAAAUGUGGUGUUGUGGAGGCACAGGUAAGUUCAGAUAAGUUAUGUUUGGUUAUGUGAAUCAUCGAUGAUGUGAUAUGUGAUUGAAUAAUGUUGAGCUCAUUAAACUGCACCUAGGGUGAUUGUGAUUUAGCCAGUGAUAUGAAGUACUUACCUAUUUAUUUACGUCACCUCCCGCACUAUAUGCUCAUAUUGGAUCCAACUUAAGUGCACAGUCUUGUCGUACAAACCUUAUUUAUGGUUCCGACUCGUAGGUGACUAGCGAUUUAUCUCCCGGCUAUUAUGAGAGUAAAAUUGAGCAUAAUUAUAUUACAUCCAAUCUUGUCGUACAAACCCCUUUUUAGUGGUUCCGACUUAUGUGCAAUAUAUUGUCGUAUAGGUCAUUGUACUGACUCUGACUAGAUUGACUUUUGAGCUAUGAAGUCAGCCGUACAGACUACCACAUGGGUUCCGGCUAACAUAUCAUAUUUCUAUGAAAUCAUUCUUACCUGGAUUGUUUACUUUGUUAUAUUUUGGAAUGGCAUACAUAUGCUUAUGAUUAUGUGAAGUAUGAUUUGAAUUGAUAUAUUUUCAUAUUCAUUUAUGUAUAUGCUUAUAUUCUGAUUCUGGAAAAAAUUAUACAUGUUUUACAACGAGGGGUUAUAUAUGUUAAUAAAUGAAAUGGUUUUGUAAAACAUUUGUUUUUGCCCACUCACGUUUUCUGUUUUGCGCCCCUCCAGGUUUUAAGUAAGCUUGAUGUUGGUGGCUUGAUGACGUCGGCAAUUCUGACCUAUCUAAAUAAUAGUAGGACAUUCCUGGUACUGUAUAACUAGUAUUUGUCCUACUGGACUACACCUAAACUUUAUGCUCUGAUUAGGAGUGUUUACUGUUGUAACUAACUCCUAUCACUCCCUGUUUAAUAGUGCACUCUAGUAAUGUGAUUCUUAAUUAUUCGUAUAUUUUCUUAUCAUUAUUGUUUCCGCACUGUGCACAUGGCUACGUCACUCUCACGUGACGGCCAGCAUGCUUUUAUCUCGGUCGGGGUGUGUCAAUUUAUUUUUAAAUUGACUAAAAUGCAAAAUUCUCAUAUAUUAAAAAAAAUUGCGGUAAUUAUAAAGGAAUUUUAAUGAAAAACCCGCAGUACUAUUUAUUUUAACGAAAAAUUACAUUUUUACAUUAAAAAGUCAAUCCUUAUACUAUUCACUUUACUUUUUAUUUUGUCCUUAUCGUUAAAACUCAAAAAUUUUAAACUAUUUUUAUUAGUUUUCCUUAAUUAUAAAGGAUCCAUCCAUCUGAACUAUUUGCAGUUUUACUUAAAAAAAUUUAGUUCACAUACGUCUCCGUCAUCCAUUUAUGAUUACAUGACUAAAAUUUCACAUUCGUCUCAAUCAACCAUGUAUGUUAAAAUUGACUAAAUGCAAAAUUCUCAUAUAUUAAAAAAAAUUAAUUGCAAUAAUUAUAAAAAAGUUUUAAUGAAAAGUUUGCGGUACUGUUUACUUUAAAGAAAAAUCACAUUUUUACACUAAAAAAUCAAUAUUGAUUCUAUUCGUUUUAACCUUUAUUUUGUCUUUAUGAUUAAAACUCAAAGUUUUCAAACCAUUAUCAUUAGUUUUCUUUAAUUACAAGGUAUCUAUCCAUCUAAACUAUUUGCAGUUUUACUUAAAAAAAAUAUUUCACAUACGUCUUAGUCAUCCAUUUAUGAUUACAUGACUAAAAUUCACAUACGUCUCAUCAACCAUUUAGGUUAAAAUUGACUAAAAUGCAAAAUUCUCAUAUAUUAAAGUCUUUAAAUUGGAUCCUUAUGAAAGAAUUUCACUUGGGUGUGUAUGCAUAUCUUUAGCUGAAUCUGACCGGCCUUCGGUAUCGGUAAAAAAAAAGGUUUUCAAAAUCAUUUUUAUGAUAUUUUUCUACUAGAAUUUGUCUUUGAUUAGUAUUUUGCAUGGACUAUGUUCGAGAGAGAGCGACCAAACUUGAUAUCGGCAGGCGUUCACUGUUUAGUAAUACAUAGUCCAUACAAAUUUUGGUGCUGAUUAUCUAAAUUACAUAUUAAUAAAAUUUUCAUUGUCAACCAAAAGUUUAUGAAAUUACCAUUCUAACCCUUUAAUUAAAACUAAACAUAUAUAAGGAAUGUAGGCAGUAAUAUAAUUUUACACAACCAAAUUUUUUUUUUUUUCAAAGCCGCACUUAUAUGUGAUUCUAAUAUAUCUCUAAUUUAAAAAUUAAAAAGUAAAGCUCUCUCCUCUCUCUCCCUAUCCCACGCUCUCUCUCCCUCUUUUCCUCUCUCCUUCCAUUUUAAAUACAAAAAAUACAAAAUUUUCACACACAUUUUGUAUGUGGUCAUAUGCUAGUAUUCCACAUUAUGAUCCAAUACUUUUUGGUAAUUUAGGUCAACUACAUAUUAAUAAAAUCCUCAUUGUCAACCAAAAGUUUAUGAAAUUACUAUUCUAACCCUUUAAUUAAAACUGAACAUAUAUAAGAACUGUGGGCAGUAAUAUAAUUUCACACAAUCAAAAUUUUGUUUUUUUUUUCAUAGCCUCACCUAUAUGUGAUUCUAACAUAACUCUAAUUAAAAAAUAUAAAAAGUAAAGCUCUCUCCUCUCUCUCCCCAUCCCACGCUUUCUCUCUCUUUUCCUCUCUCCUUCCAUUUUAAAUACAAAAAAUACAAAAUUUUCACACACAUUUUGUGUGUGGGCAUAUACUAGUAUUCCGCAGUAUGAUCCAAUACUUUUUGGUAAUUUAGGUUAUGAUAAUCAAUUCAAUAACUCCCAACUUAUACCUAUAUAGCCAAAAGUAAUAUAAGGGGCAGAUUUAUGUCACCAUAUUUUUACACAACUUUUGAUACUUGUUUUUGUGAGGCUCAUUCCGUAAUGUAUUUCAAGGAUCCAAACGUCUAUAUUUUAGGUUUCCCUCAAAUAUUAUGUUUACCAAAAAUCACUUAAAUAUGAAAUCAUAUGACCGUUGAAUGUCUUAACGGUUUUAUAUUUGGUUCAUUUUUUGCAAGAAUGAUAUAUGAAAAAAUUUCUCAAAAAUAGAUGGUUCAUUUUUUGGUUUUAAGGGCAAGUAAGGUAACACAAGUCAUUGACUUCCGUUCGUGUCCUUCGAGGUCCACUCAUUCCCUCCCCUCAAGCGAAUAAAAAGCUGUAUUUCAGACUCAUUCUCCUUACAAGUCUGUCGUCUUUCUUCGCCACUCUCACAAAUUUUCAUACAUACAAUCCAACAAAUUCCAAAACCUCUCAACAUAUUCCAUCCAGCUAGCUGCACAAACUGAUUCUUUUGUCUCUGGUUUUCUCUUCAAAUGUGAAAGACUUUGCCUAGAAAAAUGAUGAUUAUGUUCUUCCCUCGACUUCUUCCUCAUUCUCUUUUCUUUGUAGCUUGCUUUGUAACUUUUGCCUUUGGAGCUACUCGAUUGCCAAAUGAUGAAGGUACGAGUAUAAAUCUUUCUUAGUUUCCUUUUCUUCAUUCUUUAAAUGAUAGUUUUAAGUUCGUUUGAUAAUUUUUUUUGAGUUUUCAAAUUUGGUUUGGGUUGAUUUUGGUUUUCAGUUUACAUUUUUCCGAGAAGUGAAAACGGUUACCAUAAAUUAAAAAAUCAAAAUAAAAAUGUUUAUCAAAUGGACCUUAGGCAAAGAGAUAUUUGUGUGAACUUAGUAGAAAUUUUCAAUCAUAUGAUGCUGAGGUGCACUCUGUAGUUCUUGUCUAUGCGUCAAUUUUAUUUUAUUUUUACUAUUUUGUUCAGCACGAUGUUAAUUUGUUGCAUUUUAUUUUGGCGUAUAUGCAGUGCAAACUUUGAAAGGCAUAGCAAAGACACUGGGGAAGACGGGCUGGGAUUUCAGUGGAGACGCAGAUCCAUGCAGCGGCCAAUCUCCAUGGACUAAUACAAGCUCACCGAAAGAAAUUCAGAAUACCAUCAUCUGUCAUUGCUCCGAUGAAAACUCCACUGUCUGCCAUAUUACCAACAUGUAAAUCUCUCUCUCUCUCUCUCUCUCUCUCUCUCUCUCUCUCUCAAAAACAAACAUGCCCGACUCAGAACUCAGUGAGAUUUUUAAGUGUGCUUCCGGAACAUGAUAUAACACGUGUUAUUAUAUAAAUUGUGGGUUACUUGUGUGAAAAAGUAGCACAAUUUGAAAAAUAAAACCUCAUUCUACUUAUAUAACAACAUGUGAUGUACGUUCCGAACACAAUUAAAAAUUUCUGGAUAAACAGUUUACUCGUUGUGUGUUUGAACGAGUUCCAUCUCAUGCAAUAUAUAGAAAUAUUAAGAGCAAAAUAAAGAAAAAGUUGAGAAAAUAAUUAGCCAAUUAGGUGCUAAAUUAGUCGAAUAACUUGACUAAGCAAAAGCAACGUACAUAUUAGGCUCCUUUUGUUGUGAAAGGUUGAGAAGGAUAGGAUCAAAGUUGUUCAGUCUUUGUCAUACCAAUCACAUUAAAGAGAAAAAACAAGAAAGGUCUACGUCCACGUACCAUCCAGUCGAUGAGUGAAGAAAUAUUAAAAAAAAAAGUCAUUGUUUUUCACUUAUAUUAUGAUAUGUGAUGUACUGCUUGAAAAAAUCUCUACUUAAUGAGUGCUAGUAGCACAAUUUGAAAAAUAAAACCUCAUUCUACUUAUAUAACAACAUGUGAUGUACGUUCCGAACACAAUUAAAAAUUUCUGGAUAAACAGUUUACUCGGUGUGUGUUUGAACAAGUUCCAUCUCAUGCAAUAUAUAGAAAUAUUAAGAGAAAAAUAAAGAAAAAGUUGAGAAAAUAAUUAGCCAAUUAGGUGCUAAAUUAGUCGAAUAACUUGACUAAGCAAAAGCAACGUACAUAUUAGGCUCCUUUUGUUGUGAAAGGUUGAGAAGGAUAGGAUCAAAGUUGUUCAGUCUUUGUUAUACCAAUCACAUUAAAGAGAAAAAACAAGAAAGGUCUACGUCCACGUACCAUCCAGUCGAUGAGUGAAGAAAUAUUAAAAAAAAAAGUCAUUUUUUUCACUUAUAUUAUGAUAUGUGAUGUACUGCUUGAAAAAAUCUCUACUUAAUGAGCGCUAGUAGCACAAUUUGAAAAAUAAAACCUCAUUCUACUUAUAUAACAACAUAUGAUGUACGUUCCGAACACAAUUAAAAAUUUCUGGAUAAACAGUUUACUCGUGUGUUUGAACGAGUUCCAUCUCAUGCAAUAUAUAGAAAUAUUAAGAGAAAAAUAAAGAAAAAGUUGAGAAAAUAAUUAGCCAAUUAGGUGCUAAAUUAGUCGAAUAACUUGACUAAGCAAAAGCAACGUACAUAUUAGGCUCGUUUUGUUGUGAAAGGUUGAGAAGGAUAGGAUCAAAGUUUUUCAGUCUUUGUUAUACCAAUCACAUUAAAGAGAAAAAACAAGAAAGGUCUACGUCCACGUACCAUCCAGUCGAUGAGUGAAGAAAUAUUAAAAAAAAAGUCAUUUUUUUCACUUAUAUUAUGAUAUAUGAUGUACUGCUUGAAAAAAUCUCUACUUAAUGAGCGCUUUCUCCUACAUAGAAUUUUUUUUUGUCAAAAAAUAGAUUUUGUUAGGUUAAAUGUUAAAUUAGUCAGCAACGGGGUUUGAAUCCACGUCAUCAUGUAAGAGCUCAACACUUUUCUACCACUGUGGUAAAGGGUCACUUGCCUCCUAUAGAUAAAAUUAACUAUGCAUGUAGACUAAGCGAGACGAAUAACUUACAUUGAACAAGUUAAAUAUCAUAAAAUUAAUACGUGCAAAUUUUUCUUAGCAUGAUAUAUAAUAUUAUAUCAAAAAUAUUAAAAAUAAUAAAUUUGUUCGAUGUAAACUGAUCACAAUUGUGCGGGAGAGAUGUUUUUAUUUCAGAGAGGGGAUUAGCUGGUGAUUUCGUCACAACAGUUUACCCUUUCAAAAGUCGAGAAAAUUCAUAGAGACAACAAUAGAGAUGUUGAUUAGAUGGUUGGAAUUCGGUUUAGUGGACCCCAUGUCUAUUUGGUAUAAAGUAUCAAUCAAUUUUUCAUUACAUGUCCCCUAACCUAACCCCAAGCCCAUGAAACCUCCAAAAUGAUCACAAGUGUGCGAGGAGAGAUGUUUUUCUUUCAAAAUGGGAAUUAACUAGUGAUUUCGUCAGGAUAGUUCACCUUUUCGAAAGUGGGAAAAACUUAUAAAAACAACGAGAGAUGUUGAUUAGAUGGUUGGCAUUCGGGUUUGUGGACCCCACGUCUAUUUAGUAUAAAGUAACAAUCAAUUUUUCAUUACAUGUCUCCUAACCUAACCCCAAGCCCAUGAAACCUCCAAAAUAAAGUAGGAAUUAUAAGGUCUAGUGUGGGCCUCAUCGAGUUGCAUAUUGGCAACUUAGCACGUCGCAUUCACUCAUUCAACCUUAUGUCGGGCCAGGUAGCUAGACCGAUUGAUUUCAAUUAGAUUUGAAGGAUGUUAGUUUAAAGGGUGUGAUAUCCACACAUCACAUUUUAUUUCUCACACAUCUCUUUAAUUUUCGGCCGUCGGAUCGGAUGAAUUGAAGACUAUCAAUGGACAUAAAUUAUCAAAGAUGUGUGGGCCUCAUCAAGUUGCAUAUUGGCAACUUGGCACGUUGCAUUCACUCAUUCAACCUUAUGUCGGGCCAGGUAGCUAGACCGAUUGAUUUCAAUUAGAUUUGAAGGAUGUUAGUUUAAAGGGUGUGAUAUCCACACAUCACAUUUUAUUUCUCACACAUCUCUUUAAUUUUCGGCCGUCGGAUCGGAUGAAUUGAAGAAUAUCAAUGGACAUAAAUUAUCAAAGAUGUGUGAGAAGUAAAAUGGGGUGUGUGGAUAGCACACCCCUAGUUUAAUAGCACAAUCGAGCUCGUUUGUUUCUUUGUGAUUUUCUCACGCCCCGACCCUAGCUUCAGAGAGAUUUUUUAGUGUGCUAGGAGUACAGUCCGGUACAUCAAGUAUCAUAAUACAAGUGGUUAAAUACUUGAAAAAGAACUUCCAACCGUUUGUAUUAUGACACUUAAUGAACCAGAUUUGUUCCUUACACACAAAAUUUCUCUUAGCUUCGGGGGCGUAAAGAUUUUAAGGCUCUUAUUUUAUAUAUGUAAAGCAAGUAAAUGUUGCUACUGUUUAGAGCUAUGAAAAGUGAUCAUCACUCGUCAUUUUCUCUUCAUGCACAUUAUUGAUUUCUAGCCUUUCACGUUUCAAGGGACAUGAAUAAAACCAAGUUAUGCAAUAAUCAUUUUCUUAAAGCUAUAAGUUAUUUUUGACAUGUAAGUUGGAUUGAAAAUUUCGAUUUCAACCAAUUCUGUUUUUGUCGGUUUACGAACAAAAAUAUGAAGAAAAUUGGAACGCAUCUUAAAAUUAGGCUACUUUUGCCGUCGUUAUACAAUCACUAAUUUGUGAUCCAUCAGUGGGUAUAAAGCCAACGUUAUUAUGAUAUCUCUAGACCCUAGUGGGGUUUCCAUUUUCCCAAAUCCUUUACCCUCGGGAUUUUUAAUUUUUCUUCAACCGGCAACCAAUUGGAAGUUUUUCUUGGUCUAAUAAGACCUUGUUGCGCCUUCAAAUUCAAGAAAUGCAGAAGGACUGAUCCAUUUCUUUUAUUGAAUGACCAAUUAAACAUCAAUUACAACCUACCAUGGACCGCAAUUCAAGUUUAGUUUAUCUGCAAAAUCGAGUUCAUGGGAUGUGACCAAUUUGCUCAAUUACUAUAGCAAUGUGUUUUUGAGCUGGCCAUGAGCCAGCAUAGGCGUUCUGUGGUACGCUGAGUUGUUAGAACUUGGUAAUACUGCUGUGCUGUAUUUAGGCUUGAUUCUUACAUACUUGAUCAACGUACAAAAUUUCGCAGUCACGAAGAUUCUUGCAUACUUCUUAUACACGAACAACUCUGUAUCGGCCUAGUUAUUCGUUACAAAGUCAAUGAAAGAAUGAUUCAUAGUGUGCUUGUAACAAAUACACAUUUACCGUUUGUGUAAUUCCUCAAGUUUUAUUCUUUCUAAAGAACAUUGGACAUUUUCCUUCAGUUUUAAAGUAUGAAAACCAGUUCCUUCUUCCUAUUUAAUUCCCUGACCAAAAGUAAGUAUUUUCUGUGAUAAAUUAGUGUUUUACCUGUUUGGUCUCAUUUCUGUGGCAGCUUUUCCUUUUAGUCACAGUAUAGAUGCAUAAUGAAUAUCUGUUAAUUUGCAACUAAUCUUUGAAACAUUAUUUUCUGAAAACACAGAAUUCUAAAAGCCCAAGAUUUGAAAGGAACACUCCCACUAGAGCUGGUAGAUCUCACCUAUCUUCAAGAAAUGUAAGCACAUUUUUACCCCUCCAAGUUUACAUUAUUUAAAAGAAAAUAACUUUGUAUCGUGUAAAUCGUUUAUUCUAAUUUCAUAUAUAGCUUACCUUUAUGUCUGUUGCCAAUGAGACAAUAACUGGUUUCUUUCUUUCUCCUUCAGCGACCUGACCCGCAACUACCUGAGCGGUACCAUCCCUCCAGAAUGGAGCUCUCUUCCACUUUUGAACAUGUACUGUCUUCUCUCAAACUGCAUGCACUUCUGUGUUUGAUGUUCGUGUCAUGUUCUUAUUGCUUCAUUUGGUCACUCCAAUGUUCUUCAGCCAUUUCUUUCUUAAACUAUAAAUCUACUACAUUUGGUUUUGUUCAUGAUGAUGGGCUUCCGUGGUCAUGAGGCGUUUGAAUCAUAAAUAUUGAAUCGAACACAUGGGGUUCAUUGCCUUCGUAUUGACGAACAUGUUAAUGUUAUUGAGCCUCUUGCUUGAUAAAAGUGAUAUUAAGACUAGUUUUUGAUACAGAUCCCUUCUUGGAAAUCGUUUGACCGGUUCUAUCCCCAAAGAGCUCGGAAACAUCACCACCCUGAAGAGUUUGUGAGUGUUGAUUGCGCAUUUGUUUCUUGCUUACCCCAUUUGAUUCCAUGGAGAUCCUUAAUGAUGUUUUUUUAAUCAAUGGAAUUGAAUUUGUUUGUAUAGGGACAUCAGUUUCAAUAAUUUCUCUGGACCUCUCCCUCAGGAGCUUGGAUCUUGGGCCCACAUAGAAAGAUUGUAAGAGUCCUUUUCGAAUUUUACCGUGUUAAAAAGUAUUUGGUUUAUUUGGAGUUUUCUUUCUUGUAGACAAAUUCUGGAUGUUUUCACUAGUAAAUCAUCUACUUCUUUAUCAUUGAUAUAAUGGUUAUAUCUAUUUCGUACUUAGGCUGCUUUGCUCAAACAACUUUACUGGGGAGUUGCCAGAAACAUUUGCAAAGCUUACCAAAAUAAAGGACUUGUAAGUUUCUGUGGUUCUUUCUUCUUAAAGGUUUCCCGAGCACUUAUACAUUUUUUUUACUGCUUUCUGAUACUAAUUCGUAUUUUCCCUUUUCUCCAAUCAUUAUGCAGUCGGGUUAGUGACAGUCACUUUUUCGGGCAGAUACCUGAUUUUAUUAAGAACUGGGCAAAUCUUGAAAAACUGUGAGUGUUUUUCUUUUGUGUGUCAUCUUUCUGCUAUUUGAUUCUGAAUAUUAUCUCUAAUUCAUAUGUUAUGACUCGUUGAAACAGAGUGAUUCAGGCUAGCGGUUUGACAGGGCCAAUUCCUCCUGGCAUUUCUCGUUUGACAAACUUAACUGACUUGUUAGUAUAUCCCGUCUCUAUUUUUAAAUACAAAACGAUUAGCGAUAUGUGUAGUUUAUGUUCAUGGCUCAAUUUUAACAUGCAGGAGAAUCACUGACUUGAGUGGACCUGAAUCACCCAUUCCUUCGCUCGAGAAGAUGAAAAACAUGAAGACACUGUGAGUUAAUGGUUCCAUGACACACAAUUUCUGUCUGUACCAGAAGUCUUCUGUAAACUCAUAGCUUUGGAGUCUGUUGCAGGAUGUUGAGGAGUUGCAACCUUACUGGAAAGAUACCUCUAUAUCUUGCACAAAUGAAAAACUUGAAAACUUUGUAAGUACAAAUGUCUUGGUCCCUAUUUUUUCCGUCUUCAAAUAAAAAAUUUCUUCUAGAUGUGAUUCUACUAAUUCAAGAAUUAUUGAAGUGACUUAGACAAUGUUGGGCGGACUUUAUGUUUCUGUAUUUAUUAAGAGAACAUCUCUUUCAGAUGUCAUUUCCCUCUCUGUAGAGAGCACAACUAAACUGCGUUUGCUAUUUGUUUGUGCAGAGACCUCAGCUUUAACAAGCUGACCGGAGAAAUUCCAAGCAGCUUCGAUAGUCUACCAAAUGUGGCUUAUAUGUAAGCAAUUGGAAUGACCAAUCCAGUCUUUCUUACAUGAAAUUCAAGCAGACAUUCUUCAAUGGUUUUGUUACACCCCAGCCUGACAAGCUGGAAGUAUUUCAAAUCACGAUUACUAUAAUUAUGAGUCACGGAUUAUACUGCAAUGAAAAUGAAAACGGCUCCUCUGCUCAGAAAUGAAAUGUUUAGUUUAUUCAUUAGAGUCAUUACUGCUUAUGCAAUUAAUUAACAUAAGGUGAUCACCUUUAGAUGUGUCUUUCAGAUGGAAGUACCGAUCUAAUCCACUUAGAGUUGGCAAACUCAAGUUUUCAAACCUUUACAGAGAAAUUCCUAAGAACAAACACUAUAUUCUUUACUGAGUUUUUUUCUGUAUUCAUUAUUUUUAGAUUCUUAACUGGAAACUUGCUGACUGGACCUGUACCUGCUUGGCCAAGAGUCAACGUGUAAGCUUCUCUUCCAAAUGCUACUCUUUAGCUACUAAGGAAAUUUAUGCUGUUUUUUUUACUAAGAUAGAUAUAAAACUAUUAAGCUCAUAACUUAUUUCACUAAUUCUAAUCAGCUAGAGACCUACAAUUCAACAGAAUUUGCAUCAUAGCUCUUUUUGUGCAGUGAUCUUUCGUAUAACAACCUCGCCAUAGAGGAUGCAAGUUGUCAACCACGAGGUGGCACGUAAGAAUGUCUUCAUUAGCUUGAAGUUAAUCUGUUUGUGUUAUGUGGAGAUAAGCUUAACUUUUCAUUUGUGUUAAUUUCUGCAGUAACUUGUUUGCAAGCUCGUCAAAAGGAAAUAGUUCGUAAGUUCAAAUUAAUCAUCUCAAAGCAUGCACCUAUAAAUUUACUUCGGUAUCCAAUGGUGUAUUCUUUACUAUUUUUUUUUCCAAUUUCGUCUCAUUUAUGAUUGCUGACAUUUUUUGUACCCUGAAUUACUAUAUCCGGAGAAUUAUUUCAUGUUUCAAAACUUCAGAGUGUCCAAAAUGUAAGCCGAGUUUCUACACAAAUAAUUACCUUUAUUUUUUCGAUUCAUUCUUUUUUAGUUUUCCUCCUCAAUGCCUACUAAUCUCCAAUUUAUUUUUUCAUAGAUUUGUACUACUCUCUCCAUAUAAAUUGUGGUGGGAAACAAUUUACGGUCCCUGGAGGAAAAGAUACAGUAUAUGGUGAUGACACAUUUUCUGCUGGACCUUCAUCAUUUUACAAGAGCACAACAAAUUGGGCAUUAAGCAGCACCGGUUACUUCCCUGAUGAUGACCGCCCUUAUGACACCUUUACAUGGACUAAUGAAACUAGACUCUCUAUGGCCAAUCCUCAACUGUACAUGAACGCACGCCUUUCUCCCAUAUCUCUAACUUAUUUUGGGUUUUGUCUGGGAAAUGGAAACUACACCGUAAAC
rnacentral:lncRNA from 1 species